AGCUGUUACCACUGUCAACCGUGCCGGUGCCGGCAUGGUUGCUCCAUUCACUGGCCUCAAGUCCAUGGCUGGCUUCCCCACCAGAAAGACCAACAAUGACAUUACCUCCAUUGCUAGCAACGGUGGAAGAGUGCAAUGCAUGCAGGUAUGACAACUCCACACAUAUAAAUACACAAGAGGCACCAAAAUGAUUAUAAUUCAUGUUACAUAUUUAGGCAUGUACCAAAAUGUUACUUAAAUAAACAUGUUAGUCAUAGGUUGCUUAAAUUUUAGUCAUAGGAAAAUUUGCACAUGUGCUAGUUAAUCUGUUAACCCCUUUACUCAAUUUUCAUGCAAAUUAAUUACUAGGUGUGGCCACCAGUUGGCAAGAAGAAGUUUGAGACUCUUUCCUACCUGCCAGACCUUGAUGAUGCACAAUUGGCAAAGGAAGUAGAAUACCUUCUUAGGAAGGGAUGGAUUCCUUGCUUGGAAUUCGAGUUGGAGGUCAAUUUCUUGCAAACACUUUUGGUUUAAUCAUAGAUUUUCUUAUUCUUAGUUUGUUUCAACUUAUUUUCAAGAAAUAAUGGCUUCUCUUGCUAGUGUGCUAAAAGUACUUUUGGAAACAAAACAAAAAAUGGUUGUGUUCCAAAAUUUAAAUUUAUCUAACAGAUUUUUCUAUUUGAGAGUUAUCAAUAUGUAUCAAAUCUGUUCCUAUCUCUGACCAAAUUUUAUUCUUCCAAAACAAGCACUUGGUUUUGAGUUUUGAUGGUUGAUCUGUUUGUUUGCAGCACGGUUUCGUGUACCGUGAGCACAACAGGUCACCAGGAUACUACGAUGGACGCUACUGGACCAUGUGGAAGCUGCCUAUGUUUGGUUGCACUGAUGCUUCUCAGGUGUUGAAGGAGCUUCAAGAGGCUAAGACUGCAUACCCCAACGGCUUCAUCCGUAUCAUCGGAUUCGACAACGUUCGCCAAGUGCAGUGCAUCAGCUUCAUCGCCUACAAGCCCCCAGGCUUCUAAGUGUGAAAAAUUUGCAAAGCAUUUGUAGCCGCCACCCCACUUUGUUUGUUUGUACUUAAACUACAUUCCCAUUUGUUUUUGCUUUUUGAGAUUUCAUCAUCCUGUAUUUUUGGUUUCUGUUUUCGGACUUCAAUGGAAAUUAAUGGAUGAGAACUAAUGAAUAAGCUAUUGUGUUGUGUUGCUUUGUUUCAAAAUAACUUCAAUAACCCAUCGUCCUUGCAUUUCUCUCUACUGGGCUGAAAUUAAUCAUUUCUAAAUUUAAGUUAAUUAAUUGUGUCUCUAAAUGAUGGUUAACAGGGGAACUCUGUGUUAUUCAAGUGCACUGCUUAGUUUAGCUGAGCUUGGCCUUACUUUGUCACAAGUCACAAAUCUGAUGUAUGAAUGUUCUUUAUACUUUGGUCUUCCAAGAAAUGAAGUUCAAGACACAUAGUUUGUAAACAUGUUGCUAGGAAGCUACUGAACUUUCAAAACCAAAUAUGAACUCGAUAAUUCUUGGAAACACAGAUAUUUUGUAUAGUAUAUAGCAACAAAAAACCACUAAGGAACUGCUACCAAAUCGUUUUGUUAUUUAUGUGCAAAGAAAGCGAUAUCAAAUUCAAAUUUUUAUUGGUUUCAGAAUCUUUUCUUUCCAAGCAAUAACCACCAACUGCAACGAAACCGUUUUGUUUGUUCCAUUUCUCACUCUCCUCACUGCAAUGUUCAAAUUCUGAUUUGGAAAACAGCACAUAAAAACACAAGAUUUGGUCAUGCUCUGGUUCUACCAAAUACUACAUUUGUUUCUAGAAUUGCCAGAAUCUGAUCCUUUUGCUGACAAUUAAUCUCUAGAAGAUUCUUUUGCUUGUAACUUGGUAGUUAUGGAUUAGCAACUGAUAAAUAAAUCAUUUAGUGGGCUCUAUGUUGUGAGUAGUGAUAGGUAACUUAUGUCGACACCUUUUAGUAGAUUGCAUUAAUAUUUAGACUGGACCCUUUUGAUAGCUACAUUUGUGAACAAGAAUACAAUACGAUAAAGAAAUAGAUAAGAAGUUUCACCUCCUAUACUCCCAUGACCACAUCAUGACAUAUUCAAUGCCAAUCGUGAAUAUACAAAUCAAUAGGAUUUGUUUUCUUCCAAAUAUUUAUUUGUGGACGUGAAUCUACUCACCCUAGAAGCAAGUUUCGUUAAAUUUCCUUUGUUUAAUAACUUUUUGUGAACAUUCAUUCUUUUUUAAUUCAACUUUUAUAUAAAAAUAAUUAGACUCAAAUUCCUUAAACAAGGUCUCAAGUUCAAAUUUUGUGAAUGAAAAAUAUAAUUAAAAGAAGAGACAUAAUUGAAGUAGUCAGUCAAGUUAUGACAAAGCCUUACAAUUCACAAAAUAACUAAAAUAUUAUAUCAAUCAACUUCAUUUUAAUGGAUAGUAGUAUUAUUCUUUUAAAAUACAAGUAAAUGUUAACUAUAAGAUAAUCUUUAUGGUAAUAUAUUACAAAAUAUAAUAGUUAAGGGUCUCUUUGGGGGAUUGUUAGUUGUUAGUUUCAUUUGUUUUUAAAAUAACAAUCAAUUUUUAGUUUUAGUAUAAAAAGUUUUUAAAACCAGUCUUUAAAAUUUGAUUAGUUUUCUAACUAUUAGUUUUAAGAUUAAGUCAUUUUAAAAUUUUCUAAUCUUUUUAAAAUUAAUUUAAGAGUGUAUUUUUAUAUAUGAUGAUAACGACACCAACAACAACAAUGGUGGUAUUUUUGGUGGCGAUAGCAAAGUCAAUAGUGAUAAUAACAGUGUCAAUGAUGGCAGUGAUACUAGUGGUGGUGUUGGUGUUGAUAGUUAUAAUGCAGUAUUGCUAAUAAUGGUAGUGAUUGAUAGUAAUGGGAGCAGUGAUAGUGUUGACAACGAUAGUAAUAGCGGUGAUGUUGGUUGUUGGUGUCAAUAACAAUGGUGACAGUGUUGAUAAUAAUAGUGAUUGUGUCAAUGAUUAUGAUGAUGAUCAUAAUGACGACAUAGAUGGUGGUCCUGGUGUUAGUAGAGGCAAUGAAAAGUGUCAUUAUCAAAUGUAGAGAGUGUGUACUUUUUUAAAAUUAAAAUCAAAAUUACAAAUAUUUUUUGCCCAAAACUUUUGGUUUUAAAAAUUACAUUUAAAAAUAAAAUAUAAAAAACUCACAAUUACGUGACCAAACCCUAAGUCUUUUAAAUCAAUUAGUAUUCUAUAAAGAAAUAGUAUUUUUGAAGUAUUUAUAUAAUUUAAGUAUUUACUUAUUCUUAGAGUGAAUAGAUCCCUUUCGUUUGUUUUAUUCAUCAUACAGAAUCAAUAAUACAGUGGAAUCCUUCUGAAUAUUUUCUUUUAUAUAUAUAUAUAUAUAUAUAUAUAUAUAUAUAUAUAUAUAUAUAUAUAUAUAUAUAUAUAAUGUACCUGGAAAAAAUAAUCUUCCAUUAGUGAGACAGACAAAUAUAACCUUAUUUCCAUAGAGCCUGCAAAAACCUAACUAUCCAGUCAAUAUUUUAUAUUUCCAUAGUUUUUCUGACAAACCAACUUCUUUAAUAUAUUUUUCAAAAGUUUUCAAAUAAGUUAUAUAACAUAUCAUAAUAUUCAAGGUUUUCCAAGAGGAAAUUUAAAAAUUGUUAUUUUGACAAGAUAAGUGCUACAUAAUUGUGUGGUCUAUACCGACUAAUGAGUCAAGGCAUCGUGACUAUGUCGUAACAAAAAAGGUAAAGAAAAACAAGUCAUUAUCAUAGCAUUAUUUGAAGUUGAAGAAUAUUACGUAGUGUGAUAUGAUUUAUUUAUGACUGUUUUGGUUGUUUCCGUUGCGUUUUAUGAAUGGAAGAUCAAAUAGCUAGCUAUAAAAAGACCCUAAACAGAUAACAACCUAUUGGUAAUUUUUUUUUGUUUUAGGCUAUUCAAUUAGAUAUAGGCUCAUAUAUGUAGAUUUUAUAAGUUUAAGCCACAAAAAAUAUAUUUUUAUUAAAACAAUAAAAAGAUAUUGCCGUAGUGUUUAUACGAGAAAUGGCGCAUAGUGAGGUGCUCGAUCGAGUCUCUAUCAAUUUGCUUUUGAUGUGUGCAAAGGAAAAGAAAAGAGAAAAGAGGAAAGUUACAAAGUGAAUGCUUAGAUACUUAUAUCUUAAGUAAAUCCUUGUGUCUUUAUAAUAAAGUUGGAUAAAGACACAUUAACACUCAUCUUAUUUUUUUAAUUCCCUGAGUAUUUAACUCAAUUAGAUACUUAAAGAUUUAAAUUUGAGGCUGUUAUUAGUUAAAUUAAAAUAAUUUCACAUAAAUUGAUUCAAACACAUAUUAUUUGACAUCUUAAGAGAAAAAGAAAAAAAAAUGAAAUGUAAACAAGAUAAAUUAUAUGAUAUGAUAAGAAAGAAAAGACAAAAAUAAAUUGAAGAUGUCAAAUAAAUAUCCAUGUAUCAUUAUUAAUUAAGUUUCAAAAUCAAAGACUGAUACAUGAUUUUUUUUUUAAAAUUCAAAAUAUAUCUCAGUGAAAACUAUUUAAUGUUUAAAAUAACAUUCAUAUAUCAAUGUUUUAUUUGAGCACUAGUUGUUUUGAAUUUAUUUUUGGCAUCUCUCUCAUUUCCUUUUUCUUGAUCACUGCUUCCUUUUUCCCAUUUAUUUUCCCGACAAAACAAUUUUAGUACAACACAUCCUACAUGCACCAUCUAAAGGCUCUCUCACAAACCCAGUCUAAUUAAGGACAAAUUAAUACGGAGAAAUUAAUUAGUUCUCGACUACUACUGUAUAUUUAUAAUAUUGAUUAAUCUUUACCAAACAUGAUACGUAUUAAAGUUUUUUAAUUUAAGAAAAAAUUAAUAAUGCUAAAUUGUAAACACUCUUAGAUUGCUUAAUAAUUUAUUCUCUUAAAAAAUUAUUAGAUGUCCAAAACCAUCCUAGACUCUAUUAAAACAAGGCCACUUAUAUAAUAAAAACAUAAUAUACAAGACUAUUAAUUUUUUUAUUAUUAAUUAAAAAACCUGAAUAUAUAUAUAUAUAUAUAUAUAUAUAUAUAUAUAUUAUCGGUAAAUAUUAUUAGUUUUUGUUAACAGAGAAAAUCAAAUUUAUGACUUUUUUUUUUCUUUUUCCAUCUCCCAUAAUCUUCUAAUUCAUCUUAUAUUUUCAAAAUUCUGAAAAGGUAUCAUACAAAUUGAUUCAGGCCAUAGAGAUGUAGUGAUCCGAAACUACUUAAUAUAUAGUUUCUUCCACACUCACGGCACUCAAAUAUUUCAUUUCCUCACACAUAGACUGCACCUCCCCCCUCACACACUCACACACUCACUCAUUCACAACACCACACUGACUUAUUCAUAUUCAUCCGUCACAUGAAAGGCAAUGGCAAGCACACACACAAGUUACACAGCAAAUCCAAACUCUUCAGUGGCCUUAUUUGCACCAUGCAACCAUAAUAUCCACCCAUUAUAGAUCUUAUAGACAAUAGCAUAUAUAGCCACACCAUAUGCAUUAUGAAUCCAUGGAACAAUCAUAUAUCAUUCGUGAAAAAAAAGUAAAACAAGUCUUCAAAGCUUUUCCCAACCAUAGAACUUCUCAACCAAGUCUUUAAACCUUCACGUGAAUCUGUCAUCAAGACAGCCCCUAAAUUAAGCUUGAGCCAUCUGUGUCAUACACGUAUAAGAGGUCACGCAUGGUUUACAUCAAGUAAGAAAAGAAGCUAUCAUAAAGAUAUUACUUCUAUUUUUUGUUGUUGAAUAAGUCUAGGGUAUAAUAUAUUGUUGAUUUCUCAAAAUAGUUGAGAACGAUAGUUUUAGUUCUUAUUAAAAUUUAAUAUGUUUUUAUUCUUUAUAUUUAUUAAAAGUGACAUGAUUUUAAUUCUUUCAUCAUGAACUAAAAACACAUACAUCUGAAUAAAUAUAAGAACUAAUAACACACACACACACACACACACACACACACACAUAUAUAUAUAUAUAUAUAUAUAUAUAUAUAUAUAUAUAUAUAUAUAAUUCUAUUUGUAUUUUAUCUCUUGCUUGGUUGUCGUGGUAAAGGCGUAAGGCAUAGCCGCAUGGAUAUGAACUUAUCAUAGGGCUCCAUUGAAUCAGAUCAGUUUAAACUUAAAGCUUUUGAAAAUUAUUAUUAAAAAAAUGAAGUUUUGAGGACAUCAAAAUUACGUCACUGAAAGAGAAUAAUGACUUCUUUUAACUUUUUUUUUUCCCUGUUGUAAACUUAGGAUUUUCAAAACCCGAGUUCCAAAUUUGCAAUGGUUUCUUGUUUUUGAUUCGUAAGUGGAUUACACAAAUUUCAUUUUGACGCAAACUGUUGGAUUAUUUUAAUAUUAUGUUCUAGUUGUAAUUAAAAGCCAUUAGGAUUAAUUUAGAAAACUAAGAAUAAAUCUAUAAUAAAUUUCUCUUAUCUUUUCAAAAUACUCAUUAGUCUUUUUAAAAAAAACCCACACCGAAUAGUAUUUUUUAGCCAUAAAAAAAAUAAGGGAACGAAAGACUGAGGGAGGAAAGCCAUUUUAAUUAAAAAAAUAGAAAAUGAAAAAAAUAAAUUGAAAACACAAGAAAAAUAUCGGGCCAGAAAAUAAAUAUGAAUUAUAAUAAUCAAGAGCUUCAUGCAUGCUUAGUAGUUUUCUGUGCAUUAAAGAACUCUAGAGAAAUUAUGUGUUAUGAUCUAUUCUUACAAAAACAUAUGCCAUAGCCUGUGAACGGGAUCCGUGUUCAUGGUCUCUUGUAUAUGCUUUUGUUCUUUAAUUGUUAAUAAUUAAGAACACAUGCCGUAGUGCAAGUUUAAAUCAUAAAGAGUUAUGGAUACCCAUAAUAUUCUAAGAGAUAUAAAAUAAAGAAAUAAUUAAGUUUUUCAUAUUUGAAAUAUAGUUUAUUUUUAAAAAAUUACUUAACAUUCUUUUUUUUCUCUCUAAUACCUAAAAAAAUUUUGCAUUUCAUUUUAGUACUUGUCGUUAGUCCACAUCCAUUAAAUAAUGAUAUAGCAAACGGAGUAUCACGUCAUCACACCUAAUUACUAAACACAUAUGCACAAACAUUCACAUCAUUAAUUUUUGUUUUUGUUUUUUUAAUAUUAAAAAAUGAAAGCCAAAAAGGAGAGGGGGAGUCGUCCGUGGUGGUGUGGGAGGCGCGGCCACCACCGUCUUGGACACUCUUUGGAACUUCACCUUCGUCGCCGCCAUCGUCACCAUCUUCUUGAGCUAUCCACUGGAUAGGGUCCAUCGUCAAGCGAUGAUUUCCCACAGAACAAAAAAUCUGCUAUGCUUCACUUUCUUGCUUUUGCAUUUUCUUGUGGAAAAAAAAUCCUCACAACAAAAAUAGGUUGUCCUUUUCUUUGAUCUACCAAAGCUUUAAAUUUUCCUUAGGUGCGUACUUCAAAUUCUUCUUCUCCUACUCCUAACUGCUCCUUUUUUUUUUUUUUCAAAUUCUCUGUGCGUUUCUAAGGAUUUUGCAUGUUUUGUUCUUCUCUUUGCUGUGUGUUUUGACUUUUAUUGUUUGCGUGUGUGGCAGUUUGGUUUGUUUGUGAGUUUGGAGUGUGAUGCCACCAUCGGCGGUGAUCACGGAGGAGGAGGGGCAGAGCAAAGAUGUCUUCACUGAUAUUGAACUCGCGGAAGUUGAAUUGCCAGAUUUAGGGGCUCUCUGUGCCCCAGGUAAGGAGGUUCCUGUAGUUAUACUCGUCCACGAUUUCACAUAUCAACGCGAACUCCUCCUUGAGGUUAUCAUUCCAAACUUCCUUGAUUUGAACCGAAUCGCCUUUUGGUAAAAUCAACAUAUCAAACGAACAAAUCUGAGUAGCAAAGUGAGAAUCACAAUCAAACCCCCCAUAUCUGUAACAAAAACAUGCGGAAACAAUUCAGAUCUCAAAACCUAACAAAUCCAAAACAAAAAUCGAUGAUAUUUCAUUGAACGAGGAAACAAAUAUAAACAAAAUCAACAAGCCGCGAUACAUAAAGAGGAUUUGAGUGAGUAGAGCUUCGAAUCGGGGGCAUGCAAUCAAGCUUCGUAUCGACGACGACGACAACAACGAAGGCAGAGUUCCAGAGAGUGUCCAAGACAGUGGUGGUCGCCGCCUCCCGCACUAUAACAUCCCAAUUUCGUGAAUUAAAUUAAAAAGGUUUUUCAUUUAAAAUAGAGUUUUAGAAAAAAAAAUGAUGAGGUUUUUGUAAUUAAAUAAAUAAGGAGAAAUAACUUUAUUAAAAUAAUGGUUUGAAGGAAAAUAAAAAGGAUAUUUGAUUUAUUCAUUUGAUAGGAAAUAACAUAGAGUAUUUGUUAAUAAAAUAAUAAAAAUAAAAAAUAGAGUAAAUAAUAAGCUAAGAGUACCUAGCUAUAAAUAAAGACAUGCUAGGUUAUUUUUCAGACUGACGGUAGUCUCUGUGGUUUCUCUUCCUUUCAGUUUCUUUUUUCUUUCUCCUCCUCCCAAAACUAUUUUUCCCGCAUACACUCAAGCCUAUCUCAAUAAAAUUAUGAUCUCGGACUCGUUAAACGUUGGAUCAUUGUGAAAUUUGAGUACUAGGUUUAGAACUUAAUUCCAAAUAUUCUCACCGUUGGAAUUUGCGAAACUAUAUUGGAGCUGAGAGAAACUCCCUUCGUAUUUUAGCUUUCUCUUUUCCCGCAGAGACCCGAAACCUAUCCCGGUAAAACUAUUAUCCUGGACUAGUUAACCGUUGGAUCAUUGUGAAAUUUGAACACCAAGUUUGAAAUACAUUUCCGCAUAUCUUCACCAUCGGGAUUUGCAAAAUGAUUUCUGGGGAGGGAGAAACACUCAUUGCACGUAGACAGUGGAAUGAAGGAUUCAAAUUCUUUUCCUUCUCUCUAAUAUUUGGAAACCUUAUCAGAACAACCAGAGAAAAAGCUUGAGGAAUCUCAGGAAAUUGUUAGAGAUUCCACUAUUGCUGUCAGAAUACACACGUGAGCCCGCUUAGAGGUAAGGGAUGAGUUAUUCAUAAUUGGAGAGUAGUGAGAACAUGUGUAGGGAUCCUUAGAGUAUCAAUUGGAAUGAGUUUUUAGGUUGUUUUUGCAAAUUUUGAUUCUAUCUUUACAAUUGUAACUGUGAAUUAUAUAUUUUUUUACGAACCAAUUGAUGUUCCAAUUAGAAAUUGCUGUGAAAUUCAUGUGUUCUUGUGUUGAGUGUGAACCUUAAAAAUUGAGUUCUUUUUAUUAACGUAAAUUAUACUCUAAAUAAUAUUCUUUUAACGGCUUAUUUUAUACAAAUUAUUAUCUUGUUCUGUAUUUUUCCACAACGAUAAUCAACAUGUUAUGUGUUUAUAUAUAUAUAUAUUGUAAUACAAAAAUAAUAAAUUAAAGAAAGUUGUAAAGGUUAAUGUCUAGUAGUAAUUUCUUUUGAUGUAAUCUUAAAUUAAUUGUUAUAGAAAUUCUUUUUGAUUGAAAAUAAUAUAGUUUGAUUUAAUAUAUAUAUAUAUAUAUAUAUAUAUAUAUAUAUAUAUAUAUAUAUAUAUAUGUUUUGUGUCAUGCAAAUAUUAUUAUUGUGUGAAUAUAUAUAUAUAUAUAUAUAUAUAUAUAUAUAUAUAUAUAUAUAUAUAUAUGUUUUGUGUCAUGCAAAUAUUAUUAUUGUGUGAUGUGUAUAUGAGUUAUGAGACGUGAUAAAUUAUUAUAAUAAUAUUAUAAUAUUAUUGUUGAGAUCAAGUAUAAGUGUAAAGUUAGACAUGUGUUACUUUGUGAAAUACACAUGAACAUGUGAUGGUGGAUUAUGAUAUUAUGAGAUGUUAAGUUGUGGUCAUGAGAUUUGGUUGUGAAUAAGUGUGUGUUUAACACUUGAUGUGAUAGUAUUUGUGUUGUGAGCUAUGAAUUAUACAAUAACCCAAUCAGUGUUUACCUUGAGAAAAAGUGUUUAUGCGUAGUGUUAAAGGAAAAGUGUAGGUUUCCUAGUUAGGAACCAAUGUUAAAUUGUAGCGCAAUGUGUUAAACGUGUUUGAAACAUGAGCGUGAGGUCAUGAAUAUUGUAUAAUUCAUGAGCAAUGUCUGCAUGCAAAAAUUGUUUUAGGGGUUGAAACUGAAUCAGGAAGGUGAGGCCCUAACGGAUUCUUCGUAGUCUAGGCCUUGAGGGUAAAGACACUCAGUUUGAGUGCUCCUUUAAGCCUAUAUUGAUCUCAUAUGGUUGGAGCAUUCUCACAAAACAGAGUUAUCCUGACUGGUCACCUUAUGAUUUUACUUAGUGAGAGUGACCUGACAUACCCAUUGUAUGGUGUGACUUGUUUGUACUCCUAAGUGCCCCGGGGUGGUUUUUCACUGACAUGGUACCACAUUGCAUAUAGACUUGAGUCUUAGCAUAACUAUUGCAUAACGCUUGCUAAUUGUUUACUAUGAAAUUGAUGAGUGUUAUUAUGUCUUGAUCAGAGUAUGUGAUUCAUGUGUAAUGUGAUUGAUGAUUGAAAAGUGAAUUUUAAAUGACAAAGUGGUGGAAUUACGUGAGUUAUGUUUAAAUAAGUUAUAUCUCAUUUAUAUGAUAUGUAUAUCUAGUUGUCUUGUUUCUCUAUUAGUUAGAAAUGUGAUAACUCACUCCUCGUGUGUUGUUUGUGUUUGAAUCUUGUGAUGAUCUCGAACUUUGUGUUCGGGGGAACAUAUGACUAGGUGGAUUGCUUUAAGGAACCUUAUGCUGAAGGAUGUCGGGACACAAUACUCUGAUAGGACGUGACAUCACGGCAUAAGUUUCUAUAUUAAUUGCAUGAAGUCUUGAACGACCUUGUUUUAAGUCGAGAUAUUUUCGUAUUUAUUGGACAAGUCAUUUUAUGAUGUUAGAAAAGUAAAUGUGAGCCUUUUACAAUUUUGAAAUGCUUUUAUUUAAAUGUGCUUUAAAAACUUUUAAUUAAUUCUAAAUUCUUAUUUCUUUUAUUAUUAGUACAUAUAUGUAUGGGGUAGAGGGUGUCACACGUACCGCCACGAACGACUCUCCCUCUCUUUUUUGGCUUUCAUUUUUUUAAAAUAAAAUAAAAAAAAAUUAAUGAUGUGGAUGUCCGUGCCUACAUGUUUAGUGACUAGGCGUGAUGACGUGACACUCUAUCUGCCACUUCAUCACUCAAUAGAUGUGGACUAACAACUGGUACGAAAAUGAAACGCAAAAAUUUUCCUAGUAAAAAUGAUAAUAUUAGGUAGUUUUUUUAAAAAUGGAUUAUAUUCAAGGUAUGAAAAACUUAAUUAAGUCUAAAAUAAACUAUCCUUUUUGUUAUUGUAAAAUAAAAAUUUGAAGACCAUCUAAUUCACCUCAUAAUCAGUUUCAAGUCCAACCAAUUCUAUUCAUCCAUGCUUCACUCAGGUUCUUUUGAGACCUUUUAAGAAAAAGAAAAAGGAAAUGACGAGGCCCUUAUUUAGAUGUAAUAGAGGUGUUUAAAAUUAAAAAAAAAGAUCGUCAGCAAAAAAUUGAAAUGAAUGUGCAUGCAAAGUUAAAACCUAAAAGAUUAAUCGAUCAAUGAUGGAACACCCAAAUAGUCGUAUUUUAGUUUCUGCCAAGCUCCAAAGGGAAAAAGCAUUUUGUAAAAUCAGUCAAUAAGUUAGUAGAUAAAUAUAAAUUGACACAAAAAAAUAUAUGUAGGUAUUUGAGGUAAAAAGUGAUUAAAAAAACGAGUGAGAAUAAAAGAAAGCUACUAACUUAUAAACUAGAGCUUAUUUUCGUAAGUUAAUUGAUACAGUUUAUGAAAAUAAACUACAAGUUAAUAAAAUAAACUUAAACUUGUGUACUAAACAAACUUAUAAGUUGAUUAAAGUAAUUUGUAAGCUAUUAGAGUAUCAUACGAAAACAUUUAGUAUUCAUUCAGAGUCGCAAGUUGCUAGUUUUGGAACUUGUAUUUAGAAGUUUCUCUCGGUGCUUUAAAAAUUUGGAGGUAUUUAUGGUCUCAGAUUAAGACUUGUCACUUCAUAUUAAUUUUUGCUUAAUAAUUGCAUGUUGUUCCUUUCCUUUAUUUCAUUUUUGUCAUAUAACUAGUUACACUAUUAGAAAAUACACCUUCUACAUCAGUUAUUUAAGACCUUUUACAUUGGUUUUUAACCGAUGUUGAAAGUAUUAUCGUUAACAUUGGUUUUACAAAACCGAUGUUAACGUAAAAUUGACAACAUUGGUUAUCUAAAUAACCAAUGUUAUAUAAUAAGAAUUACACCAAAAAAGUGUAUGAAUGUUGAUAGGUGACAUUGAUUUUUCCACAAAACCGAUGUUAACUUAUAUAUUAACAUUAAGACCUUUUACAUUGGUUUUUAACCGAUGUUGAAAGUAUUAUCGUUAACAUUGGUUUUACAAAACCGAUGUUAACGUAAAAUUGACAACAUUGGUUAUCUAAAUAAUCUAUAAGUUAACAUCGGUUUUUACAAAAACCCGAUGUUAACGUGUAGAUUAACAUUGAUUUUUCCACAAAACCGAUGUUAAGUUACACAAACAACAUCAGUUUAUAGAAUCCACAACUGUAUAACAAAUAUGCUGAGACAUUGACCACCAUGUGCAAUUUUGGAGAGAUCUUCGUGCUUGAUGUACAAUGGGAAGUCUGGAUUAAACACCCCGAACACGGUAGCAUCCCACAUAACCUAGAGAGGCUUCAAGAAAAGCUGUGGGAUGGUCAAUGUCAUCAAAUACAGGGGAUCAUUGACCUCAGGAUCCGGCCUAUCUGGAGGCUUUGAUGGAGACACAGUUGCCUGUUUAUCAAACAUAGUGAAAUAACAUAAUUUAAUUACAGUGAACAAAUCAACUGAAAAAAGCAUAUAAUCAUAGUAAAAUACUUGUUCUAAUACACGCUUCACGAGAUAUGUCGGCCAAGCAAGGAAAGUGUUCAGUGCCUGCCCCACUAGUUGAACCUCGUCAAUGGGUACAGGAACGGGAGCCUCUGCAUCUUUAACCUUCUCAACACCAACCUUCACGUGGCCAUGCAACAAAGGGAUGUUGUGAACAACUGUGGAUCCCUCAUAAACUUUUCCUAGGACAACCAGGCGGGAAGGAUUUUCUUCGAUGUACAGCCCGCAUUUGUCUGAGUCACCCGUCUUUGGAUCGGUCGGUGAGGGAUCAACGCAACUCCCUUUUGUGCUAACACAGGCAGCUAGGGGACCAACCUCAGGCUCCAGAGGCAGUGCAAGUCCCUGUGAUUGCAUCUGUGACUGAAGCUAGGACUACAUCUAGUUGAAGGAUGCCAUGAGCUGCCAAGUCACUUUUUCUGUGAUUGACUCCUCCAACUGGUCCCUGAUUUGUUGAGUGAGCUGCUCAAGUUCUUUGGGAGGGAUGAAGGAGGAAUUGCGGGAGCUUUGUAGAGUGGAGCCGAAGUAUUGCUUAAUGGUGACACCGGCUCUAGCAGCAUGCACACGGCCAGGGUGUUCUGGUCACCCAAUGGUAGCAAUCAAGACAUCCUGACGACCAUGGGGGACAAACGAACCCUGUGACGCCUGCUCCUCCAAAGAAUCUUGUACGUAACACAUAUAUUUGUCCAAGGCAUUCACAUAAUAAACAAACAUAAUUACAAUUCUUAAUUUACAUUUGACUUACAAUCUUCUCAGCGAUUUCCUUUGCGGCCUCAGAUGUCAUCUACCCAGUUUUCUUGGUGUGAGCCAUCUUCUACUUCACGUGUCGUCUGAUGGGAGAUGGAGGGUUAAUGACGCCCUUAGUGCUUCCGGACUGAGCAGCUUCCUCUAGUUUUUUCUUUGUCUUCUCAACCAUUAGCUUCUAUUCUAAAUAAUCAUAACCCCCACAAGACAACACGUGGGGGGUGGUGUUUUGCUUCUAGAUGGCCCGUGCUUUUUUCCGCACAUCCAGCAAAAUUCAAACAUUAAUCAAAAUGAUUUCUACAAUCUAUUAUAAGAACUGAAUUUUUAGUGGAAACAAUUCAAAUUACAAAGUACAUACCUCCCAUGAGGGAUCUCGGCGGGUCUGACAAAACCGGACCCAUUUCUCCUUGCUAAUGUCGUACUUUCACAAAUAGUGUCGUCCACACCGUCCUUGUUGGCUGCAAGUGCCCAUUUCCUGGUCAAAUCGGAUUUAAACUGCCUCCACUGCUUGCCCACCGUCUGAAGACUUUCUUCUUUGUCCUACUGUCAGAAGAUUCAGGGAUUUCAAAUUCCACUUGACAAACAAUAAAUUAGGUUUUAUUGUUAGUAAAUUAUAAAUUUUGGCUACUAAACAAAAUCAAAGAAGAAAACAAACAUACCUGAAUAUCCUCCCAUAUCAAAUCCUUCUGAGCCGCAGGGACUUCCUUCCAGGUCUCGUAUGUCACGUCGACCUUAUCACGAGCGACAAUCCCCAAAUAUGUUCUUAAUUUCUACUUUUAGGGACCGUCGGCCUUGCCAGUCGCAGGAUCAACGUGGACCACUGGUCUGCACACCGGUGUUGCUGUCAACCCAUUUACAUUUGAAAACACACACAGUAAAUUUGACAUAGUUAAGCUCCCAAAUUUCAUUAAUGAACCCAAAGUAAGGGAUGGAAGCUACACAGGGAUUGUCAUCAUGCACACUUGCGAAGUGCUGACAUUCAGCCCUUAGGGUGACCUCGCUGUUUUGCAUUGUACUUUUGUCGUCUUGUGCUUUUGUGAAAAAGGAAUACUUGUUUAUGUUGUAUCCUUGCCAAGUUAUAACAUUUCUUUUAGGCCCAUCUGCUAGCUUUCUAAAUGUUUAUGAAGCAUUUUCAUCAACAAAGAUUGUAUCUUUAAACCAAUCAGAGAAAGUCUUGUUAUGCUUUUUCAAAACCCAAUUCUUUGACAUUUUUGGAUUAUUUUGUUUGACUAAAGCUUCAUGCUGAAGUGUGUAUGACAAAACUUCAUUACUGUUGUUCAACACAUACAAGUGAGCUUGUAAUAAAUCUUCUACACUUGGAGUGAUAACAUGCAGUCCUCUUGAACCCUUACCACCCACUCUGUCGUUAUGACGAGACUUAGAAAGGCCAAUAGGUUUAGCCUUUUCAAUGUACUCUGAACAAAAUUCAAUGGCUUCUUCUGCAAUGUACCUUUCAACAAUAGAUGCUUCUGGAUGAUGUAGAUUCUUGGUAUACCCUUUUAAGAUCUUCAUGUAUCGCUCAACCAGGUACAUCCACCGCAACUAAACAGGACCACAACAUUUGAUUUCUCUGACCAGAUGAACAAUUAAGUGAAUUAUGAUGUCAAAGAAAGCAGGAGGAAAAUACAUCUCCAACUGGCACAGUAUAAUUGCAGCCUCAUUUUCCAAGUCAUCAAACUUGACAGGAUCAAGGACUUUGCUACAUAUGGCAUUGAAGAAAAAGAACAGGCGAGUUAUGACUAACCUGACUUUGUUAGGCAAAAUGUCUCGUAGGGUCACGACUAACAAUUGUUGCAUCAACAUGUGACAAUCAUGAGACUUUAACCCUACUAGCUUAAGCUCCUUCAACUGCACAAGGCUCUUAAUAUUUGAAGAGUAUCCUUAUGGGACUUUCACCCGACGCAGACAUUGACAAAAACUUAUCUUCUCCUUUCUGGACAAAGUAUGACAAGCUGGAGGCAAAUAUAUUUUUUUCCAUCAGACCUUGGAUGCAACUGCAAUCGUAUACCCAUGUCAGCUAGAUCAUUAUGGGUAUUCAAACCAUCUUUCCUCUAGCCUUGAAUGUUAAGGAGCGUCCCAAUGACAUUGUCACAUACAUUUUUCUACACAUGCAUAACAUCAAUACAAUGUCUAAUAUCUAGAUUAGACCAGUACGGAAGAUCAAAGAAAAUGGACCUCUUCUUCCAUAUGCAAGUCUUACUUUUAUCCUUCUUUUUCGUGCUCUUGACUUCUAUUAAAUGCUUUUUUCAAUCGCCUGUAAGGGUGAUGAGGUUUUAGAAAACGUCGAUGCCUAGUGUAAACUGUUUUUCUACCAUGUUUUAGUUGUAUGUAGCUUGUGUCUUCUUCACAGAUGGGGCAUGCAUAAUGACCCUUAACAUUGUAACCGCUCAGAUUCCCAUAUGCUGGAAAGUCAUUAAUGCUACAAAAAAACAUUGCACGCAUUUCAAAAGUCUCAUUGCGAAACCCAUCAAACACUAAAACCCCCUCCUCCCAAACCUUUCUCAGGUCUUCAAUCAACGGACUUAGAUAAACAUCAAUGUCAUUUCCUGGCUGUCUUGGGCCCGAUAUUAUCAUAGACAACAUCAUGUAUUUUCGCUUCAUGCACAACCAAGGAGACAAAUUGUAAAUUACCAGUAGAACUGGCCAUGAACUGUGUUGAGUGCUUAAAUUGCCAUAUGGAUUCAUUCCAUCACUGGCUAAUCCUAGCCUAAGAUUUCUUGCCUCUUUGCCAAAAUCCGGAUACAAACCAUCAAUCUUCUUCCACUGGGAGCAAUCAGCUGGAUGAUAGACCAUUCCAUCAGAGUUUCUCCCAUUUGCAUGCCAGGUCAGGUCUUUUGCGUCGUCUCCAUUUGCAAAAAGACGCUUAAACCUUGGAAUGAUGGGAAGAUACCACAACACCUUUGCUAGAGGGCCCUUCUUUGAGUUUUCAUCAGAACUACAGUCCUCAUCAUCCUUCACCUUGUGCCGUGACGCCCCACACGUAGGGCAUUUGGACAUUUCUUCGAAUUCAUGCCUGUACAGUAUUUAAUCAUUCAGGCAAGCAUAAAUCUUCUGAUACUCCAUACCCAUCAGACACAAUAUCUUCUUGGCCUGAUAGUAACUUUUAGGCAACGUGUUUUCCUCUGGAAGCAGCUCAUGAACUACUUGAAGCAGUGAAGUAAAGCUUUUGUCCCUCCACCUAUAUCUGGCCUUGACAUUAACCAAACUUAACACCACCGACAACAACGUCAAGGAAUUCUUGCACCCCGUAUAUAGAGGCUUCUGUGAAGCAUUUUGCAAUCCUUCAUACAUAGGGGCAUGUGCUUGCUAAAAAGACUCUUGCCCAAGGUCACGAAUCAUAUCCUCCAAACGAUCUCCCAUUUCUACAUCAAACGGUUUAGAUUGGGACCCACUCUACAUGUCUAUCAAUUCACCAUGCCAUAUCCAUGUUGUGUAAUUCUUCUUAAUCCCAUUACACAAUAGAUGCUCUCGUAUGUCGUCCAGUAGUUGUCGUCUUCCGUUCAAACAAUUGAUGCAAGGACAAUAAUAUUUUCCAUCUUCAUCCGGUCAACCUCUUUCUGAAGAAAAUUGCAAGAACUGCUCGACGCCUUCCUCAUAUUCUAGGCUGAUGCGACUUUCAUUCAUCCAACUUUGAUCCAUCUAAGUAAUAACUCCGUGAUGCUCACAAAGUUAUUCAAUGCAUGAAAAUCUCACUUUUUUAUUAUAGGUGUGGCCCUAUCCGAUUCAGGAGGACAGUCUUUUAUGGUAGCUUCAUACGUCAGGGGUAAUUCUAUUUUGUUAAAUUUGACAAAAUUUUGGCAGCAUUUCGCAUUGGUCUCCAAGUACACGAUAUGAAAUUAAUUUCUUGAUAAUCAAGUAUGGACUCAGAGAACAACUCGAAAUGCAUUGUACAGAAAUUUCAUCAAAUUAAACAAAAUAAUGUUAACCUUAACGCAUGAAUCUACCAUAAAAAUAUCAGUCUCUCCAAACUGUCCAAACAAACAAUUCAAGAUUGAAUACAAUGAUUAAUGCAAACUGUCCGCAAGAAUCAUUGCAUUCAGUCUCAAACGGGAAUCUAAGGUUCACUCAUCAUGAACACAAUUUGUAUAGCAUAUAUCAAUUGUCAUUAAUGACAAUGAACAAGUAAUAAAAAUAUUAAUUGGUAACAAACAUUUGUACCUGUGAUGAUGAACAACACGGUCCUAAAUGAAAGCAAGAAUCAAAGAUAUAACUCAAUGACCACCUACGUCAAUCAGCAAACUGAUAUAAAUAUGUGACAAUGAGUAGGCUUAAAGUUUAAAUUUGCUUUAAGUGCUUCAUCAAAUGAGUAGGUUGUGUGUGUGUGUGUGUGUGUGUGUGUGUGUGUAAAUAUGUGACAAUGAGUAGGCUUAAAGUUUAAAUUUGCUUUAAGUGCUUCAUCAAAUGAAUAGGUUGUGUGUGUGUGUGUAAAUAUGUGACAAUGAGUAGGCUUAAAGUUUAAAUUUGCUUUAAGUGCUUCAUCAAAUGAGUAGGUUGUGUGUGUGUGUGUAAAUAUAUGACAAUGAGUAGGCUUAAAGUUUAAAUUUGCUUUAAGUGCUUCAUCAAAUGAGUAGGUUGUGUGUGUGUGUGUGUGUGUGUGUGUGAAAGUUGCAAUCUUAGAUUUAUAAUGCUCUAAAAUCUGAUAGGAAUAUAGAUAAAGCUGUAUUGUUGACAGCUGUGUAACUUACUUAACAGCUUGCUGCUAAUUAAUAGUAAAUAUUAUAGAGAUUCAAACCUAGCUUCAGCUUUCACAAUGGUGACAAGGGCUUCCCAAAAGCAAGCAGUAGAGGUACUCCCUAUGCCUUGCAGCUAAAGCAGUUGCAGAGAAGCAAGCAAAAGCCAAAAUAGUUGCCACAAAUGCACUAAUGAUAAGGCUGCAGAAUGAAGAAAAAUGACAAAACAUCAUUCAAAACUCAACACUAGUCACAGAAGCAACUGGCCAUUAAUCACAAAGCAAUUAACUCAACAAAUACCCCAAUCACAAAUCAAUCAUUUUCCCCUUUCCUAACAACAACUACUUUCUGGUUUCCUCAUUAAGUCCUUCUUUCCUUAUAAUUGACAAACUUGAUUCACUAAAUGCAUGCAAUCUACUCUUUAAAGGUUUAGUUUGAUUUCUCACAUUCAAUUAGUUUUUUGUGAUCUACUCACAAAACCUUAGAAUAUGCUUUCCCUGGUCACAAAGAGUUUGAAACAAUGUCCAUUUAUGUUAAUGAUGUUAUCCUAGUUAUAGGUCCAUCUUAUCUAAACCACAGGAUUGGUAAUUUGAGUAAAUUACGCAGUAAAACUACAAAACUGGAUCAAUCAAUAGAGAGAACCAUGCUCAAGUUGCAAUGAAUGAAGAUAAUACGAAGACAAUGCUAAUGGUACAUAGACUUCUUGCUUAUGAGUAAAUGGCUAAUGGUUCAUUGGAUAAAUGGAUAUUCAACAAGAACAAAGAGGAGUUUAUGUUGGAUUGGGAUACAAGGUAUAACAUAGCACUUGGAACAGCAAAAGGACUUGCUUAUCUACAUGAAGAUUGUGAGUCAAACAUUAUUCAUUGUGACAUCAAACCAGAAAACGUGCUCCUAGAUGAUAAUUUCAGGGUCAAGGUUUUUGAUUUUGGUUUGGCUAAGCUCAUGACACGUGAACAAAGGCAUGUGUUCGCAACACUUAGAGGCACUACAGUGUAUCUUGCACCUGAGUGGAUCACAAACUGUGCCAUAUCAGAGAAAAGUGAUGUUUAUAGCUAUGGUAUGGUGUUGGUAGAGAUCAUUAAGGGGAGGAAAAACUAUGAUCCCAGUGAAACUUCAGAGAAAUCCUAUUUCCCAUCUUUUGCUUUUAAGAUGGUGGAAGAAGGGAAUGUGACAGAGAUUCUUGACUCAAAGGUGGAAACUUAUGAAAAUGAUCAAAGGGUUCACAUUUCUGUGAAUGUUUCAUUGUGGUCCUAAUCAUAAAUAUUGCUCUAAUUAUAAAUAUUGCUUUAAGUAGAGACAUGGUCCUAAUCUCUUACAUAGACUAUGACAUCCUAAGCCUAGGAGUACCACCAAAGACAAACUUUAAGGCAAUCCUUACUUCUCAUAUAGUUUUUAUUUCAUUUUUAGUGAAUUCAAUUUAUAGUAACAGCUAACAAGGUUUUAGGCUAAGCAAUCCAAAACAAAAUGGGAUAAAUACCUUGGUCUUCAGAUUUCACCUCAAUAAACACAGCUGAUGCUUCACGUGGUUGCAACUUUUGAACCAUCUCUGCAGCUACUUCCUACAAGAAACAACACAGAUUAUAGACAAUUGUUAAAUAUAUAUUGUAGACAACUAUAUUGUGUACACAACUGUGUAGGUAAAAGGCUAUUUUGAGUGUGUGUGUGUGUGUGUGUUAGGUUGAGUGUGUAUACAACUUUAUGUGUUGUCAUGUUGAGUGUGUGGGAAGCUGAGUAUCUAAUCCUUAUCCAAAGGUAGCCUUCCCCUCUCUCUCUCUCUCUCUCUCUCUUUCUCUGUACUAUAUGUGUGUGUGUGUGUGUGUGUGUUAAUAAAAAGCUAAUGUAUGCUGAGUGUGACAAUUAUCUCCACUCAUUCAAAUUCAAGUUCUGGAGUAUCUCAAAUCCUUAAGCAAUGUAGUCCUAAAUUUUCAACAACAAUGAUGGGUAAAUAUUAGGAACUAGAAUUAAGUUAGGGCUGAAAUUAACAAUGGGGGGACAGCACAGAUGAUGAUAGCGUAAGUAUAGGAGCAGUAGAAAAAGCAAGGGAUUAUUUUGCACUGAUGAUGGAUAAGUAUGAGAUCGAGCCAUCGUGCAUAAGUAGAAGCACAAGUUUUUGGCAAUUGAACCAAAUGAAGGAAGAAAUCCAAGAAAAAGAAGCAAAGGAAGAAUCUCAGCAAAAGGAAGAAAAGAUGCUGCCAAACCCUACCUGGAAAACUCAAUCAGGUUGCUGCAAAAUCAAUUUGCAAAUCUGGACCUAUAGUUUUUAAGCCACAAACUGCAAAUAUCAUAAGAAAUUAUGCAACCUACAAGCAAAGGAGAAAUGGUAAGACUUUCAUUUUUAGUUGUUCAUGACUCAACUAAAGAAUCAGGAUGCAAAUUUGAUUACACAAAUUGAAUAUAUUUCAGAUUUAGAUCUAGACAGCUAUUCUCCUAUCCUCUAACAUCAAAGAUGUUUAUUCUUUAAGAAAAAGAACAGAAAAAAAGGAAGCGACAACGCCCAAUGCUCUCCCUUAUGUUGUUGGAGAGGCUUGUCUCUACCCAUGUUUACAGCAUGUAAAUUCACAUACCCCUCUUCAGUGACUAGGAAGUUUCUUUAACAACACAGAGAAACAGGUUGAGGAGAAAAGGGCCAAUUGCACCUGAGCAAAUGUUCUAUUCUGUUUGUUACUAUUAUACUUUUCUGAUGUGUAUUCGGUUUAGUAAUAUGUGUAUGAUAUCACAACAUGUCUAUAUUUAUCAAUGUUUCUUGUUGAGUUUGGAGGGAGUUAGGAGGGAAUAGCUUGAUUGAUAUUGCUUGUGGUGUACUGCUUUUUCAGAGCAUUUGGUUAUAAGUAUUUGAAACUAAAAAGGAAGCAUUUGGUUAUAAAGAAGAUAAAAAAAAUUGAAAAUAAAAAGGAAGAGUGCCAUUUAAGUGUUGAAAGCUUCCACAGUGUUGGGUUGUUUUUGGCAGGUAGGAAGAGAAGCAAGUUGCAACAAAUGAUAAUUGGGAGUAAAAAAUUCAAAAAGCAAACUCAAGAAACAUGUUCUAAAUCCUAUGUUAAACCGGAUAGCUCAUUCAUGAACUUGAUUUCAAACAUGAUCAAAGGAUGCUCACAAUCAACUCAAGAUGAGGAAAAGUCUUUGGCUCUUAACCUUGAAAAUCCUAAUCAUCAUCUUCAACAGCCAGAUCAGAAACUUCUCAAGUGCAACAAGAAUAAAUAUUUAGAGCUAAAAAAUGCAGGGUUCAGAUCAAAUUUUUAGUCUAUGGUUGGUGCAAAAUUUAAGAAUGUUGGAACAAGAAUGUCUCAAGUCGGAAAGGCUUCUAAAGAUUUUGAGCCAGGUACCAAGGUACAUGGAAUUGAUGCCACUCCAAUAACCUUCUAUACAAAGAACAAUAGCCUUUACAGACAGUAUUUUCAAUCAAAUAAGUUUGAAAUAUCUGAAGGGAGAUUUGAUGCCUGUCCCCCAUUACAGUCGCAGAUAAGACCUAUAAAUUCUCUCAACAGUCAUCAACACUGGAAAAAUAACUCAACAGAGAAUGAAAAAUUGUUACAACUUGGAGCUAACUAAGGAGAAAGAAGGAAUGGCAUUACUAUCAUUACAUUCACCUUCAACUAAACAAAACAGAAAUGAUAAUGAGAAUGUCAAGUCUUGUGCAAUGUAUGAGAGUAAGGAAAUGUGUCAUAGAAGUGAUAAUGUGGAAGGUCUUUGGAUAAAUCGUUUUUUUUUUACCAAAGUCAACUUCCCCCUUGGUAGUUUUUGAUCACCUUAAUGAGAGAGGUGGUUCUGAAGUUCAUUCUGCGUCAAUAUAGAGGAUUCCACUAUCCUUAAGGAUGAUAAGGGAAAUCAAUAUCACACAGCAAAGAUGAAUAAGUUCAAAUCCUUUACAUAUUUCCCUGGAUUGAGAGCUGCAGGGCCAAUGGUGUCCAUGUUUGCAAGGAGAUUAGGUUCCAUAAAAAAGGAAGCAUUUGGUUAUAAGUAUAAACUGGAUAAUAAUUUAUUAGAGAUAAACUAACUAUAUCUUAAUUAACAAGUAUGAUAACAUAAAGUAUUAGCAAAGCUACAUACGAAUCAAGUGUUGCAGCCAAGGCACAACUUGAGGUAGCCAAAGCUAGAUAUACAACAGUUGUUUCAGAUUUAAUAGGUGUGAAAGAGGAGCUGUAAGCAUUGCACAAAGAACCUAUUUCCUUAGUGACUGAUAGAGAUGUAGCUAUUAAGAAAGCUGGAAAGUAGAUUACUUGCAGCUCAAAAGGUGAAUAUCAAACCAACCAUCAACUUCCAGCUAACAUGUGCUUAUUUAAAACUGUCAACGAAGUAUUGCAGCAUUAAUUUGAUAGAAAUUGAUCAAGAACAAUGAUUACACAGAUAACUUGGCAGUUUUGGCUUACACCAUAGCCAACAUUUUUUUUUCUUUUUUGGGACUUGGGUACAUGAAAAUUUAUGGGGAGGAAAAGUUGUUGCAUUCCAAGUUCAUGACAUAGCACAAGCCAUUUGAAAUGGUACUUAAAGUUACACAUGACAUGCCAAUGGGCCUCAUUUAGAUAAAUUUCUCAACAAACACUUAUAGGAAAAAAAAUAGGAGGUAAAAUGAAUGAAAUUUCUCCCUUAAGUGAAAAUCAACUUGUGCACCUAGCUUAUGGACAAAUUAGAUUAGGGAGCUUCUAAAAAAUUAAUGGGAGAAGUUUAAUUCAAUAAACCUCUUUAUUUUCUUAUCUUAUAAAUGCUUGUUAAAAAGUUUAUUCAAACUGGGCUUAAGUAGAUAAAAUUUGAUCCUACUAGUUGAAGUUAACCCUCAUUAACAGAGUCUACAAUUUUUGCUAAAUAAAGCUACAACUGAAACUACCAAGACAUGUUAAUUGUACCUCAGAGAAAGGAGAUUACUUGCAGUUCAAAAGGAGAUAGAGGCUGCAAAGCCUUCUGAAAAUUUGGCAAUAGCAGCAAUUAAAGCAUUGCAAGAAAAAAAGGGUUCAAAUAAAUAAUAAAAUUACAAACAUUGCUUUCAUUAGUUUCAAUCUGAAUCAUUCAUUCACAAAAUUCAGUUAAGAUUCGCUUUUCUUAAAAUCUCAUUUCUCCCUAGAUAUGCUUUGAUAUACAAGUGUGACUUCAAAGUAGGUUUAAGGGCAUGCAAAUACAUAUCCAAACCCACUCUCACUUCUGCAAAUUGGUAAAACCCAAACUCACUCAGCCAAAGCAUACUUCUCCAUCAAAAUCAGGGCAUUGGAUAUGAGUAGCCAUGGUUUAAAGAUUUAAUAGCCAUACCUAGAUAAAACACUCUGAUUGUAAACUUCUGGUGACUCAGAAAGAGUAUCACUAAUUCCUAUGGAUAACGAGUGUUGUCAACUUUCUGGUACCAUCUUCAAUUCCUAUGGAUAAAAAUAAAAUGCAUAUGCUUGUGAUAUUCUUUUUAGAGAAGAAUGUAUUAGGGCACAUUAACAUUAGGUAUGCAGUUUGUUGCUCAUACAGUUAUUCACAAAUCCAAGUCUCAUGCACAAAAAUCUGGAAUUCUCAUACAGUUUGCUGCUCGUAGAAGUUGAUUUAAACUCAAUUAGAUACAUACCUGGCAGCCACUUGUACCUUUUUGUGAAGAAACUAAUAUGGACUAGUAGGUCCAUACUAGAUCUUAGCCUAAUCGCACCCGCACGAUCAACUAUCCAAUGCCCUACGGGGUGCACCUUUUAUACAAGAACACAGUAAGGGUAAGGGAUAUUGCGUUAAAUAUAAAAUACCCUAGCCAUGUUUACUUCACUAAGUGUGCGAUAGAUGAAUGCAAUCAAAUAUUUAUACAGGAUUAGACGAAACAUACCUAGGUAAGGUGGCGAAGGAGAAGAAGCAGAGAGUUGUGACGAUGCUCAAGCUUAGAUGAAACGAUGCUUAGAUGGAGAACAAAGAGCUUCAAGGUAGAUGGAGAACAAAGAGCUUCAAGGUAGACGAAGAACAGAGACCUUAGAUGGAGAAGAAAAGAGAGCGAAAGCUUAGAUGGAGAAGAUGAGAGCGUGAGCCAUAUCUUAACUUAUCAAACGUUAACAUCGGUUUUGUGAAAACCUGAUGUUAACAAACUUAUGUUAACAAACCGAUGUUAACUAAUUAAUGUUAACAUCAGUUUUCCAAUAACUGAUGUUAAUGUCACUUCAUUAACAUCGGAUUUUCACAAAACCGAUGUUAACGGAUACACAGUAUUUACAAUUAUGCCACCGCGUUUACGUUAACAUCGGUUUUGUUAACAACCAAUGUUAAGCCGCCGAUGUUAAAUAUGCCUUUUGUAGUAGUGUUAAACUAGCUUAACUAUAAGCUACUAUUGAGGGUUUUCUCCUAGCUGCAUCAUUAGGGUUUUUUAGAUCCUAAGGCUUCCAUGUUUGUUUUUCCCAUGUGGUUGUGGCUCUACCUAAGCUGAUUUGCUGCCUUAAUUUGACACCUUCUACCCCGAUAUACAUAUUUAUAUAGUAGAAUACAUGAAAAUGCAAAAUUACAUAAAAUGAUUUUAUUCAAUAAACAUAAAAAAGCUCACGUGGGUAAAAUGUUAACAUUCCCGUUAAUCACAAAAUUAAAAACUUAUCAAUUGAGGGUAUGAAAACAUUUCCAACUCAAAACAAGGUUGUUCAAGUUUACCAAAGAACUCAAGUUAAGUAACAAAAUAAAAAAAGUAAAAUGACAUGUUUGGAACAUCAUGCAAUUAAAACAGAAACCCAUGCCCCAAUGUCACAUCCUAUCAUAGUAUUGUGUCCUAACAUCUUCCAGCACGAGGUUCCUUAAAGCAAUCCGCCUAGCCAUCUACUCUUAUGAACACAAGGUUAGAGAUCAUCACAUGAUCCAAACACAUACGGAGUGAGUUAUCACAUUCCUAAACAGGUAAAGAUAGCCAAAGGCUUAUAUAUAUAUAUAUAUAGUAUGAGUAUAACAAGUUCAAAUUAGAACAAUUCAUAUCACUUUAUCACUCUUUGCAUAACAUCACUUGUCCCAAGGAUUUAAUCAUAUUCCACACCUUCACAUUAAUCACGUGUUCAAAACAACAAAUCUCAAGUACAACAUAACAUCUCACACUCACACAAUUCAUUAUCCACCAUCACGUAGCAAGCCACAUGGAUCAUUACACAGGUGUUAUGCAACAGAUACACUAAGACUCACUUCUAUAUGCAAUAUGGUACUAUGUCAGUGAAAAACCUCAUCGGACGCUUAGGAGUACAUGACAAGACAGACCACAUACUGGUAAGUCAGGUCACUCUCACUAGGUAAAAUCAUAGGGAGACCAGUUAGGGUCACCCUGUUUUGCGAGAAUGCUCCAACCAUGUGGGAUCGACACAUGCUUAAAGGAGUACUCAAACUGGAUGUAUUUACCCCUAAGGCCAAGACUCCGAAGAGUCCGUCAGGACUUCUCCCUCCUGAUUCAGGUCUAACCCAUAAAACAUUUUAGCACGCAAACUCUAUCUAUAAACUAUACAAAACACACGACUCCUCAAUUGUUCUCAAAAUAAUUUGAACUCAUUGUGCUUCAAAGUGAUUCAACUCGUCGAGUUCCCACAGUGGACCCCAUCACAAUACUCGUCGCACAUUUACUCGUCGCCCUUAAAGGGUCUUAAAAUCGUGUGAUUUUACAGUUCAUAGCUCAGACCUCAAUGCACACAACAUCUCAAUACAUGUGUGAUCUCUCAAUUUAACACAUACUCAACUUAUCACAUACACUCAAUCUCAAUCACAAUGUUAUAAUCUCAAAGCAACAUGUUAUCACACCUUACAAAUCAUAUACAUAUCACAUAAUAUUAAUAUAUACAUGGCACAAACACAUACUUUACCUAUAAACUAUGCAAUACACACAACUACUCAAUUUUUUUUAAAAUCAUUUUAACUCGUCGCACCUCAAAGUGAUUCAACUCAUCGGAUUCCUACAGUGGAUCCCAUCACAAUACUCGUCUCACAAAAACUCGUCGCCAUUAAAGGGUCUUACAAUUGUGUGAUUGCACAAUUCAUAGCUUACAACUCGAUACAUACAAUAUCUCAAUAAACAUGUAUCUUGCAAUUCAUCACAUAUUCAAUUUAUCACUUACACAAUAUUUCAAUCACAAAUUCACGAUCCUAAUAUAACAAUUUAUCACACUAAUCUAGUAAAUCUUGUUCAAAACACAAACAAAUUAUACAAAAAUGUUUCUCGCAACAUGGGAGAAAAACCCCUCGAACAAUUUCACAUACUCAUAUAAAAAUAAAAGGAAUCAAAAUCAUAGGUCAAAAACAUAAAAACACCAACAACACUCAAUUUUAUCAACCAAUUCACAUCAGGGCAUCAAUUGGUCCAUCAAACAAAAUAAUAUCAUAAUUAUAAUUGUAAAGGAAGAUAUACAAUACAGUAAACAUCCCAAAAUAAACUCUAAUUUGAUCCUCUAAGAUCCCUACACAUGUUCAUUCUAACCCAAUUGCGAUAAACCCAUCAUUUACCUCUAAGCGGGCUCACUGCAUAGUCCGACAGUGAUAACAGGGUCUCUAGUGAUUCUGUAAGAUUCCUGAAGCUUUUCUUUUGGUUUCUCUGCUAGGUUUUCCAAGCAUUAGAGAGAAGGAAAAGGGAUUGGAGUCUCAAUUUCACUGUCUCUGUGAGAGCGGUAUGUCUCUCUAAAAACAUUAUAUCCCAAAUACCAACGGUGGAAAUGUGUGGAAAUGAGUUUCGGAGGGGGUGUCCAAAUUUCUUAAUGAUCCAACGGUUAAAGAGUCUGAGAUCAUAGUUUUACUGAGACAUGUUUGAGUGUAUACGAGAAAAAGAAAGAGUUUUGAGAGAGGAAGAAGGGAAAACGAAUUUGAGAGGAAGAAAGAGCGUAAGGACAUAUCAUAAAUGUAAAAACUGACCUAAUAUAUCUCUAUGUAUAAUUAGGGUACUUUCAGCCUAUUAUUUACUCUAUUUUUCUUUAUUUUAUUAUUUUAUAAAAAUGAACUUUAUUUUACUUUCAUUGAAUAAAAUAACCAGUUAAAACAUUCCUUUAUUUUCUAAAACAUCAUUUAACUCUAUUUAUUUUCUAAUACUAUGAAACUCUUAUUUUAAUUAACAAAAACCCUUUUUCUCUCAUUUAUUUAAUUUCUAAAAACUCUAUUAAUUUUUAAAUAAAUUUCUUUUUAUUUAUUUGACAAAAAAAUGGGGUGUUACACCUAAUAUCAUAUUUAUGCCUAUUUGGUACUUAUGAAAACGACAUCAAAUGGAUCAUGGAAAGAACCUUGACCUCAUUGAUGAGGAAAAGGACAUAUUAGAGUUGUCAGAACAGGAGGAAACAAGUCAACUGGAUAAAAAGGAUGUGGAAGGCUAUUAGCUCGUUGGCAAAUUCUUGAAGCAUGGAUCGAUGAACGUAAGGGUUUUCAAAGCCACAAUGGCCCAAGCAUGGAAAAUGAAGGGAGGACUAGAGGUGAGAGUUGUGGAGAAGAAUCUUUUCACCUAUUGUUUUUCCAGAAGAAAGCAGAGACAUGGUUAUGAGGCUGGCUACAUGGAAUUUUGAUAGGAAGCUAGUGGUUCUAAGUGAUCUUGAUCAAGACAAAAGCCCUAGCAUGGUUUAUCUAAAUUGUUGCCCAUUCUGGGUAAGGAUUUAUGAUUUGCCCCUUAACCUGAGGGUCAAAAGAGUGGCUCAAACAAUUGCAAACACCAUACCCCAAUUUAUGGAGUGGAAUAAGAAUGAGCAGAAUCGGUUGGGUCGCUUUGUAAGAGUGUGAAACCUCAUGGAUGUUAUAAAAUCUCUACGGAGGGGAACACAAUUGAAACAAUGGACGUUGCUACGCAACCUCACCGAGAGACAUAAAUUCCUUAGCUGAAAUUGAUGUGGGCUUGGGAGCCCAUGAGCAAUUUGAUCUUUGUGGAGACUUCUUUCUGAUGAAGGUCUUGACUUGGUGUUCUUUAUGGAAACCAAGAAAAAGGUUACUGAACUGAAUGGUUUGAGAUAAGGGGUUAAAAAUAUGAUAAGGGGGGUUGGUUUUGUUGUGGGGUGACUACAUUGAGGUUGAUAUCAUCUUUUCUCCCAAAACCAUAUUGACGUGUGAAUUUUUGUCCAUUCUCAACAAAAAAAAAAAGAUUCCAAUUCUCAAGUGUGUAUGGCUUUCCUGAGGGGUCUCACAAACACUUCACCUAAAAUUUUAUCUGAGAUUUACAACAUGAGAAUGAAUCCCCUGGGUUAUGUCUAGGGGAUUUUAACAAAGUUCAAAGCCCAAAUGAAAAGAUUGGGGAAAUCCAGUGUGUAUGAGUCAGGUAAAAAAUUUCAAUGACACUCUUAAUGAUGUUAGCCUAAGUGACUUGGGGUAUUUGAGCUAUAAAUUUAUUUGGACAAAUAGAUGGAAAAAAGCCCAACAACAUACAAGAAUGCUUAGAUAGAGUAGUUGAUGAUGCUUAGUGGAGGAGUUGGAGGAAAGAAAUGUUAGGUGUACCAUCUGUCUAGAUUCGAGUCGGACCAUUGCUUGAUCUUUGUUUAAUUCUUGGUGCAAAAAAGGAGGAGGAAAAGAAGGGCAAACAUCUAUCAUUUUGAGCAAAUAUGGUUAAAGGAUAUGAUUUAUGGUAUCUUAGAAAUAGAGGCAAAGCAAAAUGAUCUCCUCCUCAAAGAAGAGUUUUACUGGUCCAAAAGGUCCAGAGCAACAUGGUUGGUCCAAAAGAAACAAAACCAAUACCAUUGAGAAGGUUAAGGAUGGCAAUGGUGACUUCAAAGAUGAUGAGAAAAGAAUUGCAGGUAUUCUAAAUAAUUAUUUCUCCACUAUAUUUUCUUUAUUAGUAACAACUGGGUGCAUGAGGUAUCCUACAUGGUUGGAAUACGAUUAUAUGAUUAAAUGAUAAAUAUUUUAAAUGGAAAGUUUAGUGGGGAGGAAGUGGAGUAAGCAUUCUUUCAAAUGCACCCAACAAAUGCUCUAGGCCUUGAUGGCACCCCUACAUUAUUCUAUCAACAAUUUUGGGACCUUGUUGGUCUAGAUGUCAAGAGGUUGGUGUUAAAUAACUUUAAUGAUGAAGGAGACCCAACCACAAUAAACAAAACAUUGAUUGCACUCAUCCAAAAAGUUAAAAGACCCACAAAUGCAAUUAGAUUUAGACUAAUUAGUCUUUGUAUUAAUGUCAUCUUCAAAAUUGUUAAAGACUAUGGCUAACAGUUGAUGAUGGUUCUUCCUUCCAUGCUCUUAUUGCUUUUGAAUGCUUCCACUAUACGAAGAAUAAGAGAAGUGGAGAUGGAUUUAUUUGAUCAAGGCCAUUUGCAUGGUCUAAAGAUAUGUAUUUCUGCUCCUAUUAUUUCACACUUGUUCUUUGCAAAUGACAACAUUAUUUUUACAAGGCAACACUAGAGGAGGCAAUGUGUCUAGUAAGUAUUCUAAAGACUUAUGAGGGUGCUUCUAGACAGAAAAUUAACCUAGAUAAAUUAGAGCUCUCGUGUAGUUGAAAUGCACCUAGUACUAGAAUUGAUGAACUAACAAUGCUUCUUGGAGAAAAGGCGGUGGAGACCUAUGUGAAAUAUUUGGGUCUUCCUACGUUGAUAGCAAAAUCCGAAACCUAAGUUUUCAAAUUUGUCCGAGAUUGGGUCUGGAAAAAACUCAAAGGUUGGAAGGAGAAGGUUUUGUCAAAGGCGGGGAGAAAAGUGUUGAUAAAAUCUAUGGUUCAAUCUAUACAACCUAUGCCAUGGGUUAUUUCUUCUUGCCACUUUCCACUUGUAGAAAGAUAGAAAGUCUCACAACCCAUUUCUAUCGAGGGAGGGGAUGUUGAUGGGAAGAAGAUCCAUUGGAUGAGCUGGAAAAAUUGACUAGAAAUAGGAACCAUGGAGGGCUUAGAUUCAGAUUUGUUAAAUCCUUCAAUCUAGCCUUACUAGCGAAACAAUAGUGGAUACUCAUUUUCCACCCAGACUCCUUAGUGGACUUUUUUUUUACCAAACAAAGUGAUUUUGUAAAAUUAUAUAGCAAAUUUGGUAUUUUCAAAAACUAUUUAUCAAAUAUGAGUAAUUUUGACUUUUGACAUCAGUUAUAAUUAAUCACCUAUUUCUGGUAAAUAGUUUUCAAAAUCACCUAGUUUGGUAUAUAGUUUUACAAGAGCUAGUUUGUUAAAAAAAAAAGUCUUCCUUAAUAUGGCUAGGGUUUAUAAGGCAUGUUACUUUCCUUCCAAGUGCAUCCUUGAGGCCACGAAAGGUUCUGAUAGUAGCUAUAUGUGGAGUAGCUUACAAAAAGCAAAGGGGAUAAUUGAAUAUAAGGUUGCAUCUGGAGUUUUCGAGAUGGUUUGAUGACCUCAAUAAAAAAUGACACAUGGAUGCCGUGUGUGCCCGGAGGAAAGAUUCCACUUUUUGAAUAUGUGGAUAUUCCUGAUGAAAUGAAAGUUUCGGAGUUCAUUAAUGUUGAGUCGGAUUGCUAGAAUACUUAAACUUUAAAAUUAACAAAAUUAAGACUAUAAUAUUAUUAUUUACUUUUUAAUAUCGACAUUGUUUAACAAUUGUCUAAAAAUUUUACCUAAUUUUUUAUAAUAUAAAGUAGGAAACUUUUGACGUGCUUUUUUCCUCUUGAAAUAAGGGUAUUUUCAACAAUUUUUUUAUAGUUAUUUCAUUAUUUCAUUUAUUUUUUUUGGUGAAUCUUUUAUAUAAUACAAAAUAAGAAAGUUUUGGUGCACUUUUUUCCACCCAAAAUAAGAAUAUUUUUGACAAUUUUUUUGGUUACUUAUUUUUUAGUUAUAUUUUUGGUGGAUGAAUAAAACUGAAACAUUUAAUAGAAAAUGAGUUUUAAAUGCAUAUUUAUUUAUUAGGUAUUGAAAGAAAGAUAAUAGGUUCUAAAUGAGUUUUAAAGCGUAUUAAUAAGUAUUUAAAUUCAUUCAUUGGUUUAUUAUAUUUAUAGAGAUUUAUAAUAUCUAUGAAAAUAACGGCUAGGUGCAUUGGGUCCAUGUUUUGUUAGAGGCUAAACAUGCUUUAGUUAAGUAUCUCUUUGGAACUUCAAAAUUUUACAUGUCUUUGAUGUUGUUCUUGAUUGUAUUUAUCACGUCAUAAGGGUGAAUUUAACUUCUUCAAAAGCUUUUAGACUUUAAUAAUAUUUUCAUUAAUGAAAAAACUAUUAUAUUUUUUUAAAUUGGAAUUUAAAAAUAAGAAUAUCAUAUAUUUUAAAAAUAUUAUUUAAAAUUAAUAAGAAAGUUUUGACACACUUUUUUUCACCUAAAAUAGGUAUACUUUAGACAAUUUUUUUGGUUAUUUCAUUUUUCUUUUAUUUUUUGAUAAAUAAAAAGAGAGACAUUUAAUAGAAAAUGAGUUUUAAAUGGAUGUUUAUUUAUUAGGUAUUGAAAGAAAGAUAAUAGAUAUUAUUGAUGUCAUUAAUGAAUAUUUAAUUUGAAUUCAUCCAUCAAAAUAAUAUGAAGUGCAUUGGAUUCAUGUUUUGCGGGAGUCUAAACAAGUUGUUGAUGUUUUAACUAAGUAUGAGCUGGAUCUUUAGAAUGCUAAGCAAGUCUUUCAUGUUGUUCUUUUACUGUAUUUAUCAUGUCAUAAGGGUGAAUUUAGGUUGCAUUAGUUUUUUUAUAGGCUUAUAACCUUUAAUAAUAUCUAUCAUUAAAAAAAUAUCAUGUUUAUAAAUUUGCAUUUGAAAAUUAAUAAUAUCAAAUUUAAAAGAUAAAAAAGAACUAAAGGUAUUAAUCUGUCAUUAUAGAAUCAUUUAUCAAUUGUAAUUAUAUAUUACCCUAGCUUGAUGGAAGAGAGCUAUGAAGGAAAAUGAAAAUAGUGGUAGCUUGAUCACCCAUUUACAUUACCCUUAUGUUUUAUUGUCAUUGGAGAAUACUUUAAAAAUUAAUAUUUGAGAAUAAUGUCUAUUGAAUGUCUCAUAUAGGAAUAGAGUGAUGUUUAUUAGUGUCCUGUAAUUCUUUUUCUUAAACAAAUCAUUUUGCUUAACUUGCUAAGUAGCUUUAAAUGAUUUAGCUUUUUCCACUUGAAGAAUUAUUCAAGAUUAGAAGAUUUAAGAGGAUUGAAAUAAUACUAAGAUUCUAGCUCAUUGAAUGGAGAAAAAUAAUUUUUGUUGCCAAGAUGUUGCCAAGUAUCACCAAAAAAACCCAACUAGCUUGUUUUUAUUGUUGUUUCCAAACCCUGCACAUCAACUGCUUAUGUUUUUGUCCUUAUGAACUAUGUUUUGUUUAGCCAUCUAAAUUUAGAAAUGAACUUUCUUUUUUGCAACCUUUUCUUAAUAACAAAAGCACCCUUGCCUAGUUGUUAAAUUUACACAAAAGUCUAGUACAAACAAAUCGUUGAGGAUACGAUCUUUGUACUUUGAAAAUACUACAUAGAUUGGUAUGCUUAUCGAUGAUGUAACAAAGCCCCACCCCCAUGGUGGCUCCUCUCCUUGUGCCGCCUACAUCAAGCCCUCCCUUGCCUCUGGAAGCCACCACCACCUUGUCAUGUGCAAAGGCUACGAGUACGACUUCCACCCAGCCACCACCAAUUAAUUAAUGAUAUUUGAUUAUAGAAGUCAUUUUAAAAAUAUUUGCAAAAUAUAUACAUUAAAAUUUAAAUACGGUUAUAAUUUAUCCAAUAUAAAAAUUUUGGGCAUCACACAGGUACAAGAACUAGAACAAUAAUAAAAGUCAGUAGUUGACAACAUCAAUCCACUAAUUUAAGAUGAGAGAGAUGAUACCUACAAAUAUACUUUUAAAAAUUGAAUUUAUAUUUAUAAAAUUAAGAAAAAAAGACAUGCAUAUUUAAUUGGGUUAAAAAGUAAAGAGAAAAAAGAUAUUUCAUUAGGACAUACUAUUGGGUGGAUUUUACAAUAAACCCACUCAACAAAUUGUUCACCAGUAAACUAAUAAUUACAACCAUUAAAUAUAUUUUAAAAAAAAUAAAUUAUUCAAAUUCAGAAUUAUAGUUAAUUUAUCUAGUUAGUUAAAUUUAAUUAUUCUUAUAAUCCAAUUAGAACACCACCAUUUCUCUGAAGAGAAGACCACACCACCGUGAACACUAUCAUACUCUCACUUACUGAAAUCAAAACAAAACACCACUAUCUUCUUUGUCUCAACAAAAAUCAAAACCAAACAAAAUUUGAUUUAGGAAUUUCUUGUUUAUUCAACAAGCACAAUCAAAAUCAAAAUCAAAUCAUCAGCAAAUACAAUCUUAUAAUCAAAAUCAAAUCAUCUACAUAUGUUGUGGGGUGUGUGUGGGGUGAUGUGAGGUAUUUACGGUAUGGUUUGGCUUCAUUUUUGAUUGAAAAGUCAUUUGAGUCAAACAUAAAAAUUUAAUGUUUUCAGUUUGGUUUGGUUUGAAUAUAAUAUCAAAUUCAAAUCAAAUCAAACCAAUCUUUUGUUGUCUGAUUUGGAUUGAUUUUUGUGAUUUUUAAUAUUUUUAAUUUUAUCUUUAUAUGACCUUUAAAAAUAUUUAAUUUAACUAACAAAAAAAAAUUGACACUAAAACUAUCAAACAUUCAAAACCUUAUUUAGACACUAUAGCCCAAUAGUAGCUAAUAGCUUGGUAUACAUUUAAAAAUUUGAUGUAUUUUGACUUCUUGUAGAUAAAUUAUAUGAAGUAUAAACUAAUGCUCUAGUCAAAACAGUAGUUAAGCUCAAAUUACACUUAAAAAUAUUUGUUUUUAUUUUUUAAGUGAUUUUUAGUUUUUAUUUUAGAUCGGAUUGGAUUUGAGCACCCUUAAAAAUGACAUUACUUUACAAAAAAAUGGCGACAAAACGUCACUUUUUAGAAACACAUCAACACUUGGUUAUGCAUUUAAAGGAUUGGUAAAAUGCACAAAAAUUAGGAAAAACAUAAUAGUAUAAUUUGUGGGAAAAAAACUUGAGUUAUAAAAUUCCCAAAAUAAUAAUAGCUAAGUGGUAAAAUGUACACUCAAGCCAUAAAAAUAUAAUAUAAAACUUACCUAGAAAAGUGAUACAAAGAUGUAAAAAUGAUUAAUCCUUUAAUUUAUUCAAAUAAAGAACUUUAUUUCAAAACCAACAUAUUAUGGGAAGAUAUCAGUUGGAGUUGCUACUUUCCUCCUUUCCUUAUUAAUGCAUAUCUCUGGGUGCUUUUGCAUGACCAGGUGGUGCUCAACUCUAGGUCCAUUGUGCCAAAUGUCACCCAACAGGUCCUUGUUAUUACUUGUUCAAGUGCCUUUCUAAGUGCCCUUGUCAGGACCGGGUACUACACAUGCCCCUAAGCUCUAAGGCAUGUGAUAACGACUGUUGAAUCGCUUCAAAACAAAUAAAACUAAGAAAUUUUGUAAUACAUGAGUAACCUAGGCCAACUCAGAAAUACGAUUCAAUUUGGUUUCUACUUCAAUUCACUAAUAAAGAGUAGGGAGAAUUUCAACAAAUAGUUUGAAGGCAAGGUAAAGGAUUGCGAAAACUCAAAAACAAAAUUGUAGAAACAAAACAAAUUUUUUGGAAACAAAAUAACAUAAUAUGAAUCAAGUUUAAUAGCAUCAAUCUAAUUCACCAAACCAAUGCAAAUCGAAUCAUCAUAGUUUUGCAGAGAAUGAUCAUGUUGUGAAAGUUCAAUCAAUGUCAUUAGAGUUAGUUCAAUCAAAUUAAUUUCUAAAUUCAUUGAGAUCGCAAAUUAGGGUGGAGUAUCAUCCAAACAAUUUUUUAUUAAAUUUCAAAAUUAGGAAAUGAAUACAUUACCUAAUUCGUUUUCAAUCCUAAUCAUAUUCAUAAUCAUGAAAAUUUAAAAUAGGAUUGAAGAAACAUAUGAACAUUCACACAAAAUAGAAGUACUAAACCAGAAUUCAAAUUUAGCCUUGCUUGGAGUGGAUCCUAGGAUUGAUUGAGUGUUUUACCUUUCAUGAUCAUCGCCAAUGGAAGAUUCAUGAAAUUUUUGCAAGAAAAAGGAAGAAUAAAAGUGAAAAGAGGAAGAAGAAUGAACAACAAUUGAGAGAAAGAGAUAAAAGAGUUUGAUCUUAAAGCUUGCACAACAAGUAACUAAAUUUGUUUUUGUACAAAAUGAAGUAACUAACUCACUAACUAAAUAAAUUCUACUAAUAUAUAUAGUUACUACUCAGAAGGAAGGGAUGGGUUUUGAUUAGGCUCAUCUAAUCUACCUAAUUAAACUAAUUACACAAAGCACAGUCCAAAUUCGCAACCUAAUUAUUCAAGUGUAGAGGUUCUGACUUCCAAACUUAAUUUGACCCUCGAAAUAGUAGAAUUGGCCCAAGCUUAUUUCUGACAAAAUUGAAUCUCUCUUUCUUAGCUUUCUAGGGACUACUCACAUGCUCCAUUUGGAGUUAUGUAGUGCCUGAUAGACCUUGCACAAGAUAGAUAGGUCAAGUAAGUAAAAAAAAUCCAAAAAUAAGCCACAAUUAUCAAUUAAGCUCAAUCAUUUGCCUAAGACCAAAACUGAGUUAAGAUAGGAAAAUAGGAGUCAAAGAGAGAGGUAAUGUCAUAUGAGUAGAAGUAUUUGGUCCUAGGUCCUUUAAGCUAAGUGCUAUCGGUAGGUCUUGAUUUUGAACUUUUGGAAGUUGCAUUUCUCUAAUAUACCCUUUUUGCAUUCAAAAUCAAUUUUGAUUGAAAGUAUUAAACAAAAUUGAUGAAAAAUCACUUUAAUUGUAGUUACUCCAAGGCUGGAAAGAGUUACCUACAUACGGACUAACCCUUAAAGCUAAGUUAAGCAUUGUAGAGUGAAACAACCAAGAUGUGGCUCUUAAGCAGUUGUGAUCUUGCAUUGACUAGCGAUGCGGCCUAAGUUGUGGUUAUAAAGCUUAGACAAUCUUCAUCUUACAAGAGACUUUAUGGUGUUGAAUUAGGUUAAAAAGCCCAAAUUCUAAAAAUAAUUUCCAUAAAAAUCAUGUUUUCGAUAUCGGAUAUUGUAAAAAAAAAAAAGUUAAAACUAUUGUGCAUUUUGUUCUCUUCUGAACAUACAUAAACAACAUUCUUCCAAUUUAAAAAUAAGAUGUUGUCACGUGAUAUGUGAGGAAGGAAAUAUUACAAUUAGUUGAAACAACUGUGCAUUUUGUUCUUUUCUGAAUACACUUAAACGCCAUGAUUUUAAAUUGUGAUCACGGUUGUGGUUGCAAUUGUGGUGUGUCAGAAAAUCUUUACCCUCAAGGCCUAGACUUUGAUGAAUCCGUUAGGACCUCACCUUUGUUAUUCAGGUCCAAACCCUAAAACAAUUUUUGCAUGCAAACACUGCUCAUGAAUUAUACAAUACCCAUGACCUCACGCUUGUUCUCAAACACGUUUCACAUAUUGUGCUACAAUUUAACACUUCGAGUUCCUAACUUGGAACCCUACACUUUCCUUUUAACACUUUGUGCAUAAACAUUUUUCUCAAAGUAAACACCAAUCAGGUUAUUGUAUAAUUCACAACUCACAACACAAGUAUUGUCACAUCAAGUAUUAAUCACACACUUAUUCAUGACCAUAUCUCAUGUCCACAAUUUAACAUCUCACAAUGUCACAAUCCACCAUCACAUGUUUAUGUGUAUCUCACAAAUUAAUGCAUGUUUAACUUUGCACUUAUACUCAAUCUCAAUAACAAUGUUAUAAUCUCAAAUCAACAUGUUAUCUCACAAUUCAUCAUAUAUUCAAUUUAUCACUUAUACACAAUUUCAAUCACAAUUUCAUAAUCUCAAUAUAAUAAUUUAUCACGCUAAUCUAGUAAAUCUUGUCCAAAAUACAAACAAAUUAUACAAAAAUACUUUUCCCAACAUGGGGAGUAAAACCCCUCAAACAAUUUCACAUAACCAUAUCAAAAUCAAAGUAAUCAAAAUCAUAAGUCAAAAACACAAAAACACCAAGAGCACUCAAUUUUAUCAAUCACUUCCCAUCAGGACAUCAAUUGGUGUGUCAAACACAACAAUAUCGUAAUUAUAAUUGUAAAGGAAGAAUUAUAAUUCAAUAAACAUCCCAAAAUAAACCAUAAUUUAAUCCUCUAAAGAUCCAUACACAUGUUUAUUCUAAUCUCAAUUGCGAUAAACACAUCUCUUACCUCUAAGUGGGCUCACGUGUGUAGCCUGGCAGUGAUAGUCUAGUAGUUUCCUAAUUGCCAUAAACUCAUCACUUACACAAAUUUUGUCCGAGACAUUUGUACAAAAAUUAAAAAAAAUGGUGGUGAUGCAUGUUAAAAUACUAAAUGAGUUAACAUAUUGAAUGAAUAGUAUCACGCUAAAAUUUUAGAAGCAUUGAAAUGAGAAGGAAAAAUAUUUUGGGGUGGCCAAUUUCAUAUUUCAAAUAUUUUAGAAGGAUAAAAAAUAUAUUUUAUCCAAUAAUUAAGUUAUAUAUUUUUUAUUUAAUAAAAUAUUUUUUUAAUUUGUUAGAUAACUCUAGAAUUAGAUUUCUUCAAAAAAAAAACUUUAGAAUCAAAAGAUUUAAUGCAUAUAUGCAUAUAACACAAAUAUACCUUACCAAUGAAUAAGAAAAUUGAGCAUUGAUUUGGCCAAAUAAAAAGUAAUACAGAUUUGUUUUAACUGAAUUAGAUAUAAUAAACAACAAAAUUUAAAAAAGAAAUUUUUAUUCCAAAAAUAAGUCAAGCAUUAUCCAAAAUACUUGCAAGGGAAAAUUAAAUAUGAGAAAUAAUCAGUAAGAUUCUAUAUACAAUUAACAACAUGUAAUAAAUUAAUUUUUUUAGCUUUGGACAAAUGAUCUAUUUAAUUUUUUAUCUUCAUUUUUUGGUUUAUUUUGAUCUUAUCUUUUAGAAAUUUUAUUAUGAUCUUUUAUGUUCUGAAAAAGAAUCAAAAUGGUCCUUUCGUCAAUGCAAAGAUAACGUCGUUAAUGAAGUAAAGAUAUUAAUGGCUAAAAAUUAUCACAAAAUAUAAUUUCUUAUUUUCUUUAGCUUUCUCCUUCCCUUAUUCCCUUGAACCAAAAAAAUAAAAUAAAGAAUCAAAUAGGCCAUUUGAUCUUUUGUUUAAUAUACCUAAACAUGAAUCCAUUAAUUAAAUGAUUUGCAUAUCUGUUUGUCAAAUUUUGAACUUGCAUAAUAUUUUUUAAAUUAAAAAUAAAAACAAUAAGUGUUCCAAAAAUUUGUACUCAAUUUUUUUUAAUAUUUUCAUUGAACAUAAAAUAAAAGACAUAAAGAUUUUUUUCAAUGACUUACAUCAUUUAUCAAAAAAUGUUACCAUCUUCGCUCUAUCCAUUCUUUUAAGUAACCCCCUAUAAGAUAAAGAAAUUUAUCAUAAGCCUUUUUGCAUUUUAUUAUAAGCAUUAUAUAAUAGAUUGGAAAGAAAAUUCAUAAACAGAAUGAAAACCUAUAAUUAUUCUCAAUAUAAAGUAUAUUAGACAAGAUAAAUUUAAGUAUUGAAUUACCUUUCCUUAUAUAUUGUGAUAUACUUGUCUAUCAACCAUAUUAGAAGUAAUAUGAUCGAGUAUCUUGAUCUUCACCAUCUUUUACCAAAAUAUUUAACCCUUUUUUUAUGUAACUCUUGAUAUAGUAACAUAUAAUUGUCCAUGAAAAAAAUUGAGGCAAAAAUAAUCCAACAUGUUUUAAAGAUUGUUCUUGAAUCUUGUUGAUAGUCCUUGCAAAAGAAGUAGCCAAAUGAAAUUGCCUCGGUUGGAACUUGAAAAGGAUCCUUGCAUUAGAAGGAGUUAAUGAAAGUCUUGGAAUAAACACUUUGAGACCAAUGUUGCUUCCAAAUUUAACAUUUCCUUCUAGAACAUAUUCCCCAUUCGUGUGACAAUUAUUAGUCUAGUACCAUUACAUAAUCCUAAUGAUUGAUCAAUGUCAUUUGGAAGACCCGAAGCACUAAUAAUGUUUAAGAACUUUGGAGUAUGCACAUCAUCUGGCCUAUUAAUCUCUUCAUUUUCUGAUGAAGGAGUAUCUAAACUUAGAUUUUUCUUUCCUCCCCAAACAUCAAUGACAACAUGUAACAAUUUCAUUUUUUUGCUAAAACAACCUUGACUCUAAAAAAGGAUGAAUCAUGAAUAUUUUCUAAGAAAGAUGGAUAUAUAAGUAUUACUAACAAUGGAUUCAAGAGAGUUGGUGUCACUUCUAAGCAAAUCAUGGUAUGUGUGGUUUCCUAUAUUAUAUGUUUAAAAGGGACCAGUUUGGGGAUUGUAUUUUGUAUGUUUCUUCCUAAUACUGGUACCAAACAUAGUAAUUCAAAUUAAUUUUAGUGCACCCCUAAAUACCAUUUGGACAUUUACUUAAGUAGAAGAAGCUACCUAAGGAACAUAAUUUUUUUAAAAUUAGUUUAUUUUCUAUAGAUGAUAGUGGUAAAUAUUAUCAUGAGUUGUUUGAUGAUUGUCCAAAUGGAAAUCAAAAAGCUAUCUAGGAUGGAGGUGUUGGAAUUGUGUAAUUUUGUCACAUUGCAUUUUGGCAUAAUUACCAAUAGGUCUAUAGAUCUGAUAAUAACUUUUUUACUCAUUACUUGGUCAUUUUAGGUUCUCAAACACUUGGUUAGAUUCAUUGUUUUGGUUAAACUAAAAGAUAUUACUUUCAUUCUAAAAUGUUUGCUUUUUUGUCAUUUUAGGGACAUGUUUGACUGAAAUCUCCUAUCACUAGUGCAAAAUACACAUUUUAUAACAACUUUUUAAAUAAAAAUUGUUUUAAAAAAUAAUACGGUGGUACUUUCAUAAUUAAAAACAGUUUUUAGAUUGGUUAUAAGAGAACAGAUAUAAACCUAGAUUUUAAAUCGGUUAAAAAUGAAACCGAUAUGAAAGGUUAUCUUUUUAAACCAAUUCAAUUUAUAACUAAUGUAAUUAAAGGGUGUUUUUAGAUUAGUUAAUAAAGUAACUGAUGCUAUAAGACAAAAUUGAUUUUAAAAAGGAUGUUUUUAAAAUAAUCUAGGCAUUAAUUUCAUAUUAUUUUUUAGAUUAGUUAUAUAGGGAUCUAUCUUAAAAACUAAUCUAAUUUAAAAGAUAGUUACCAUUGAAGACCGGUUGAAAUCUAAUGUUAAAUGUCAAAGUUUUUAUAUUUCCUGCAUAGGCAUCGGUCGUACAACCAAUAUAAAAAGUCAUUUUUUAACCUAUGUAAAAAAGUGUUUCUUGUAAUAGUGUACCCUUUUUGUGCUCCUAUCAUGUAUAGAGAUUUUAAUAUCACUUACACGCAAUGAUGAAUCCAGAAAUUAAGUCGUGGGGGCAAUACACAUACAAAAUUUUGUUGCAUUAAAAAUAUUACAUGUUUUAUUUUUAAAAGUAUAAAUAUUCAUCGUAAUUGUUCUUUAUGAGUUUUUGUAUUCCAAAAAUAAUUGAUAAUUUUCUCAUUUUUCAUAUCAAAAUUUUUAUGAUAGUCAAGAUCUAUCAGUUGAUGAAGAAAAAAACCAUAAUAUAGCAUACUAACUACAACAAUAUACAUAUUUUGCACAAUUAGUUUUCAAAUUUGAGUGCAAUAAGCUUUUAGAUGGACAAAUAUCCUUAGAAUAUGAGUCUUAGACAACAAGGGAAAUUAGGAUUAAAAAAAUAUGUUGUUUGAUGAUAAAUAAGUAAAUGUUUAUGAAAGCGUUAGAAUGAUUAUCCUUUAAUUUAUACAUUUUGCACAAUUAGUUUUCAAAUUUGAGUGCAAUAAGCUUUUAGAUGUACAAAUAUCCUUAGAAUAUGAGUCUUAGACAACAAGGGAAAUUAGGAUUAAAAAAAUAUGUUGUUUGAUGAUAAAUAAGUAAAUGUUUAUGAAAGCGUUAGAAUGAUUAUCCUUUAAUUUAUACAUUUUUGCACAUUUGCUAGAUAAUAAAUAACUAAAUAAAUAAAAAUGUUUUUUUAAGAAAAAUAAAUAAAAAUAUUAAAUAUUGAAAAGUGGGAAUAAAAAUAAAAAAGAGAAUCCAAAUAUUUAUUGUUUACACAUUUUUAAUUUAUAUUAAGAUUGAAAUUAUAAUUAUAAAAUCAUAAUAUUAUAGGGGGGCAAAAUAGUACUAUAUAUUCCGUCCUUGCUUUCAUGUUGAUGAUUUCUCUCAAGCCAGCAACACUUACAUUGGAAAGUUGAGGUUAGUCUGAUCUUUCUGCUCUUGUUUCUUUAAAUAUUUGAACUAUUGGCUUGAUUUGUAAACAUUAAGUGCUUAUAAUGGCAAUUGAUUUAUUACUUGCUGCAAUAAUAUAACCGGAAUUUGUAUAUUUUUACUGCAUUGUGUUUGUAAAAUUUAAUUUACAUCAAAUUGUGAUUGUCUUUUUGUUGCAUUAUUACUUGAUCUGCUUCUUGUCCUUGUCAUUAGUGUGCAUAUUUCCUCUCUUGCAAGGUACCAUAUAUAGUGAUGUAUUGUGUUUAAAAAAACAGCUUAUGUUCCGCUGCAUAAUUUUAUGGUUUGCACCUUUAUUUGUUCUUUAUAUCAUGAAUUUAACAUGCUACAGCCUUGAUAGGGUGUGGUCCAACUUCAUGUAUUGAUUGUUAGAUGUAGUAGUCAAUACUAGAAAAUAGACUUUUAACAUCGAUUAUUUUUUACUUUCAACAUCGGUUUUUAUCUAAUGUUGAAACCAUCGACGUUAACAUUAUCCAUGUUAAUAUCAGUUUUCAAAAAAUCAAUGUUAACAUACACUACACAACAUCGAUGUUCACAAAAACUGAUGUCGUAUAAUAAGAAAUAUACAAAAACAGCAAAAACAACAUCGGUUUUGGUCAAAACCAAUGUUGUAAGAUGAAUAAAAACAUCGGUUUUGAAAAAAAACCGAUGUAGAAAUUAUUUUUACAACAUCGAUUUUGCUCAAAACUGAUGUUGAAUAUGCUUACGACAUUGGUUUUGGUCAAAACCGAUGUUGUAAGAGCACUUUCUACAUUGAUUUUAGACCAAUAGAUGUUGUUUUUUUUUUUUUGCAAAUUUUUAUAAUAUUUUGUUUGUUUUUACAAUGAACCAACCAUAACCAAUUUAUAAAAAAUAUAUUAAUUAUAAAUUAAAAUAUUUAAAAAUAUUAUUUUCAUUACAAUGUUACAUUACUUACAAUUUCAUAAUAUUAAUCUAGAUUUAUAAAAUUUAUUUUAAGAAAGCAAGAUAAUUUCUCUAAAGGUCAAUUGUCUCCAAGAAAAAUAAGACUGAUAUGAUAUCCUAAAUGUCUAGCUGCAAAGCUCUUAUAAAAUCCACAGAAGAGAUGAUAUGAAUAUGUAUAUAAAAGCUAAUAGAAUAAAUAUAAAUGUAUAAAUAUGUAUUACAUAGGAAGGAUGAUACCAAUUAAUUAAUAAAUAAAAAUAACUCUUAUUCCAAAUUAAAAAUAGAUAGAAAAGGUUUAAAGAAAGAAAUUACCUCUACAAGAGCAACAAAGGAUGUCAUCAUCAUGGCAAAGGCUUCACCUGCAUCAAAUGUAAGUGCUCCCCUUCGAAAUGGAUAAGGAACUCGUAUCCUACAAACACAAAAUACAUGUUGAAUACAUUCCCAUAAGCUUCAAGUCAUAAGGCUAUGACUAAAUAGUAAAUUAAUAGUGAAUAAUAAAUUAAUAUCUCAAGGAUGCAAUAGUCUUGCAUAAAAAUGUCAAUUAUGCCCAUGCUCUAAGCUUGAUUAUCAUAGGGAGUUCAACAUCAAUAACUUGAAAUAUUAUAAAGAGACAAACAAUUAAUCAAGAUCAAUAGCACUAAUUGCACAUGUGUUAUUAGAUUUUAAGGUUGAUACUAAGGAUAUAAAAACAAAAAAAAAUCAUAAAUUAAAAAGAGAAAUACUAGCUUUUAUAUUUUUAACAUAAUAUAUGUUUUUAGUUUAAUGAACAAAUUUAAAUUAAGUUGCAUCCUUGACAUCAAAACCCCUUAAAUUUACACAAUGUUUGGACUUAGGGUGGCUCAAAAGUUGGUAGAAGCUAGUUAAUUGGACUGUGUCAUUGCGCAGACUUUGAAUUCACUUUCACAACAAUGUAAUAGUCAAGUAUCUGAGUGUAGAUAGAAUAAUCACACCUUCAAAGGACCCUUUUCACUAGCUUUCUCUAGAAAGUCUCCUCCACCAAAAUCAACCUUUUUCCUUGGUUCAAAAUCAACCAUCUCUGUUUCGUGAGUGUGCAAAAUCAAAGUCCAAAAGUGAACAAUUAUGACAUUGAAUGACUAGAUUAUUUAUUUACUUUUCUUUUCUAAGUGUUUCUUUUAAGUCCACUAUGGACAUGGAACAUUGGGGGUGGGGGUGGACUGGCUUUUACUACUACCGGGUAAGUUCCAUUUAAACACUUAAAAUAUGAAUUUAGACUUUUCAAACUGUUCAGGACAACCACCAUGUUUUUUUUGCAUAAGUCACACUUUCAUGUACUAAAACAAGUCAUUUUAACUUCAUUCGCUCCCCAAACAUUAGGGAUUUCAUGUACUAACCACCUAGCACUAAAAAGAUGCAACUGUUGGUCAAGUGGCCUCAAUAAAUUAAGAGGAGGGUGAAUUAAGUUUCAAAAUUUCUCACUAACAAACUUUUAACCUGAUGAGGACAUGACCAAGAGCAAGGGCAAGGAUCCACUUGAUGGACUUGGAGGACCUAUGACAAGGGCUAGAGCAAGGAAAGCAAAAGAAGCUCUUCAACAACUAUUGUCCAUACUAUUUGAAUACAAGCCCAAGUUUCAAGGAGAAAAGUCCAAGGUUGGGAGUUGUAUCAUGGCCCAAAUGGAGGAGGACUAAAUGACACCACUUUGUCUCAAUUUUAGAGUGUUUAGUUUGUCUAAAUAAUGGCCCAAUCCUUGUAAAGUUGGCUGACCAAAAAUAUGUUUUGGGUUAAUCAACUAAAGGGGCUUUAGUUUGGUUUAAUUCAAGUUGUAAUAAGGGCCCAAUUGGCAACUUAGGCAUCAACCUUUGGGAGACCAAAUGGUGAUUGGCUUGAUGGCUUUUAGGGUGACUUUUGGUUGCCACAAUUUCAGUUACACUCAGCCAUUAAGUUCUUUUCAUUCCCUAUGUUAAUGGAUCAUUACUAAAUCUAAGUGGAUUGUAUUUUCCUUUAAUGAAACAUAUGUAAAAUCUGAUGGUAAAGCUUCUUUAUAUGCUGAACCAUUUUAUCAAUAAAGACAAGUUAAGUUUUAUUCAGAAAAAUUAGAGUUUAUCUCUUUUAUCUUAGUGAGAGUGAUUCUCCUAAGUUCUUGAGUGAUUCAAGAACACCCUGGCUAUAUCAAAGGAAGUUCACAUCCUUUGUGUGCUGCCCUCGCCGGAAUGAGUGAUUCUUUCCUUCCACCAUUUCAUCUUCAACCUUAUUCUUUCAAACCACAAUUCUCGAAAAUCCAAUUCUGCCCAAAAUUAUCUUGUGACAUAAUUCUUGUUCUACUUGCUCAAAUUAAGUGAUUCUUGAGCCUAAAUUGAAAUUCAAAACGAGAUCUUCCACCUCGUUUGGGAAUCACCUCAUUUGGAACUCUGUAGCUUGAGUUAUAGUCAUUUCUAUAUUUCUGUCCAGCCGUCACUUCACCUACAUUUUUACCAUCUCAUUCAUCCCUUUUAUGUCAAGAUCCACCUUAUUAAGGCCUAAGAAAUUAGCCACUGCCCAACCCUUGAAUCUUGCCAAUUUCCCAUCCUUUUCUUAAUCAAUUUCCAAAUUUUCCAUCAAGGUUUAAUCCUAGACGAUCUUAAGUCAGCCCUUGUGCAAUGAAGGUUCAUAUCAUAACCCCCUUCUAAAUGAUAGGCUCAGAAUGCAAAACAAGAAGCAACAAUCAAUUUAAUAAUGUUUUUUUAAACAUGCAAGACAAAAUUUAUUGUAAUAACAUAAAUGAGAUAAGGGAAGAGUGAAAUGCAAACUCAAUUUAUAUUGGUUCGGCCACUUCCAGUGCCUAUGUUCAGUUCUCAAGCAAUCCACUUGAGAUUUUCCACUAUCUGUGUAAAUCCUUUAUAGACUUUGAACACACCUUGAGAUCCCUCACCCUUGUGUUCAAAGAUUCUCAAGGAGACAAACCGUCUCUUGAUUACAACUGACUUUCUGAGAUGAACAGAAAGAUUUCUCUCCUUUAGAGUGGAUGAUACAAAUUGAAGAUCCUAAAGGAAUUUCUCUUUUUUAGAGAUGAUAAUACAAAUUGAAGUUCCUAGAUGAACUCUCAAUAGAUUUGCAAGUGUUUGCCCAACAGUUGUUGAGAGAGCAUUUGAUAAUUAAGUUCUCUUAGAAUAUCUCUCUCUUGUUUUUCGAAGUCAAACACACAUAUAUAUUGGCCCUUCGUGCCUUUUCAAAAUGGUUUGAAGAGAUGUGUCUUUUUAAAAAGUUUUUUCUAAAAUUCUUCACUGGUAAUCGAUUACUCAGUUAUGUUUUGAAGAGUCAUGUCUUUUCAAAGUGUUUUCUGAAGUGUCAUUGCUAGAAAUCGAUUACAAACAUCUGGUAAUCGAUUACAUGAUUCAAAAUUCAAAUUCAAAAUCCUUUUUAAAAGUUUUUUUUCAAAAUUGUCUUUUGGUAAUUGAUUACACUGCCUGGUAAUCGAUUACAGCUUUUAAGUUUCAUAUUCAAACUUUUCUGAAAGCUGUUAAAACUAUUUUUGCUUUUGGUAAUCUAUUACAGCCUCUGGUAAUCGAUUACCAGAGAGAAAUACAUAUUUUUCAAAAUGUAAUAUUUACUUCAAAACUUUAUAAGAUAUUUGAAAGCUUAAGUCUUUUAAGGCCAAACCUUUGCAACCUUUUUAAGAGAUUCUUUUAACAUAUAAAGGUUUAUCGUAAAUCGUUUCUCUUGAUUUCUUGAUCUUGACUUGAAUCAAUGUUGAAUAGCUUUAAUCUUUUGGCAUCAUCAAAAUCUUCAUACAACAUAUGCACUUACAAUAUCCCUUUUUUUGAUGAUGACAACAAUCUGAAAACAAGAUAAACGAUAUACGAUUUGUAAUGCUUGCACUCACUCUUACUCCACCUUAAAUUUGCAAUUUAUUGCCUAGUUUUUAGAUAAGAUCUACCCUAGUUUCUCUCCCCCUUUGGCAACAUCAAAAAGCCAAAAAGACUGGAGUAAAUAUCAAAGCCACAAAAUCUAGAGCAAGCAUCAUAACCAAAAAACCAAUCAUCCAUUGCAAAACAAAAACUAAAUAUCCAAAGCAAAGCAUAAAUCAAAUGCUAAAUAUCUAAAGCAAAGUAUAAACCAAAUGCUAAAUAUCCAAAGCAAAACACAAAAUUAACCAAAGUGCUAAAUAACUAAAGCCAAAUACAAGGCAAAAAGAGUAAAAAUGUCUAGAAAAUUAAGAACGUAAAAUACUAGAAAUGUCUAAGAAUCCGCAGGAGGAUCAAAGCAACGUUGAAUGAAGCUCAUGUCGUCUUCAAGACAUAUGAUAUGGGAGUCCAUGGCAUCAAAGCGAUCGUCGAUAAAAGCUCAAAGAUCCCGUAGCUCAAUGAGGACGUCAUUCAAUAAGGAGGAAGAGGUAUCUCGUUGCGGUGGUGGAGAGGGUGUGUGUUCAUCGAGAAUGGGAGGUGGCAGGUCUUGCUUAUGAACCCAUUGGCCAUCCAUAUCCUUCCAGUAUCCGAAAGAAGUAACAACACCAGCACCAAUAGCAAAAGAUCUUUUAACCUUAACAAAAGGCUCAUCCUCUAAAGGAACAUUGAAAUGUUGAAGAAACAAAGUAACAAGAUGAGGAUACAGAAAAUGUGCAUUGGCCAGUAAUGCCUUAUGCAUAUGGUACCAAACAAGAUGGGCCCAGUUAAUUUGGCAACCCGUUUGAAGAGCAAUAGCAAGAUUAAAUCCUACUCAGAGGCCUGAGCAAGAUUGGUGGACCGGGGAAGCAAGACUUGACAAAGGAUAUAAUGCAUGAUGCGACACUCAAAGGUGAAUGAGCCAGCAAGCAAUCUGUCGGUCAUAUCAGCAUGGUCAUUACAGAUCAUUUUACAAGCAUCAUGACUAGAAUAAACAUGUUUUCAAUCAUCAACUAGAGUGCCCUCAAAAGGAACACCCUGACUGCUUAGUUUAGUAAGAGAAUAAAAUAGAGAUUGAUCAACAACAAUAGGUAUUUGAUGCACCUCAGAGAAAAUGACUCCAUCCUGAAUUUUCAAAUUAUUAUAAAAGACUCUAACUAAUUCAGGAUAAUACAAAAAUGGCAUAGACAUAAACUCAACUAAUUCAAAAUUUUGAAACACUUGAUAGCAACCAAAGGUUUCCCCAUCAAAGAAUUUUACAUCUAAAUACUUAGGAUCGAGAAUGACACGAUUGGAGAAUUGGGAAUAGUACCUUUGAUGCUGGUCAUUAGAAGAAAACAAAGUUAAUGACCUGUGAGAUGAAAAAGAAGGAGGAUUUGGUGCUGGUGGGUCACCGGAUGUGUCGUGGCGACAUUGGCCUACAGCGGUGGUGGUGGAGGAGGAUCCCUUUCUCUUCUUUGAGGAUUCUGCCAUUUUGAGCUUGUUUCUGAAAAUUUUGAUCAGUGGGUUUUGUAGAGAAUUGAAAAAGAAGAAAUUUGAGCUUUGUUUGAAGUGAUUUGGACAAGAAACGAGAAAGUUAUGGAGAUUUGAAGUAUUGAGAAAAAGGGGCGCCGUCAAGGAGAGUGAAAGAAAAAAGGGCUGCACAAGGAGAGAGCAAAAUGCAGUAUUUAUAGACAGGGACGAGCUGUAAUCGAUUACAGCUCAUGGUAAUCGAUUACAGGCGUAACCUGUAACUGACCAAGCCCGCUGGUAAUCGAUUACAGCCUAUUGUAAUGGAUUACAGGGAGUGGUAAUCAAUUACCAGACCCUAAAAACAUGGAUUUUUCAUAAAAAUCUAACUAUUUUUCACUCACAAAACACACAUUUAGUAUAACAAUCAUCAACAACAAUCAACAAUCAAAAUAUACAAUCAAACCAAGUAUAAAAAAUUCUCAAACACAGACAUCAAAGAUAAUCAAAAUUUCAAGAACAAUCAUCAACAACAAUCAACAAUCAUCAUAACUAUCAAAACAUAAUUAUCAAAGACAAUCAAAACUCAAGUGAAAACAAUCAUUAAACCUCAAUCAACAAUAAUCAUUAAAAACAAACACAAUCAUCAAGGGCAAUCAAAAGUUUAACAAUCACAAGAAAAGAAAAUAAUAAACAAACAAAUUAAUUAUUUAUCUAAGUCAUUGAUAUCUAGGAGUCCUAAUUCUCUUCUAAUAGCAAAUAAGGUUUCUUUGGGGAGAGGUUUUGUAAAGAUAUCACCUAACUGAUUCUUUGUGUCAACGAAUUCUAGUACACAAUUCCCUUUUUGAACAUGAUCUCUCAAGAAAUGAUGCCUAAUCUCAAUAUGCUUGGUUCUCAAGUGUAGAACAGGAUUUUUGGAUAGGUUUAUUGCACUCGUGUUAUCACAUCGAAUGAGAAUAUGAUUAAGAAUUAAUUCAUAGUUAGAAAGUUAUUGUUUCAUCCAAAGUAUUUGUGCACAACAACUGCCAGCAGAAAUAUAUUCCGCCUCAGCAGUGGAUAAAACAACACUAUUUUAUUUCUUACUAUGCCAUGAAACUAGAGCAGAGCCAAUGAAAUGACAGGUUCCACUAAUGCUCUUUCUAUUAGUUUUGCAACCGACAAAAUCAGAAUAAGAGUAUCUUAUUAGAUUACAAGUGGAACUUUUAGGAUACCAUAAUUCUAAAUUAAUAGUGCCUAAUAGAUAUCUCAUGAUUCUUUUAACUACACUAAGGUGAGAUUCUUUGGGAUUUGCUUGAAAUCGUGCACACAUACAAAUACUAAACAUUAUAUCAGGUCUACUUGCAGAUAAAUAAAGAAGAGAUCUGAUCAUACCUCUAUAUUUCUUUAUGUCUAUUGACUGAUCGGUUUCAUCUUUAUCCAGAUAGCAAGCAGUACUCAUUGGAGUAGUCAUAUGUUUAGCAUUUUCCAUCCCAAAUCCAUCAUUGACAUUCCAAAUUCAUUUUGCAUAUCUUGAGAGAAUUCCCUUUAGAUAUGUCACCGAUAAUGUUAUCAAGAGGGUGGUAUCUAGAAGUUCUCCACCCUUUUGGAAGAUAUGCACUUGAUUUUGUUUCAUCAAUUUGAAAGUCUUCAUCAUUUCCUUUUCCUUUGCCUUUGUGAUCUUCACCAUGAAUAUGCAUUCCUUCUAAAGAAUUUGAAAUAUCAUCUAGAGUAUCUUUUCUUGGCAAAAUUAGGUUAGUUUCAUCAAAAGCAACAUGGAUAGAUUCUUCAAUGAUCAUAGUUUUUUUGUUAUAAAUUCUAAAUGCUUUACUGUGCAAGGAAUAUACCUUCAUUAGAUUUUGCAUCAAACUUACCAAGUUGUCUUUGCCGUUGUUUAGCACAAAACAUUUACAUCCAAACACAUGAAGAUGAGAAAUGUUCGGUUUUCUAUCGUUGUAUAAUUCAUAUGGAGUUUUCUUUAAGAUUGGUCUAAUUAAAGCUCUAUUCAUAAUAUAGCAUGCAAUAUUUACAACUUCAGCCCAAAAAUAUUUAGGAAGGAUUGUAUCAUUAAGCAAAGUUCUGGCUAUCUUUUUUAAAAAUCUAUUUUUCCUCUAAACUACUCCAUUUUGUUGAGGGGUUCUAGGUGCAGAAAAAUUAUGUUCAAUGUCAUUUUCAUCACAAAAUGAUUCAAAAUCCUUAUUUUCAAAUUCUCCUCCAUGAUCACUCCUAAUUUUGAGAUUUUUCUUAUUUUGAAUAAUUUUAGCAAGUUUCUUGAAAGCAUGAAAAACAUCUCUUUUAUGAGUGAGAAAUAAUGUCCGUGUAAAUCUGGAGUAAUCAUCAACUAUAACAAGAGGAUAGUAGUUUCCUCCAAAACUCAUAGUUCUAGAGGGACCAAAAAGAUCCAUAUGCAAAAGUUGUAAGGGUUGAGUUGUAGAUACAAUAUUCUUUGAUUUGAAAGAAACCCUUACUUGUUUUCCUUUAUGACAAGCAUCACAUAAUCUAUCUUUUUCAAAUUUAGGUUUUUGUAAACCAAUAACUAAAUCUUUAGAAAUUAGUUUAUUUAAAUGUUUCAUGUUUAUAUGGGCAAUUCUUUUAUGCCAUAACCAAGGAUCAUCAUCUUUACUAAGAAAACAUUGAUCAUGAUUUAGUGUUCUAUCUAAAUUUAUCAUGUAAACAUUAUUUGAUCUAUAGCCUAUAUGUUUUAUAUUUCUAUCAUGUUUGUUUUCAAUAACACAAUUAUGAGAGUCAAAUAAUACUAGAUAAUCUUUAUCACAUAAUUGACUAAAACAUAGUAAAUUGUGCUUAAGACCAUUAACAAGUAGAACAUUUUCAAUGGAGGUAGAUGAAUUCGUACCUAUUUUUCCAACUCCAAGGAUUAUACCUUUAUUGUUGUCGCCAUAAGUCACAUGUCCACUAUUCUUGGGAGAAAUAUGAGUGAACUUUGAUGCAUCUCCCGUCAUGUGUUUAGAGCAUCCACUAUCUAUGUACCAACUCUUCUUCAAAGAAACCUCUUCAUCGCUUUCAUAAUUUUUGGCCAUUAGACUCAGAUUUAUAACUUCAUUUUCUGAAUCUUCGGAUGAAUGUUGUCUUCCUAAGUGAUGUAUGCCUUCUUUGCUUUCUUAUCAUUGAAGGUUUUCUUUUAAGAUCUUUCUAUUCUUUUCUUGAAACUCGGGCAAUAAUCAACUCUCAGAUGUCCUCUUUACGAAGAAACUGAAAUCAUCAUCUUCCUCUAUUUCAUUCAAAUCUUCUUUAUUACUUCCUUCUUGAAUUGAAGGUGAAGCUUUAAGUGUGAUUCCUUUCUUUUUCUUAUCAUUCUCCUCAUGUUGAUUCAGUCUCAUUAGUUCCAUUUCGUGUUCUUGAAGCUUUCCAAACAAAGUUGCAAGAGACAUGUUAGUAAGAUUUCUUGAUUCUGUAAUAGCCGUUAUCUUUGAUUGUCAUUCCCUGCUUAAACAUCUUAGAACUUUAUUAAUAAGAUCCUCAUUGGGAAAUAUCUUUCCUAAUGAUGCAAGAUGAUUUACUAUGUGUGUGAAUCUCUUUUACAUAUCUUGUAUAGUUUCAUUUUGAUUCAUUCUAAACAAUUCAUAUUGAUGGGUUAGGAUAUUUAUUCUAGACCUUUUUACAUCCGUUGUUCCUUCAUGGGUUACUUGUAAGGUAUCCCACAUUUCUUUUGCAUUCUUGCAAUUUGAUACUCUAAAAUAUUCAUCCAUUCCUAAUGCAAAUGUAAUUAUAUUUUUGGGUUUUAAAUUAUAUUGUACCAAUUUCUUUUCCUCUUCAUCCCAUUGUUCCUUAGGGUUUUCUAUAGUUGCAUUUCUUGCUACCAUAGUAGGGAUGUAAGGACCAAUUUCUAUGGCUUUCUAGAUGUUUAAAUCAAUAGCCUCUAUAAAAAUUUGCAUACGGGUUUUCCAGUAAUGAUAACCCACACUAUUGAAUAUAGGAGGUCUAUUUAUAGAGUUCCCUUCGGGAAAUAAAAAGUUUGAUGAGGCCAUGACUAUUCUGGAAGUUUCUAAACCUUAUACAAGAAUUAAGCUCCGAUACCACUUGUUAGUCAAGUGGCCUCAAUAACUUAAGAGGGGGGUGAAUUAUGUUUCAAAAUUUCCCACUAAUAAACUUUUAACCCCCUUCUAAAUGAUAGGCUUAGAAUGCAGAAGAAGCAGCAAUCAAUUUAAUAAUAUUUUUUUAAACAUGCAAGACAAAAUUGAUUGCAAUAACAUAAAUGAGAUAAGGGAAGAGAGAAAUGCAAACUCGAUUUAUAUUGGUUCGGCCACUUCCCAUGCCUACGUCCAGUCCUCAAGCAACUCACUUGUGAUUUUCUACUAUCUCUGUAAAUCAUUUACAGACUUUGAACACACCUUGAGAUCCCUCAUCCUUGUGUUCAAAGAUUCUCCAAGAGAUAACCCGUCUCUUGAUUAAAACUGACUUUAUGAGAUGAACAAAAAGAUUUCUCUCCUUUAAAGUGGAUGGUACAAAUUGAAGAUCCUAGAGGAAUUUCUCUCUUUUAGAGAUGAUAAUACAAAUUGAAGUCCUAGAUGAACUCUCAAUAGAUUUGCAAGUGUUUGUCCAAGAGUUGUUGAGAGAGUUUUUGACAAUUAAGUUCUCUUAGAAUAUUUCUCUCUUGCUUUUCGAAGUCAGACACACAUAUACAUAGGCCCUUCGUGCCUUUUCUAAAUGGUUUGAAGAGAUGUAUCUUUUCAAAAAGUUUUUUCUAAAAUUCUUCACUAGUAAUCGAUUACAUGGUUAUAUUUUAAAGGGUCGUGUCUUUUGAAAGUGUUUUCUAAAGUGCCGUUGCUGGUAAUUGAUUACAAACAUCUGGUAAUCGAUUACAUGAUUCAAAAUUCAAAUUCAAAACCCUUUUUAAAAAGCUAUUUUUCAAAAUUGUCUUUUGGUAAUCAAUUACACUGUCUGGUAAUCGAUUACAACUUUCAAGUUUCAAAUUCAAACUUUUCUAAAUGUUGUUAAAAUCAUUUUUGCUUCUGGUAAUCGAUUACAACCUCUGAUAAUCAAUUACUAGAGAGAAAUACAUAUUUUUCAAAAUGUAAUAUUUACUUAAAAACUUUAUAAGAUAUUUGAAAGCUUAAGUCUUUUAAGGCCAAACCUUUGCAACCUUUUUAAGAGAUUCUUUUAACAUAUAAAGGUUUAUUGUAAAUCGUUUCUCUUGAUUUCUUGAUCUUAACUUGAAUCAAUGUUGAAUAGCUUUAAUCUUUUGGCAUCAUCAAAAUCUUCAUACAACAUAUGCACUUAAAGCAAGAUGGCAACAGAGUAAAUUAUGCAGCAAAUUUUAACCUUUCAAGGUCUCCAACAUGACUUUUUAUACAUUAUUUAAUCACCAAUAGACUAAGGAAUCGUCUGAUAACCUUUGCAACACUAACCAUACCUCUGAGCACCUUAAUUUUAUUAUUUUAAGGACAAUUUAAACUACAAGGCAGCAGUUGCGACUCUAUUAGGAAAAUCAUUAAAUAAAGUCAAGAUAUAAUCUCAAGAUAUCAAAUACAUCAUUGAGUUAUCAUUGAAUGGUCUCAUGACAACACCUUAUAUGUAGGUUAUCAAUAUAUCUAACAUGAGUCGAAGUCAUAUAUAAAAGUUAUUUGGCAACAAGUUCAUCUGCUUAGGAAAUGCACUUAAACCAAAAUCGAAAAUCUUUAUAUUUCCUAGUGAAUCAAGUAAAAGAUUUUCAAGCUGCACAAGGAAAAAAGGAAAAUUAGAAGAAAUCACCAUAAGGGCAAUAGACAACUUUUCAGAUCUCACGCAAUGCAAACCUUUAAAUCUAUGUGAUAAACUCCGUUACAGUGGCAAUAAUCUACAUUGUCAAUAAGUUGUUGGAAAUAUCUUCUAGAGUCAACUUCACUAAGAUGACCAUGAUAUAUCUGCACAAUCAUAUUAUUCACCAUCAAACAUUUCCAAUAUCUCGAAUGGUGAUUAAUAAAAGCCACAAUAAAAUCCACACAAAAAAGGUUCCAUCUUGAGCUACUCACAAUUUUAUAAACAAUUCACCACCCGUGAUGAACUCCAAUAUGAUAUAAAUCUUGGUACAACUUGCAAGAACCUGAAGUAAACAACGUUUCACAACAAAAACAAGUGCUUGUGAGUGGCAUCAACUAACGAGAGAAACAUUAAGAAUUACUUCUCAGAGCAAAUAUUGAGUCGGCAUGGCUCUUCGUUUAAAACAUUUUUUUUUCAUUUAAUCAAGGAAGAUUCUCAAAUAUCAGAAUAUGAUUUUAGAACUAUCCCUCACUCCAAAAGUCCAAACAAUCAAAAUAAAAAAGAAAUUCUAUAAUUCUGGUUUCUGCAUUGCACACUUUUCCCCAACCCUAAAAGCAUGACAUGAUUCAAAUGUUAUUCACAAGCUUUGCAUUUUUUGGGUUUUAAUUUAUUAGUUUAUUAUUAAGUGUCUUCUUGGCAGGGAAAUAGAAAAACGAAAAGAGAACAACAACAACAUCAUUCUUUGAAAAUUAAACCUGUGUUGUUUAUGGAGAUGCUCGUGCAAAGACCUCACAUGAUUAUGGUAAACAUGUGCAUCCCCAAUAAUAUGGAUAAAAUCACCUGGAAUGAGAUCUGACAAGAAGAACACAUAGUAUAAAGAUUGAUUAUUUUAUGUUUAAAUUACUUUUAAUGUUGUAUUUUCUCUUGUGAUAUUAUCAAAAUCAAUAAGCUUCUGAACCUUGAAUCUACCUAGACUGGAACUUCAAUUAAAAACUUAUUGAUAAACUUAUGAAAACAACUCUAUCAAAAAAUCUAUAAAAAUAAUUGAAAAGUGCAAAUAGGCCACUAAAAUAAUCAAAUUAGUUAAGCAAUGGAAAACCUUUUCUAUACAGAGAUAAUCUAUAACAAUUUUUUCCAAAAUUUGUCAUGAUUUCUUAAUGUUACCAUGCUAGGUAGAUGGAAGUUGAUGAGUCCAUGAGAACCUGGAACAGUGCAAAUAAUGUCUAUGAUAUCCCAACAUACAUAUUUAUAUAAUAUCAUACAUGAGAAUGCGAAAUUAAUUAAAAUAAUUUUAUUCAAUAAACAUAAAGGAACUCACAUGGGUAAAAGGUUUACAUUCACGUUAAUCACCAAAUUAAAAACUUAUCAAAUAAGGGUAUGAAAACAUCUCUGGCCCAAAACAAGGCCAUCUAAUUUUAACAAAAGAAAACAAGUUAAGCAACAUAAUAACAUAAACUAACAUAUUCAGAACAUUAUGCAAAUAAUAUAGAAACUCAUGCCCAAUACCACAUCAUAUCAUAGUGUUGUGUCUCAGCAUCCUCUAGCGCGAGGUUCUUUAAAAUUAUCCACCUAACCAUCUGCUCCCACGAACACAAGGUUCAAGAUUAUCACAGGACUCAAACACAAACAACACACGGGGAGUGAGUUAUCACAUUCCUAAACAGGUAAAUCUAAACGAAGCACAUAUAUAUAAUAUAAGUAUAAUGAGCUCAACUUAGCAUAAUUCACAUCAUUUUACCACUCAUUGUGUAACUUCACUUGUCCCAAGGAUUUAAUCACAAAAUCAUUUUCAUACCUUCACAUUAAUCAGGUGUUCAGAACAACACGUCUCAAGUACAACACAAUAUCUCACACUCACACAAUUCAUUACCCACCAUCACGUAACAAGUCAUAAUAGUCAUUAUGCAAGUAUUAUGUAACAGAUACACUAAGACUCAAUCUUAUAUGCAAUGUGGUACCAUGUCAGUGAAAAACCUCGCCGGGAGCCUAGGAGUACAUGGCAAGACAAACUACACGCUGGUAAGUCAGGUCACUCUCACUAGGUAAAAUCAUAGGAAUACAAGCUAGGGUCACGCUGUUUUGUGAGACUACUUCAACCAUGUGAGAUUGACACAAGCUUAAAGGAGCAUUCAAACCGGGUGUAUUUACCCCAAGGUCUAAACUCUGAAGAGUCAGUUAGGACCUUUCCUUCCCAAUUCAGGUCCAACCUAGAAAACAUUUUAGCACGCAGAUUGUAUCAAUGAAUAGUAAAAAACACACGACUCUUGAAUUAUUCUCAAAAUAAUUUUAACUCGUCGUGCCUCAAAGUGAUUAAACUCGUCGAGUUCCCAUAAUGGAUCUCAUCACAAUACUCGUCGUGCAUUAACUUGUCACCCUUAAAGGGUCUUACAACCGUGUGAUUGUAUGGUUGAUAGCUCACAACUCAAUGCACACAACAUCUCAAUACAUGUGUGAUCUCUCAACUUAUCACAUACACUCAAUCUCAAUCACAAUGUUAUAAUCCCAAAGCAACAUAUUAUCACACUCAUGAAUCAUAUACACAUCACACAAUAUUAAUAUAUGCAUGGCACAAACACAAACUUUACCUAUAAACUAUGUAAUACACACAAUUACUCAAUUGUUUUCAAAAUCAUUUUAACUUGUCGCGCCUCAAAAUGAUUCAACUUGUUAGGUUCCCACAGCGGAUCCCAUCAUAAUACUCGUCGCGCAUUAACUCGUUGCCCUUAAAGGGUCUUACAGUUGUAUGAUUACACAAUUGAUAACUCACAACGCAAUACAUACAAUAUCUCAAUACACAUGUAUCUCACAAUUCAUCACAUAUUCAAUUUAUCACUUACACACUAUCUCAAUCACAAUUUCAUGAUCUCAAUAUAAUAAUUUAACACACUAAUCUAGUAAAUCUUUUUCCAAAACACAAACGAAUUAUACAAAAAUGCUUCUCACAACAUGGGGAGUAAAACCCCUCAUACAAUUUUACAUAAUCAUAUCAUAAUCAAAGGAAUCAAAAUCAUAGGUUCAAUAAUCACAAAAAAAAAACCAAGAGCACUCAAUUUUGUAGAAGCAAAGCUUCAUGGAGAAUCAAAGGUAAUUUAAAGGUGUUUUGAUGAUAACAAUGAUGAUAACAAAAGAUGAUGACAAAAGGUGAUGACAAAAAGCUCAAAGAUCAAUCAGAGAACAACUCAGGUGAAUCAAGAACAAUUCAAGAGUUCAAGAUAAGAAUCAAGAAGAAUUCAAGACUCAAGAAGAAAGUUUAGAGUCAAGAAUCAAGAUUCAAGGUUCAAGAUCUCAAGAAUCAAGAUCAAGAUUCAAGAGUCAAGAGAAGGCUUAAUCAAGAUAAGUAUGAAAAGUUUUUCUCAAAAAUUGAGUAGCACAUGAUUUUUCUCAAAACAUGUUUACCAAAGAGUUUUUACUCUCUGGUAAUCGAUUACCAGAUUGUUGUAAUCGAUUACCAGCAGCAAAAUUGUUUUGAAAGAGUUUUCAAAUUGAAUUUACAACGUUCCAAUUAAUUUCAAAAAGCUGUAAUCGAUUACAAUGUUUUGGUAAUCGAUUACCAGUGCCUUUGAACGUUGAAAUUCAAAUUCAAAUGUGAAGAGUCACAUCCUUUCACAUAAAAGCCUUGCGUAAUCGAUUACACUGAUUUGGUAAUCGAUUACCAGUGAUUGUUUCUGAAUAAAUCAAAAGAUGUAACUCUUCAAAAGGUUUUUGACUUUUUCAAAUUGGUUUUAAGUUUUUCUAAAAGUUAUAACUCUUCUAAAUGGUCUUCUUGACCAGACAUGAAGAGUCUAUAAAAGCAAGGUUUUGUUUUGCAUUUUCAUUCAUUCAUUCAAUCUUGAACACUUAUUCAGACAAUCCUUUAUAAGCCUUGAAUCUCUUUAAACGUCUUCUUCUUCUUUGUACCAAAAGCUUUCUGAAGUUUUUCUGGUUUUCUAAACCUUGAAAACUUGUGUUAUUCAUCUUUUCAUUCUCUUCUCCCUCUACCAAAAAGAAUUCGCCAAGGACUAACCGCCUGAAUUCUUUUUGUGUCUCUCUUCUCCCUUUUCCAAAAGAACAAAGGACUAACCGCCUGAAUUCUUUUGUGUCUCCCUUCUCCCUUGUCAAAGAAUUCAAAACGACACAGUCUGAGAAUUCUUUUGAUUCUUCCCAUUCCCUUAUAAAAAAGUGUUCAAAGGACUAACCGCCUGAGAAUUCUUUUGUAUCCCUAUUCACAAAGUAUCAAAGGUUUAACAGCCUGAGAUCUUUGUCUUAACACAUUGGAGGGUACAUCCUUUGUGGUACAAGUAGAGGGUACAUCUACUUGGGUUUGACUGAGAACAAGAGAGGGUACAUCUCUUGUGGAUCAGUUCUAGUGGAGGGUACAUCCACUAAGUUCAAAGAGAACAAGGGAGGGUACAUCCCUUGUGGAUCUUUGCUUGUAAAAGGAUUUUUACAAGGUUGAAAGAAAUCUCAAGGACCGCAGGUCGCUUGGGUACUGGAUGUAGGCACGGGUUGUUGCCGAACCAGUAUAAAAACUCUUGUGUGUUUGCUUCCUUCUUCCCUACUCUUUUACUUUCUGCUGUGCAUUUAAUUUCCGCUUUUACUUUCUGUUAAGUUUCUCUUCUACUCCUCAUUCUCUUAAUUUAGUAAAAGCCUUAGAAGAGUAAUUUUUUAAUUAGUAAAGGUUUAGGAAUAAUUAAUUCAACCCCCCUUCUUAAUUAUUCUGAGGUCACUCGAUCCAACAAAUUUUAUCAACCAAUUUGCAUUAGGAUAUCAAUUGGUCCGUCAAACAUAACAAUCUUGUGAUUAUAAUCAUAAAGGCAGAAUUAUCAUCAUAAACAUCCCAAAAAAGAUCCCAAUUUGAUCCUCUAAGGACCCUUACACAUGUUCAUUUUAACUCCAAUUGCGAUAAACUCAUUCAUAAGCGGACUCACGUGUGUAGUCUGAUGACAAUAACAAUGUCUCUAGCAGUUCCCUGGGAUUCCUCCCUUUGGUUGUUCUGUUAUGAUUUCUAAGCAUUAGAGAGAAACAAAAGGGAUUGGAGCCUCAAUUUUACUAUCUCUGUGCGAGGGACAUUUCUCUCUCUAUAGACAUUAUUUCUCAAAUCCCAAAAGUAAAAAUGUGCGAAAAUGAGUUCUGAAGAUGAUGUUCAAAUUUCACGAGGAUCUAACGGUUAUUGGGAUUAUAAUUUUAUUAAGACAUGUUUGAAUGUAUGCAAAAAAAAGAAGAUAUUAGAAGAGAAAGAAGGAAAAAAAUUUUAAGACAAAGAUGGAGGGUACAAAUGUUUAAAUUAAGUUAGUUAGGAUACUUACUUUCAACCUAUUAUUUACUUUAUUUAUAUUUUAUUUUAUUAUUUUAUAACAAAGGAAAUUUUAUUUCUCUUUUAUUAAAUAAAUAAUCAAUUAAAACAUCUUUUUAUUCUCUAAAUCAUUAUUUUAUUUUAUUUAUUUUCUAAUAUUAUCAAACUCUUAUUUUAAGUAAUAAAAAAUUCUUUUUUUUCAUUUAUUUAAUUUCUAAAAAAAAUUAUUAAUUUUUUAUUUUACGGAAAACGGGUGUGAGAAUGCCAUUGAGAGUGCUACUCUCCAUAUCUUCUCCGUCCGCAAAACAAACUUAACAUCCUUCAAGCAUUUCACCGGCAAAUAGUCAAGUUCACGAAGUUAGUAUAAGACAAAUUGCAAUCAAUAGGUAAGAAUGCUCAGCUCUGCUCCUAGGUUAACCUGUGCUAUGAAGGUACCCGAAGAAUAAAACUAUAAAGAAGCACAUAAGCUACUAAUUCAAGAAAUGAACAUGUGAAGAGUGGUGAAAGCGAUAACGAAUAGAUGAGAAUCGGAUCGGGGCAGCUAAACGAUGUCGUUUAUCAGAGCUUGUGAAGGGUUUGAUCAAGGCACAUCCCGUGUGUCUCAAAGCCAUGGAACAGUUAAUGUCUCACAUUCUUUUUUUUUUUUUCUUUUUCUUUUUGCACCCACUUUCAGAUUCAAUUGGUGCCUUUCUUGGUUUUUUCUUGUACCCUUUGGGGUUUUAUCAUUUAGCUCCAAAAUGGUACCUUUUGCAAUGUUUGCCAUUAUUUUGCAUUUCACUUUUUAGCAUAAUUUAUUUGUUUCUGAAUCAUACUGAGGAAUGUGGUGCUUGUGGUGUUCAAUUCUCCUGUUUUGGUCUACAUUAGGCAUUCUGACUUCUGAGUUUAGUGAUUUUAGGAAUUUUUGGGAUGUCAUGUGUUUUGUCACCUAAUUUUGAUUUUCAAUGUUUAUUUAAAGUUUAGUGUUUUUUUUUUUUUAAUAUAUACUCUCUCUAGUCAUUAGGCAUUAGAAAAAAAACAUAUUUUUCUCUUAUCAUUCAUUUGAUUGAGGUACUAGUUUCAUAAACUCUUAUUUUUUAUACUAAGUUCCAAAUAUAAUUUGAAAAAAAGUUACUUUUUAAUUAAAAUUGAUGCAAUUAAAUAUUGCUAAGUAACUUUUGUUAGUUAGCGUGAAAUGUUUUUUUUUACUUCUUAUAUUUGAGAUGGAAGGAAAUACAUUUUAAGUUGAUAAGGAAAUGUCAGUAUUUAAUCUUUUAAUCUCCUGAAAAAAAAGUUAUAUAUUUUUAGUUUCUUAAAAUGUGUUAAGUGUAAUAAUAUCUGUUCUUUUCUUGGACUUAGUACUAGUAACAUGAAAUACAACGCCAAUUUUAUAAACAAAAAUGAUACAUCGACACCUUAUGCUAAUGUACUCCUAAAGAGAGAAAGAGAGAACAAAGAGAAACGUGAAUGUGAUAAGAAGAGACAUUGAAAAAAAAUGAGAAGUGCCAAUGAAGUGUUUGUAUUAUAACAGAUGUCCCUAUAUCAUUUUUCUUUUAUAGAUGAGGAAUUAAAAAUAUGAUUUUAUUUAAGGAACAUUCUAUUUUUCUAGGAACAUUUUCUUAUUUACAGGAAUAAAAAUAUACUAUUCAAACUUUUUUUUCCUGCAGGGUGAAAAUUUGAGUAUUAUUAUCUUUUUGACUGUGUUUACAAGAGCGCCACCUGCAACAUUUCCUAGAGCUGAAAAAAAUUAGAAUAUGCUCUGCUCUUAAGCAUGAAUAUUUAUCUGAAUUUCUAAAUAAGCGCAGAAACUGCUUAGUUAGGCUUUAUGUUGACAGCUAAAAUAUUGAAAAUGUUGAGUUCAGUAUGAUUGUUGUACCAUUGUUCUCAAUAAUAUUGAUCAUGUUCAUGACUGAUGUUUAUUCAAUUGAUUGGAGGCUAUGUUAGCCUUUAGUGCUGCUCAAGUAUUUUUAUGUGACAGAUCUGUCAUAAUGAAUAUGGUAUUUCAAAUGCAUGUGGAAUAUGGUAUUUUUCUCUAGUUAUAAUGAAUAUUUCUCAUCUGUAGUCUGUUAUACAAAUGUUUUUAUAUAAUAGAUCUGUCACAUUUUUUUCAAAUGCAUUUGGAAUAUGUAUUUUUCUCUAGUUAUAAUUUCUCAUUUAGCUACUUGCUGAGUGGAUUCAAGUAUAAUCUGACACUCUGAGUUCCUUUCCAUAGAAAAAGUGGAAACUGAAAAGAGGUGUACUUUCUCUCAUUCUCUUUCUUCAUUUUGUCUUGCCCUUUCUGGGUGUGGACUGAGUUCUUAAAUAUAGAACUACUCAUGUGAAAGAUUAUAUGUCUCUGCUCUGUUUCUGAUAUGUGAUAUCUGAUAACUCUUUGCUUAUAUGUAUAUAUAUUAUAUAUGCUGGUUUUAUCAACUUGGUAAGAAUUCUUAAAAUGAAAUGUUUGUUACUAAUAGACAAUGUUAUCAAUGGUGGAUGGUGGAAUGUAGCGGAAAGUCAAAAUUCCACCACAUGAACACAGAAUUGUGGCCUAUGGUGCUGUGUUAUGAGUCACACAUUGAGUAGAGUAAACUACUUGGUGUGGUACAUAGUCCUUGAGGUUCUUCACCUAAUGAACCAGUCUUUUGGGUUGAGCUCUUCUCUUGUGCUUAAUCCUAACAAUUAAUGCUUUUGGAAUGACUGAUUCAUAUUGGAUGCAUAGAAUUAGAGUAGGGUAUUUUUUUUCCAAGUUGCCUACUUUUAAAUAUGCCCUAGAUCAUGUCCACUUAGUUCAUAUGGAUGAUUAAUUUUCAGUAGGUUCUGUGCUUUUGAUCCCCCUCCAUCUCUCGUAUUUGGAUUGAGGGUUCUUGAGUUAAAGGAGCAAGGUGUUAGUAAGGAACAAGCAAUGGCUAUGGCAGAUGUAGUAACGUGAACUGGUUCCUGAACAUGUUAGCUCUGCAAUUUGUUUUUCCCUUGUGUUCUCUUAUCCUCUAAUAAUCCACUUUGGCUUUUUUGCUUCCUAGAUGGAGAGUAUCUGACAGAGAAGAGGGCAAAAAAGAAAGCAUAUACCUGUUUGAGGAAAAAACCCAUAUCCUAGUCCUAUCAAGGAAAUACAAGCUGAGGAGAGGAAAUUGUGAAGCAAUAGAAAGCUGAGUCAGCAGAGAGAUUCAGAGAGGGGGUGAUUGGUGAGAUGUAGAGGGGAAAAGUUACACUACUUUGAAAGUUUGGCUCUUGAACAAAUGAUCUUUGACAAUAACAUUUACUGUUCAGCCACUGAAAAGUUAUUUGUUGUAAAUAAGAAAAUCUAUUUGUUGUGUUAGAUAACUGUAGAGGAAAAUUUUACCAAAAUCUUAUGCAAGUUUUCUGUUUUUCCAGGCCACCCAUGUAGGUUUGUUAGUUGGUACAAAAGAACUAAAUAGAUAAUCAAGAUUUGUAUAUUUACUCUUUUUAUUUUUAUGAUUAUGAGCCUCAUGACCAAAAUAUUAUGCGAUUAAUUUUCAAUAUAAUAUAUUUUAACUUGACUUUUUGAAUGUUAAAAAAUUGAAUCUGUUUUAUAAUAUCAAUGUUCUUGAAGUAUCCAGCCAUAUAGAUAGCUUAAGUGUUCAAGUCAUGUGGAUGUGUCAAGUAAACUGUUUGAACUAACAAAACUUUUGUUAGACUUAGUGAGUAGUGUAGGACACAUGUUGUACAGAUGUCGAGAAAGUGUUGGUGCUAAAAAUUUGUCUAAUCACUGUGCUUAACAAGUUUCAUCUUAUCAUUCAGUAACUAUUGUGUUUUUCUUUAGCAGCCUUUUCCACUACUUUUAUCUCUUGUUCUGUUCUUGUCAUCCUCACUUGUACUCAGGGUCACUUGUUGCAUCUUAUUCUCUUGAUCUUUGUAUGUAGUUAAGUACAUUAUCAGAUUUUGUGGCAUGCAGACACGAGAUCUCUCACCAUCCUUUUAAUUAUUUUCAUCAUAAGCAGCACAUAACACUGUUUGAAGCAAUUUUAAUGUGAGCUCCUUUGGAUGGAUGCUAAUUCCCAGGUUCUAUCUUAAAGUUGUUCUUCUGACAAUGUCAUCCAUUUUUAGCUUUAGGUUGUUAACCAAAAUAGAAGCAAGGUGGCAGCUGUUGCUGAAGAACUCUGAUUAUUUGUGUCCUCUGAUGUACAGAUACUUUAUGGUCACAUAUCCAUAUUUGUAUCGUACUUGUAAUGAAUACCCAUAGGCGUAUAAUAAGGCUGCCUAAGUCGGGUAUGCAUUAAAUCUAGACUGUUUUAUUGAAACUUCUUACAUACACUAUUUCUUUAAAUAGUGAAACAAUUGUUAUCAUUAAGUUUUUUAAUAAAUUCGAUAAGAGAUUGAACACCAAUGAUGUUAGGAUGAUGGAGAUGACCCAUCAAUAGAUAUCAUCUAUAUUAAGAAAUAAAGAAAUUAAAAUAUAAUUUUAUGUAUCACAUUGCACCUAAUACUUGUAUGAGUUGUAUCCAAAGCCAUGAAACAAAAUGUGUCAGAUAUCAGUUAGAUAAGAUUCAGUUCAGCAGGCAGGUUGGAUAAGAGUAUUGCUUAUGUAUAUCUUAAAAGAAAGUUUCCUAUUUGACCGAAUGUGGGUGUUUUUGUCCACCUAGGAGCUUUUUACCAUGUAACCAGACAGAUAAUUGGUAUCUUAAAAUUUCAAAGGGUGGUCCUUCACACCUAAUUUGGAGAUCUAAUUUGUUGAUAUGUCUUCACUAAUAGACUGUAUUGCAAAAUUAGUAAAUUGAAGAUGACAUUACUCAAGUUUUUCAUGUGAGGAAGGAAGGGAGCACAAGGAAAACGGUGAAACCUCACUGAUCAGCAUUUUCAGAGGAACCUAUUAUGAAGCACUCAACUUGCUGACAUAGGCUUUAUGAUCUGCACUAAUCUUUUGAAACUUCAUUUUGUCACAUGUUACUAAGUUGAAAAAGAAAAUAUUGUUUUAGGAGCUAAAGAUGAAUAAGUAGCUAAAGGAAAGUUAUAUAGAAUUUGUAGUAAAAGGGAAGAGUGUAAACAUAUUUGCUUCAGUACACAGAGUGGAUGACUCAAGUGCUGGUUCCAUUACCAAAUUUCAGUGGUUUUGGUUGAAUAUGUAAGUCAGUGGAAGUGGUGCUGAAGAUUGGAGGGAAUGUUUGGAGUACAUGAUUAGAAAAGGGGAGAAUGAUUAAAAGAAAUAGAAAAUUGGCUGACUAAUAUUGGGGAUUCAUAGGAAUGUUGUGUGUUAGUAAAUUGGAAAAAUGUUACUCCAUUGAUAUUUUCAGCAUACCAUUCAUCUAAGAAGCAUAACUGUUCCUUUUUAUAUAUUUUCUGUUACCUUCCUUUCCUUCAAAACAUGGCUUUUGAAUUUUGAACCAUUAACUGAGUUGGAAUAGUGGUAAAAUCAUGUAGAUUUUUGUUUUCGUUUUGUGGGGAUAUGAAUGAGAAAAAUCCUUACAACCAGACAAAGCUGUGGCUCAGAAGAAAGAGAAACAUGCCUCACUGCUAGAAUCACUGGAACUAACAUCUUGUAAACAAACUGUUAUACCAAACUUUCCUAAGGUGCAAUUCUCAACCAUUAACCAAUUUCAUCUCAAACAACACUAUCAGUUCUUCAGUCAUGAACUUCCCAUACUGAAAAUUUGUCACCUAUUUCUUUUAUAGGCAGUGGCUUCUUAUGAGAGUCACACUCUCUGAACUUCUUAUGUAAAACUUGACUUUUCAUUUUGUGCUUUAUAAUUGUUAUCUCAUGCAUUGCCCUUUUAAGAUAAGGUUGUUGUGCAUUGUUUGGUUGAGUACAACGAUUUACUGAUGACCAUAACUAUUUGUGGAUCUUAUAUUUUCAAAAGUGUAUGCUUGGUCAUUAAUCAACCAAGCUUGAUAAGCCCCAUCACCUACCAUCCCCUUCUAUGCCAUAUACACAUUUUGCUUAUCUACAUUGCUACUGUUACUCUCAAACAAGUCUAACAAAUAAUAAGUGAAGUUAAUGAACAUUUUUAGUAAUAUUAUUAUAAGGAUUGGCCAAUGUAAUGGUGAACAGAGAAGCAUGCUUUCAGCUACCCAACAAACUGGAUAAGAGUGUCAGUUGAUAUGGUUCUCUUGUUUUUUUUUUUUUUUUUUCCAAUGCAAAAUCACCUUUAAAAUAUAAAAGAUCACUGUAACAAAGGGACAAAGGGUUUUCACUUAACCCAUGCAUGAGAUAUGAUGGUCACAAAAUAUGUUAGGUUUAAUAUGGAAUGAGGGCACAGUACAAACCACUCACAAAUAAUAUCAAACUCCACCACCAUCACACAUUUUACGUUCUUCCAAGGAAGAGAUAAGAUAAUGAAGCCUCCUCCACGUGUCACUUCCACAUGGUACCUAACGAUAAGGCUACCAUUCAAAAUUUUCCUCACUCGUGUGGCCAAUAUGCUGUAAUGUCAUCACUUAUUCAAUCCAACGGUUGUAACUUCUCAGCAACCAAUCCCCUCCAUUUCACACCAUCGGAUUAGUACUACACAAAUCACACUAUUAUAUAUAGUAAGUUUGAGCAGAAGCUUGGAUAUCUGGCAGCAGAAGAACAAGUAGUUGAGAACUAAGAAGGAGAAGCAAAUGGCUUCCUCAAUGAUCUCUUCCCCAGCUGUUACCACUGUCAACCGUGCCGGUGCCGGCAUGGUUGCUCCAUUCACUGGCCUCAAGUCCAUGGCUGGCUUCCCCACCAGGAAGACCAACAAUGACAUUACCUCCAUUGCUAGCAACGGUGGAAGAGUGCAAUGCAUGCAGGUAUGACAACUCCACACAUAUAAAUACACAAGAGGCACCAAAAUGAUUAUAAUUCAUGUUACAUAUUUAGGCAUGUACCUAAAUGUUACUUAAAUAAACAUGUUAGUCAUAGGUUGCUUAAAUUUUAGUCAUAGGAAAAUUUGCACAUGUGCUAGUUAAUCUGUUAACCCCUUUACUCAAUUUUCAUGCAAAUUAAUUACUAGGUGUGGCCACCAGUUGGCAAGAAGAAGUUUGAGACUCUUUCCUACCUGCCAGACCUUGAUGAUGCACAAUUGGCAAAGGAAGUAGAAUACCUUCUUAGGAAGGGAUGGAUUCCUUGCUUGGAAUUCGAGUUGGAGGUCAAUUUCUUGCAAACACUUUUGGUUUAAUCAUAGAUUUUCUUAUUCUUAGUUUGUUUCAACUUAUUUUCAAGAAAUAAUCGCUUCUCUAGCUAGUGUGCUAAAAGUACUUUUGGAAACAAAACAAAAAAUGGUUGUGUUCCAAAAUUUAAAUUUAUCUAACAGAUUUUUCUAUCUGAGAGUUAUCAAUAUGUAUCAAAUCUGUUCCUAUCUCUGACCAAAUUUUAUUCUUCCAAAACAAGCACUUGGUUUUGAGUUUUGAUGGUUGAUCUGCUUGUUUGCAGCACGGUUUCGUGUACCGUGAGCACAACAGGUCACCAGGAUACUACGAUGGACGCUACUGGACCAUGUGGAAGCUGCCUAUGUUUGGUUGCACUGAUGCUUCUCAGGUGUUGAAGGAGCUUCAAGAGGCUAAGACUGCAUACCCCAACGGCUUCAUCCGUAUCAUCGGAUUCGACAACGUUCGCCAAGUGCAGUGCAUCAGCUUCAUCGCCUACAAGCCCCCAGGCUUCUAAGUGUGAAAAAUUUGCAAAGCAUUUGUAGCCGCCACCCCACUUUGUUUGUUUGUACUUAAACUACAUUCCCAUUUGUUUUUGCUUUUUGAGAUUUCAUCAUCCUGUAUUUUUGGUUUCUGUUUUCGGACUUCAAUGGAAAUUAAUGGAUGAGAACUAAUGAAUAAGCUAUUGUGUUGUGUUGCUUUGUUUCAAAAUAACUUCAAUAACCCAUCGUCCUUGCAUUUCUCUCUAGUGGGCUGAAAUUAAUCUUUUCUAAAUUUAAGUUAAUUAAUUGUGUCUCUAAAUGAUGGUUAACAGAGGAACUGUGUUAUUCAAGUACUCUGCAUAGUUUAGCUGAGCUUGGCCUUACUUUGUCACAACUCACAAAUCUGAUGUAUGAAUGUUCUUUAUACUUUGGUCUUCCAAGAAAUGAAGUUCAUGACAUAUAUAGUUUGUAAACAUGUUGCUAGGAAGCUUCUGAACUUUCAAAACCAAAUAUGAACUUGAUAAUUCUUGGAAACACAGAUAUUUUGUAUAGUACAUAGCAACAAAAAACCACUAAGGAACUGCUACCAAAUCGUUUUGUUAUUUAUGUGCAAAGAAAGCGAUGUCAAAUUCAAAUUUUUAUUGGUUUCAGAAUCUUUUCUUUCCAAGCAAUAACCACCAACUGCACGAAACCGUUUUGUUUGUUCCAUUUCUCACUCUCCUCACUGCAAUAUUCAAAUUCUGAUUUGGAAAACAGCACAUAAAAACACAAGAUUUGGUCAUGCUCUGGUUCUACCAAAUACUACAUUUGUUUCUAGAAUUGCCAGAAUCUGAUCCUUAGCUGACAAUUAAUCUCUAGAAGAUUCUUUUGCUUGUAACUUGGUAGUUAUGGAUUAGCAACUGAUAAAUAAAUCAUUUAGUGGGCUCUAUGUUGUGAGUAGUGAUAGGUAACUUAUCUCGACACCUUUUAGUAGAUUGCAUUAAUAUUUAGACUGGACCCUUUUGAUAGCUACAUUUGUGAACAAGAAUACAAUACGAUAAAGAAAUAGAUAAGAAGUUUCACCUCCUAUACUCCCAUGACCACAUCAUGACAUAUUCAAUGCCAAUCAUGAAUAUACAAACCAAUAGGAUUUGUUUUCUUCCAAAUAUUUAUUUGUGGACGUGAAUCUACUCACCCUAGAAGCAAGUUUCGUUAAAUUUACUUUGUUUAAUAAUUUUUUGUGAACAUUCAUUCUUUUUUAAUUCAACUGUUAUAUAAAAAUAUCUCACUAAGUAGAUCAAAUAUGCAAACUUUUAAUCAACAUUAUGUUGAUCCGAGGAUAAUUAAAUUCAAAUUCCUUAAGAAAGGUCUUAAGUUCAAAUUUUGUGAAUGGAAAAUAUAAUUAAAAAAAAAGACAUAACUAAAGUAGCUAGUCAAGUCAUGAUAAAGUCUUACAAUUCAUGAAAUAACUAAUAUUAUAUCAAUCAACUUCAUUUUAAUGGAUAGUAGUAUUAUUCUUUUAAAAUACAAGUAAAUGUUAACUAUAAGAUAAUCUUUAUGGUAAUAUAUUACAAAAUAUAAUAGUUAAGGGUCUGUUUGGGUGGUUGUUAGUUGUAAGUUUCAUUUUUAAUUUUAAACCAGUCUUUAAAAUUUGGUUAGUUUUCUAAUUCUUAGUUUUAAGAUAAAGCCAUUUAAAAAAAUUUCAAUCCUUUUAAAAUUAAUUUAAAAGGUGAUAAUGUCAACAUAGGUUAUGGUUCUAGUGUUAGUAGAGGCGACCAGAAAUGUCAUUGUCAAAUGUAGAGUGUGUACUUUUUUUAAAUUAAAAUCAAAAUUACAAAUGUUUUUUUUCUUUAUUUUGAAAAUAAAGAUAAAAAAGUGUUUUGAGAUAGUCAAUCAUUUCAACUUCAUUUUCUGCCCAAAGCUUUUGAUUUUGAAAAUUACAUUUAAAAAUAAAAUUAAAAAACUCACAAUUACCUGACCAAACCUUAAGUCUUUUAAAUUAAUUAAUAUUCUAUAAAGAAAUAGUAUUUUUAAAAUAUUUAUAUAAUUUAAGUAUUUACUUAUUUUUAGAGUGAAUAGAUCCCUUUCGUUUGUUUCAUUCAUCAUACAGAAUCAAUAAUACACUGGAAUAUUCGCUUAUAUAUAUAUAUAUAUAUAUAUAUAUAUAUAUAUAUAUAUAUAUAUAUAUAUAUAUAUAAAAUGUACAUGGAAAAAAUAAUUUUCCAUUAGUGUAUUAAAAUUUGAAGAGAGACAGACAAAUAUAUCCUUAUUUCCAUAGAGCCUGCAAAAACCUAACUAUCCAGUCAAUAUUUUAUAUUUCCGUAGUUUUUCUGACAAACCAAUUUCUUUAAUAAAGUUUUCAAAUAAGUUAUAUAACAUAUCAUAAUAUUCAAGGUUUUCCAAGAGAAAUUUAAAAAUUGUUAUUUUGACAAGAUAAGUGCUACAUAAUUGUGUGGUCUAUAGCGACUAAUGAGUCAAGGCAUCGUGACUCUGUCGUAGCAAAAAAGGUAAACAAAAACAAGUCAUUGUCAUAGCAUUAUUUGAAGUUGAAGAAUACGUAGUGUGAUAUGAUUUAUUUAUGACUUUUUUGGUUGUUUCCGUUGCAUUUUGUGAAUCGAAGAUCAAAUAGCUAGCUAUAAAAAGAUCCUAAACAGAUAACAACCUAUUGGUAAUUUAUUUUGUUUUUGUUUUAGUCUAUUCAAUUAUAUAUAGGCUCAUAUAUGUAGAUUUUAUAAGUUUAAGCCACAAAAAAUAUAUUUUUAUUAAAACAAUAAAAAGAUAUUGCCGUAGUGUUUAUACGAGAAAUGGCGCAUAGUAAGGUGCUCGAUCGAGUCUCUAUCAAUUUGCUUUUGGUAGGAAAAGAAAAGACAAAAGAAGAAAGUUACAAAGUGCACUCUUAAUCCUUGUGUCUUUAUAAUCAAGUUGGAUAAAGACACAUUAACACUCAUGUUAUUUUUUAAUUCCCUGAGUAUUUAACUCAAUUAGAUACUUAAAGAUUUAAAUUUGAGGCCGUUACUAGUUAAUUAAAAUAAUUCCGCAUAAAUUGAUUCAAACACAUUAUUUGACAUCUUAAGAGAAAAAGAAAAAAAAUGAAAUGUAAACAUGAUAAAUUAUAUGAUAUGAUAAGGGAAAUACAAAAAUAAAUAAAAGAUGUCAAAUAAAUAUCCAUGCAUGUAUCAUUACUAAUUAAGUUUCAAAAUCAUAGAGUGAUACAUGAAUUUUUUUAUUUUAAAUUCAAAAUAUAUCUCAGUGAAAACUAUUUAAUGUUUAAAAUAACAUUCAUACAUCAAUGUUUUAUUUGAGAACUUUGAUAAAUAAGUAUUUUGUUUCAGGAAUUAUGUUUAUACUUUAUAGUGUAUUAAUCCUAUGACAUAUUGUGUGAUAGUAACGAUGAGAAAGGAAAUAAAAAGGAAUAAAAUAGGAUAAAAAUAUUAAAUUCCUACUAUUAUUUGAAAGAAGAAAUAAAAAGUAGAAUUUUCUUAAUUAAUCUCACAUGAAAAUUAAUAUUUCUCCUCUAUAUAUCAAAAAAAAUAUCCCUGCUCAUGGGCAAGAAAGAAAACAAACAAAACAAAGGGCAACAAACAAGGCAUAGCCACUUGCUUGUGUUGGGACCAAAACAAAACAAAACAAAUGGGUCAUUAUUGUUUAGGGUGGUGGUAAGAUAAGGACUAAACUGUAAUUGUCUGGCUCAGCUGCAUACUUCAAAAAUGUGGUGCACAUGGAAACAAGGGGGAGAAGUGGAGAAAAUGAAGACCAAUGUACAUACUUUCUUCCUCAAUCAAUGUAUCAACAAUAUCAGUCCAUGGCAACGUUGUUUUUCAGGAUGUGACUCUCUCGAGGGCCUAAAGGCCCACCAGGUUCAUCAUUCAUCAAGGUUUUGUAGUUUAAUCAUACAAUUUCAAGCACCAAAGAAAAUGAGCCUUGGUAAGUUUUUUUUUCAUCACCAAAAUGAUAUUUUUUUUCCCUUUCAAAUUCUAUGGUUGCACUUGCACACAUUGGAUUUGACAUGUCAAUAUCAACAACUUUUAAUUAAAUGCAGUUCUUGUAAACAUUCAAUUUCAUCGAAACAAACAAAAUAAAAAUGUACAAAUGAGAACAUUUGAAAAAAAGAAGCAUAACCGAUUAUAAAAGAAGGAAAAGUAAUAUUCAAUCAGAAAAGAAAAUUGUGAUAACCAUCUUUUGUUCUCCCAUCUUAUUUUAUCUUUUUGUCAAAAUAAUUUUACAUUAUCGUUCAAUCAUAAAUCGUUACAGAUAUAAAUUUUAAAGUAAUUAUCAUAAAAAUUAAUAAAUUUAUCAUACAUGAUAAGUUAUAAUUGAAUGACGAUGUAUUUUACAUUAAGUAUAACCUAUUUUCUUUUUUUUCUUCGAUUGUUAUAUUCUUUGUCUAAUAAAAAAGAGAAUAUACUGACAUUAAAAAUAAAAAAAAUAGAAAAUUAUAAAAUAUAACAACACAACAAGAAGAAUGAUUAAGGGUAUGUUGGAUUGCUUUUUGAAGUGUUUCAAAUGGAUAAUUCCAUUUUUUCAUGCAAGUAGAAGCAAUUAUUGCUUGCCAUUUGAGUGAACGUUUAUUGAAGCGAAGGGCAACUUUUUUCCCAUCACGUCCUAGUUGUUUUGAAGUUAUUUUUGGCAUCUCUCUAGUUUCCUUUUGGGGGUUGCUAGGUGCACCCAGCAUUAUUGCUGGUGCACCCAGCACUUAUUGUGAAAAGUCACAAAUGCCCUUGUUAUUUUUUAAAAAAAAAGCAGUGCACCCAACGACCCUUUCUUCUUCCUUUUCCGCGAGCCUCUUCUCCUUCAUUCUUCUUCCUUUUCUGCGAGCCUUUCUUCUUCUCCUUCUUUCUUCUGCGAGCCUCUUCAACUUCUUUCUUCCUCCUUCCUCAUUCUUCCGCGAGCCCAUUUGCUUCUCUAGCACGAGGUGGUUGUUCUUCUUCCGCGCAAGCUGCUGCUUCUCCCUCCUUCGAGUGCGCUUCUUCUUCCAUUCUGCCGCGAGGUGCUGCUCUUCUAUUCUUCAUCGAGGUAAGGUCUAUUAUCCUUUUUCUUGUUUGUUAUUGCUUUCAUUGGUGAUUGCUUAAGUAUUUAGGUCAUCCGCAGUAGAGACAAGUUAGGACCUAGGUGAUCCGCAAAUAGGGUAGAUGAUCCGUAGGUUGUGUUUAUGUUGUGUUGAACUUGCGGAUCACGUUGAUCCGCAAGAAGAAAAGGUUGAUUCGCAUGCUUCCCACAGAUCAAGUUGAUCCGCAUGCUUCAUGCAGAUCAACUUGAUCCGCGGGAAGCAUGCAGAUCAACUUGAUCUGUGUGAAACAUUUUACAUUUUUAAAAGUUUAAAUUAGGUUAUAAUUAAUGAAAAAUGGUUUUUAAUGGUUACUUUUGAAGCUUUUGCCUCAAGUAUGAUAUUGUAUAAUGGUUAUUUAUAUCCUGUAUGGUAGUGAAUAUGCAAUUGAAAAUAUGAACACAAUCUAUUAGGUUGUAGCUUCUCAUGUGCCUAAAAAGGAUUAGAAUCCUUAAAUUUAGACAAGAAUUUGUGAUGGUGCUUGUCAUAUGCCUCAAAGCAGUAAACAUCCUGAAAUUGUUGUGUACUAGAUCAUUAACCAUAAAAUGAUGGUGGUAAGUUUAAAUCACUGAAAUAAUACUCCACCUACAAUAAUACCUCCCAACUACUGAGAAAAUCUUCAUAAGAUUUGGAUGAAUUGAAAAAGAAAAGUAUAUGGUCAGAAUAUUCUAGGAAGGAUAAAAAGAACUGUUGCUUUUCGUUGUCUUGGUGAAUUGAAAAAGAAAAGAAAAUAUCAAGCCAUGAAUGUCAUAAUCCAAAAUCCAAAUAGAUAUUUUUCAAAAUAAUCGGAAAAAAAUGAAAUAUCCAAGCACAAAUUGUCCCUUUUAUGUCUAAUGCUCUAGCAGAAUCAGACCUGAGGGUGAGAGUCAAAUUACUAUAUUAUACUCAAUCAAACAUCAAUAUGCAACUGCAGAGAUAAAUCACAUACUUGAGUAAUAGUUAGGAAAUAAUAGAGCAAACACACUUCAUGCAAAUGAUUGACCUCAACUUGCAAAAAAUUAGAAACAAUAGUUAGAAUAUAUACCCAAAGUAGGUCAAUUAAAAUAGUAGUUAGAAUUCAUGUUAUCCACCAAAUCCCAAAAUGAUGCUAACAAAAAUUAGAACCCUGAAUACAUGAUAUUUGAAUAAAAAAUUUCGAUAAGAAUACAUGAUAUGCAUGGGUCAUCAUAGAACCCAUCAUGCAACAUUAGUAAACUGUCUUGCACAACUUAAAGUCAAUCACACAUUUGCAGAUCAUGGUUAAGACUAGAGGAUUAGGCCGUGCAUUAGGUAGGGUUGGUGCCAAAGGUUUGGGGAGAGGAGGGGAUGGUGAUGAUACUGAUGGUGCUCCCCAGGGCCGAAGGCUGACCGCAUCGGCAAGCAGGUGACGAGUACCAGUCAUUCUUGACGAUGAUGUGCCUGUGGUGCCUGCGAACUCGCCUGCGGUACCAGAGGCAGAGGCUGCUGUAGCUGGGGAUGAGCCCAUGGUAGAUGCUGCCACACAGGACACCGGUGCAGAGACUGACGCACAGGAUACCGGUGCAGAGACUGACGGGGACGAGCUUGAGGGAUUUCUUGGUGGACCCAGGGACCCAUUAGUGCUUACAGAGUAUGCUGACCAUGUUGCGGGCAGCGUAUGGUCUGGACAGGUAUUUAUAAUAUUAAAGUUAGUUAACUUUUAUUUUUUUUUAUUUUUUGGUUACUUAUUGACGUUAUUUGAAAAAAUUGUGUGUUCCUUUGUACUUCAAUUCAGGAACAUCUUGAGUUGAAGUUAUGCUCCCAUGGGAGGAAGGUGCAUAACUUGGGCAGGUCUAUUCCUGCAAUUGAGGACAUGGUUGCUGGGACAGGAUUAAGUCCUUUGAUCGCGUGUUCAAUAGACACCGGCGAUCGGGGACUUAUAUCCUCCUUUGUUGAGAGGUGGCACCGGGAGACUUCUAAUUUCCAUCUUCCUGUGGGGGAGGUUUCGAUCACGCUGGAUGACAUCGCGUCUCUUCUCCAUCUGCCUAUCGUUGGCGCAUUCCAUGACUUCCAGCCUUUGUGCACCGACGAGACGGUGUUGCUGUUGGUUGAGUUACUGAUGGUCUCAGCAGAGGUGGCCAUGACCGAGACAGGCCAAUGUGGUGGACCAUACGUACGCCUGUAGUGGCUACGAGACGUAUACCAGUGCAGAUGUCAGACGCAGCACUGGACAGUUGCCGCUCAUGCUUAUCUUCUACAUCUUUUGGGUUGCACUCUUUUUGCUAAUAAGAGUGCAACCCAUGUUCAUGUCGCACACAUACAGGCCCUACGUAACCUCACUCUUGCUGGGCGGUAUGCAUGGAGAGCUGCUGGCCUCGUCCAUAUGUACAAUCAACUUAAUGAUGCCAGUCUCAGCACCAGCCGACAGUUUGCUGGUUAUAUCACCUUGUUACAAGUAAUUAAUAUGUAUUUCAUAAUUUAAUUACAACAAUGUUUUAAUGACUGUAUAUUUAAUUAACAUGUAUGAUUUUCAUGUAAACCCUAUAGUGUUGGAUAUACGAGCACUUUCCUUCAGUUGCAGAGUGCAAUGCUGAUCCGGACUACGACGAGGUGUUACCACGUGCAUGUCGGUGGAUUGCGACAAAGAAGACUGUGAAGAAGCUAUCUACAGCGACGUACAGGCAGUGCAUGGAUCGUCUGAGGAUCCUGGAUGCCUGCUGGAUGCCAUAUGCGGAGCACCGACCUGUGCAGAACUUUCAUCCGAUUUCGUGCUUCUCUGGAAAGCUCUGCAAGGGGCCUGCUGUUGUCAGAUACAGACUGGAGAGGUUUAUGCACCAGUUUGGCUACAUCCAGUGCAUUCCUGCACACCCUGUCCAUUCAUGGGUGUCAUAUGAUGACAUGGACGAUACGUGGACGCACUACUCAGACCAUCUGGAGGCAGCAGGUGAUCUAUGUGUUGUGUCAGGUCAGUGUGCGCCUGACUACAUAGACUGGUUCUUCGUCAUAUCGCAUCCAUUCAUGACUGCACCACAGACGAAUCCUCCUCGAGAUGCAUAUGCGAUGCAGCCCAGUCAUAUCCCUCAUGAGGCAGCACCGACAUCGACACAUGUGGAUCCUGAUGCAAACGAGCCCAGACAUGCAGUGGUAAGUGUUACUAUUUGGUUAGAUGUAUGCCAUUUACUUCAAUUAUUUUAAUACUAAUUUGUAUAAUUUGUUUGUUUUUUAUUUAACAGGAGGCUUGUCAUGCGAUCGCAGAGGCGUUGGAGCAGCAUCUAAAUGUGCUAGGCACAUCUACACAUGAAGAGGUUAUCCAAAAAUGCCUCAGGAUUGUCAGGAGUGUCACUGAAGACCGCAAUGUGUAUGUGAGGUCUCGACGUAGGCGGUGCACGGAUCAACAAUAGUUUAUUCACACUUUAGAUAUCAUUAGUUUUUGACGAUGUAUUUGACUUGACAUUUUGUCAAUUAUGUUUAAAUUACUUGAUCCAAAAUUUAUUUUGUAAUUGUAUGCUAAGAAAUUACAUAGACCCUAAGAAACUCCAUUUUGAGAAAACAUAAAGACAACUAAAACUUCUCUCCACAAAAACACUUAGGCAAACACAUCCAUGAUCCGCGGCACAAUAAUUUGCAAUAGUAAGCUCCAAAUCUGUUCUAAGAUCGUAAGUUCCUUGAUUAGUUGGUUCCUUCUGCAAAACAACCAAAAAAUUUACAAGCAGACAAGGUUAGGGAGGGGGAGGAAGCAAAUCCUUUUUCAAAAAUAAAUAAAUAUAUGAACUUAAUCCAAUAUCACUUUAAUUGUGACUGAAUAUAAUCACAUUAAUUUAAAAUAAAUCACCUCAAGCAGAAAGGAAAUGUUUUAUUAAACCAGUCAUUAUUUAACAAUAGCAAUGGAUAUUUUUAUAUAGCUACUUCAAAUUAACCUCGCACUAAAGUAGUUACCUGCAUAUAUCAGUGACAACUUUCAGUGCUUGCUUAGACACUUGUUGAUUGUGAUAUCUUCAAAUUAGCCAUUUGUCGCCUUCUCUUGGCUUUCCUUGAUAGAUUAUCCCUAUUAAUAUUUGAUCCGCAUGCAUCCCAACCUUUAGGAAGCCCAAGUAAUUCAUCCUUCUUUUCAAAAAUCUAGCUUCUCAUUGUCAUCAUGUCACUACAAAAGUCAGGGUCAGCAUCCUCUACAUUAUAAUAUUUCUCGUCAAAUGCCUUCUUCAUCAUUCUAUCAUACUCCUGUGGGUCAAAUUCCUCUUCAAUUUCUUCCCUGGACAAUGGGAUAAUAUCAUCACCAUGGAUCCCUGCAGUCUUCAUUAUCUUUUUAACCUUUUCCUGUAUUUCCUGCUUAUUCAAAUUCUUUAAGCGUUUCAACUCCUCCUCCCUCUCUUUUUGUUCUAUAGCCAUUCUCUCCUCUUUGCUCUUUCUCUGCUCUUUCCUUGCAUUCGUCUUCUUCCUCAUUGAUCCCUCCACCUUCCGAGCAUGACCCAACACCCUAUCUUCUGGAUUUUCCUGAAAUCUGUAUUCAUAUUCUUCCUAUCUCUUGAGCUCCAUCUCAUCCUCUGAAAUCUCUUGCAAUUCAUCCUCUCCAACAUUCAAAUUCUUCCCACUCUUGCCAAUCCACAAUUUGACCCAACACCCUAUCAAGUUGAUCCGUUGUUGAUCCAUAGAAGGCUUACGGAUCAACUUGAUCCAUAAACCAAACUCGAUCCAUAGAAGUAAAAUCAACAUACGGAUCAAGGUGAUCCAUGGAAGACUCGCGGAUCAACUUGAUGUUAGAGUUUGUGGUCUUAGUUCCUUUGUCCCACAUUGCUUGGUUUGUAAAAACUUGUGUCUCACUAGUGUUAUAUAUAGAGACACCUUGUAAGCUUUUAUGUGCAAGUAAUAAAAGUUCUCCUAGUGUAGCCGUGGACGUAGGCACAUACAUUGUGUGCUGAACCACGUUAAACUGUGUGUCUUUUUCUUUCUUCCCUUUAUUUCUUUCUCUUCUUUUAUUGCUCUAUACUAACAACUGGUAUCAAGAGCUUUUGGUUACUCCACGGAAUUUCCUUAGUUUAAAGGAAUUAGUGGGAGUCUUCUCAGUUUAGAGGAGGCAGUGGGAGCAAUGGCAUUAGAAGAGGGAAAAAUGAAGAUCGAGAAGUUCGAUGGCAGAGAUUUCAGCUUUUGGAAGAUGCAGAUAGAGGAUUAUCUAUAUCAGAAGAAGUUGUAUCAGCCCUUAUCAGGGGUUAAGCCAGAAGACAUGAAGCAAGAAGAAUGGAACUUGCUAGAUCGACAUGCUCUUGGCGUGAUCAGAUUGACAUUAGCCAAGAAUGUCGCGUUCAACAUCAUGAACGAGAAGACUACUGCAGGCUUAAUGAAGGCAUUAUCAGAUAUGUACGAGAAGCCGUCAGCAGCCAACAAAGUAUACUUGAUGCGCCGGUUGUUCAACCUCAAGAUGGGAGAAGGUAUCUCUGUAACUGAUCAUAUUAAUGAGUUUAAUACUAUUCUUGCCCAAUUGGAAUCUGUGCAUAUUAAAUUUGAGGAUGAGGUGAAGGCAUUGAUUUUAUUGUCAUCACUACCGGAUAGUUGGGCUGCAACUGUUACUGCAGUUAGUAGUUCUACAAGGGAGAACACAUUAAAGCUUAGUGACAUUCGUGACUUGAUCUUGAGCGAAGAUGUUCGCAAGAGAGAUUCAGGAGAAUCUUCCAGUCAUGUUUCCAAUUCAGCAUUGAAUACUGAAGGCAAAGGAAGGACUACCCAGAAGGGUCAGAAUGGUCGAGGCAGAUCAAAGUCAAGAGGGAAAGGUCAGAGAAAAUUUCAAAGUGACGUUACUUGUUGGAAUUGUGACAAGAGAGGUCACUUUAGCAAUCAGUGCAAGGCACCAAAGAAGAACAAGUCGCACAAAAACAAGAAGCGCGAUGAUGAUGAAUCCGCAAAUGCAGCAACUGAUGAACUUGAUGAUGCAUUAAUUUGCAGUUUGGAUAGUCCUGUUGAUUCAUGGAUCAUGGACUCAGGUGCGUCGUUCCACACUACUCCCUCUAAAGAUUUAUUGUCUAACUAUGUUUCUGGAAGAUUUGGAAAAGUUUACCUUGCAGAUGGAAAAUCUCUUGACAUUGUCGGAAGAGGUGAUAUCAACAUCAAGACCUCCAGUGGAUCCCUAUGGACAUUGCACAAUGUCAGACAUAUUCCUGCCUUAAAGAGAAAUUUAAUAUCUAUAGGGCAGUUGGAUGAUGAGGGACAUCACACCACUUUUGGAGAUGGAGCUUGGAAGGUAACAAAAGGCAAUCUCAUUGUGGCUCGUGGAAAGAAGCGAGGAUCUCUUUACAUGAUUGCAAAUGAGGAUAUGGUAGCAGUUACUGAGGCUGUCAAUAAUUCAACCAUGUGGCAUCAAAGACUUGGACAUAUGAGUGAAAAAGGAAUGAAGCUUAUGGCGGCAAAGGGUAAGCUAUCAAGCCUCAAGCAUGUAGAUGUUGGUGCUUGUGAACAUUGUAUCCUUGGAAAGCAGAAAAAGGUCAGUUUCUCAAGGGCAGGGAAGACUCUGAAAGCUGAAAAGCUAGAAUUGGUGCACAUAGAUGUUUGGGGGCCAGCCCCAGUGAAAUCUGUUGGAAACUCACGCUAUUAUGUCACCUUUAUCGACGACUCUACCAGAAAGGUAUGGGUUUAUUUUCUUAAAAAUAAAUCUGAUGUGUUUUCUGUGUUUAAAAGGUGGAAAGCAGAAGUUGAAAAUCAAACAGGUCUAAAGGUUAAAAGUCUGAAAUCUGACAAUGGUGGGGAGUAUGAUAGUCAGGAGUUUAAAGACUUCUGUUCAGAACAUGGGAUCAGAAUGAUCAAGACAAUACUAGGAACACCUGAGCAAAACGGUGUUGCAUAAAGGAUGAAUAGAACCUUGAAUGAGAGAGCAAGGUGUAUGUGGAUCCAAUCUGGCUUGCCUAAAGCAUUCUGGGCAGAAGCAAUAAACACAGCAGCAUAUCUCAUCAAUAGAGGACCAUCAGUUCCUUUGAAUUAUCAGUUGCCUGAAGAAGUAUGGUCUGGAAAGGAGGUAAAACUUUCACAUUUGAGAAUUUUUGGUUGUGUUUCAUAUAUACUGACAAACUCUAAUAGUAGAGAUAAAUUGGAUCCGAAGGCGAGGAAGUGUUAUUUUAUUGGUUAUGGAUCUGACAUGUAUGGCUACAGGUUUUGGGAUGACCAAACCAAGAAAGUUAUCAGAAGCAGAAAUGUUACUUUUAAUGAGAACUUAUUUUAUAAGGACAAAUUUUCUGCAGAAUCUACAUGUGCAGGUAAACUGUCAGAAAUUUCUGAGAAAGCAACACUUGAAGAAAUUUCAGAAAGUGAUGUAGCCAACAGAAACCAGAGUACAGGCGUAGAGGUUGAGUCAGAACCAGAACCAUCAACUCCUCCAAGAAAAUCUAGCAGAAUUUCAGUACCACUAGAUAGGUAUUCCCCUUCAUUGCAUUAUUUGUUGUUAACUGAUGCUGAUGAGCCAGAAUGUUUCAAUGAGGCUACACAGGGGAAUGACACUAUUGAGUGGGAGCUAGCGAUGAAAGAUGAGAUGACAUCCCUUCAGAAGAAUAAGACGUGGUCUUUAACUAAAUUGCCAGAAGGAAAGAAGGCGUUACAGAAUAGGUGGGUCUAUAGGCUAAAGGAAGAAUCUGACGGUAGAAGAAGAUACAAGGCGAGACUUAUGGUGAAAGGGUUUCAGCAGAAACAAGGAAUUGAUUUCACAGAGAUCUUCUCUCCAGUUGUAAAGAUGACUACCAUCAGAGUUAUUCUGAGCAUAGUAGCUGCAGAGAAUCUUCACUUGGAGCAGUUAGAUGUUAAAACUGCAUUCUUGCAUGGGGAUUUAGAGGAAGACAUCUAUAUGACCCAACCAAAAGGUUUUGAAGUGCCAAGCAAGGAGAAUCUUGUAUGCAAGCUUCACAAAAGUUUGUAUGGCUUGAAACAAGCACCGAGGCAGUGGUACAAGAAGUUUAAUGAGUUUAUGAGCAACUCAGGAUUCAAAAGAUGUGACAUGGACCAUUGCUGCUAUGUUAAAAAAUAUACUAAUAGUUAUGUUAUCCUUGUUGUGUAUGUUGAUGACAUGUUGAUUGCAGGAUCUAGUAUGGCAGAAAUUAACAGGUUGAAGCAGCAGUUGGCAGAAAACUUUGAAAUGAAGGAUCUUGGUCCAGCUAAACAAAUCCUUGGUAUGAGAAUUCUUAGAAACAAAUCAGAAGGAAUUUUGAAGCUGUCUCAGGAGAAAUAUAUACCCAAGUUGCUUGACAAGUUUUACCUUGGAGAUUCUAAGACCAGGAAUACCCCUUUGGGAUCUCAUUUGAAGUUUUCAAAGAAGCAAUCUUUGCAAACAAAUGAAGAAAAAUGUUACAUGUCAAGAGUACCAUAUGCAUCAGAAGUUGGGAGUUUGAUGUAUGCUAUGGUGUGUACCAGACCUGACAUAGCACAUGCAGUGGGAGUUGUCAGUAGGUUCCUAUCAAAUCCAGCAAAAGAGCAUUGGGAAGGUGUAAAGUGGAUACUCAGAUAUAUGAAGGGUACUUCAGAGAUGUGUUUGUGCUUCAGAAAAGGCAAUCUCACUUUACAGGGAUUUUCAGAUGCAGACUUGGGAGGAGAUUUUGAUACCAAGAAGAGCACCACAGGCUACAUUUUUACCUUGGGAGGUACUGCUGUGAGUUAGAAGUCUAAACUUCAAGAUAGAGUUGCUCUCUCAACCACGAAAGCCGAGUACAUAGCUAUCUCAGAAGCAGCUAAGGAGAUGAUUUGGCUAAAGAAUUUUCUCAAUGAAUUGGGGAAAGAACAAGAUAAUGCUCCAAUGUUUAGUUACAGUCAAAGUGCUAUAAGUCUUGCUAAGAAUCCAGUCUUCCAUUCUAGAUACAAGCAUAUUCAAUUAAGAUACCAUUUUAUCAGGGAGUUGAUAAAUGAUGGAAACUUAUCUUUAUUGAAGAUCUUAGGAUCAGAGAAUCCAGCAGAUAUGUUGACUAAAGCUGUUACAACUGACAAACUGAGGCUUUGCAUUGCCUCAGUUGGCCUUCAAGGAUAAUUGAAGAUGAAGGCGCUGCACUAGGUAAAGAGUCGAUGAACUCGUUGCUUACAAGGAGCUGCUAGAGUUUGGAACUUAGACCCCAAGUGGGAGAAUUGUUAGAGUUUGUUAUCUUAGUUCCUUUGUCCCACAUCGCUUGGUCUGUAAAACUUGUGUAGGCUUAGUCCCACAUCGCUUGGUUUGUAAAAACUUGUGUCUCACUAGUGUUAUAUAUAGAGACACCUUGUAAGCUUUUAUGUGCAAGUAAUAAAAGUUCUCCUAGUGUAGCCGUGGACGUAGGCACAUACAUUGUGUGCUGAACCACGUUAAACUGUGUGUCUUUUUCUUUCUUCCCUUUAUUUCUUUCUCUUCUUUUAUUGCUCUAUACUAACACUUGAUCCGUAAGCCAAACUUGAUCCGUAGAAGUAAAAUCAACAUACGGAUCAAGUUAAUCCGUGGAAGACUGACGGAUCAACUUGAUCCGUGGAAAACUCGCGGAUCAACUUGAUUUGCACUUGGUUCACGAGUCUUCCACGGAUCAACUUGAUCCGCACAAGGAAAAAAAGGACAUUUUUGGAAUUUUUAAAGGAUGCUGAGUGCACCAACAAUAACGCUGGGUGCACCUAACAACACCCUUUCCUUUUUCUUGAUCACUUCCUUUUUCCCAUUUAUUUUCCCGACACACAAUUUUAGUACUACACAUCCUACAUGCACCAUCUAAAGACUCACUCACAAAUCCAGUCUAAUUAAGGACAAGUUAAUACGGAGAAAUUAAUUAGUUCUCUACUACUACUGUAUAUUUAUAAUAUUGAUCAAUCUUUACCUAACAUGAUACGUAUUUAAGUUUUUUAAUUUAAGAAAAAAAUAAUAAUGCUAAAUUGUAGACACUCUUAGAUUGUUUGAUAAUUUUUUCUCUCAAAAAAUUAUUAGAUAUCCAAAACCAUCAUAGACUCUAUUAACAUAAUAUACAAUGCCACUUAAAAAAAACAUAAUAUACAAGGCUAUUAGUUUUUUUUUAUUAAUUAAAAAACUUGAAUAUUUUUUUUAUCGACAAAUAUUCUUUGUUAAUAGAAAAGAUCAGAUUUUAUGAUUUUUUUUCUUUUUCCUUCUCCUAUAAUCAUGUAAUUUACCUUAUAUUUCCGAAAAAUCUGAAAAGGUAUCAUACAAAUUGAUUCAGGCUAUAGAGAUGUAGUGAUCCGAAACUACUUAAUAUAUAGUUUCUUCCACACUCACGGCACUCAAAUAUUUCAUUUCCUCACACAUAGACUGCACCUCCCCCCUCACACACUCACACACUCACUCAUUCACAACACCACACUGACUUAUUCAUAUUCAUCCGUCACAUGAAAGGCCAUGGCAAGCACACACACAAGUUACAAAGCAAAUCCAAACUCUUCAGUGAUGAACCUUAUUUGCACCAUGCAACCAUAAUAUCCACCCAUCAUAGAUCUUAUAGACAAUUGCAUAUAUAGCCAUCAAAGCUUUUCCCAACCAUUGAACUUCUCAACCGAGUCUUCAAAGCUUUUUCCAACCAUUGAACUUCUCAACCAAGUCUUCAAACCUUCACGUGAAUCUGUCAUCAAGACAGCCCCUAAAUUAAGCUUGAGCCGUCUGUGUCAUACACGUAUAAGAGGUCACGCAUGGUUUACAUCAAGAAAAGAAGCUAUCAUAAAGAUAUUAAUUCUAUUUUUUGUUGUUGAAUAAGUCUAGGGUAUAAUAUAUUUUUUAUUUCUCAAAAUAGUUGAGAACGAUAGUUUUGAAAUAUUUUAAAGGAUAAAAACAUAUUUUACCUAGAAUUCUAUUUGUAUUUUAUUUCUUGCUUAGUUUUCGUGGUAAAGGCGUAAGGCAUAGCCGCAUGGAUAUGAACUUAUCAUAGGGCUCCAUUGAAUCAAAUCAGUUUAAACUUAAAGCUUUUGAAAAUCAUUAUUAAAAAAAAAUGAACUUUUGAGGACACCAAAAUUACGUCACUGAAAGAGAAUAAUGACUUCUUCUUCUUCUUUUUUUUCCUGUUGUAAACUUAGGAGUUUCAAAACCCAAGUUCCAAAUUUGCAAUGGUUUCUUGUUUUUGGUUCGUAAGUGGAUUACAAAAAUUUCAUUUUAACGAAAACUUUUGGAUUAUUUUAAUAUUAUGCGCUAGUUGUAAUUAAAAGUCAUUAGGAUUGUUUUAGAAAACUAAGAAUAAAUCUAUAAUUAAUUUCUCUUAUCUUUUCAAAAUACUCAUUAGUUUUUUUUUAAAAAAAAACCAACACAGAAUAGUAUUUUUUUAGCCAUAAAAAAAAUAAGGGAACGAAAGACUGAGGGAAGAAAGCCAAUUUAAUUAAAAAAAUAGAAAAUGAAUUUUUUUUUAAAAACACAAGAAAAUAUUGGGCCAGGAAAUAAAUAUGAAUUAUAAUAAUCAAGAGCGUCAUGCAUGCUUAGUAGCUUUCUGUGCAUUAAAGAACUCUAGAGAAAUUAUGUGUUAUGAUCUAUUCUUACAAAAACAUAUGCCAUAGCCUGUGAACUGGAUCCGUGUUCAUGAUCUCUUGUAUAUGCUUUUGUUCUUUAAUUGUUAAUAAUUAAGAACACAUGCCGUAGUGCAAGUUUAAAUCACGAAGAGUUAUGGAUACCCAUAAUUUUUUAAGGGAUAUAAAAUAAACUAUCCUUUUUGUUAUUGUAAUUUAAAAAUUUAAAGACCUUCUAAUUCACCUCAUAAUCAGUUUCAAGUCCAACCAAUUCUAUUCAUCCAUGCUUCACUCAGGUUCUUUUGAGACCUUUUAAAAAAAAGAAAAAGGACAUGAUGAGGCCCUUAUUUAGAUGUAAUAGAGGUGUUUAUAUAAAAUUAAGAAGAAGAAAAAAGAUCGUCAGCAACAAAUUGAAAUGAAUGUGUAUGCAAAGUUAAAACCUAAAAGGUUAAUCGAUCAAUGAUGGAACACCCAAAUAGUCAUGUUUUAGUUUCUCCCAAGCUCCAAAGGGGAAAAGCGUUUGGUAAAAUCAGUCAAAUAAGUUAGUUGAUAAAUAUAAAUUAACACAAAAAAAUAUAUGUAAUUAUUUGAGUUAAAAAGUGAUUAAAAAACGAGUGAGAAAAAAAGAAAGCUACAAACUUAUAAACUAGAGCUUAUUUUCGUAAGUUAAUUGAUACAGUUUAUGAAAAUAAACUCCAAGUUAAUAUAAUAAACUGUACUAAAUAAACUUAUAAGUUGAUUAAAGUAAUUUGUAAACUAUUAGAGUAUCAUACGAAAACAUUUAGUAUUCGUUCAGAGUCGCAAGUUGCUAGUUUUGGAACUUGUAUUUAGAAGUUUCUCUCGGUGCUUUAAAAAUUUGGAGGUAUUUAUGGUCUUAGCUGGAUUCAGACUGUUAACUUCAUAUUAAUUUUUGCUUAGAAAAAUUUACAAUAGUUGCAUGUUGUUCCUUUCCGAUAUUUCAUUUUUGUCAUAUAAUUAGUUAAACUAGCUUAACUAUAAGCUACUAAAGUGUCUUAUUGAGGGUUUUCUCCUUGCUGCACCGUUAGGGUUUUUUUAUUGAUCCCAAGGCUUGUAUGCUUGUUUUUCCCUUGUGGUUGUCGCUCUACUUAGGGUGAUUUGCUGUCCCAAUGUGACACCUUUUAUUCUUAUAUACAUAUUUAUAUAAUAAAAUACAUGAAAAUGUGGAAUUACAUAAAAUAAUUUUAUUCAAUAAACAUAAAAGAACUCACGUGAAUAAAAGGUUCACAUUUCGGUUAAUCACCAAAUUAAAAACUUAUCAAUUAAGAGUAUGAAAAUAUUUUCGACUCAAAACAACGUCGUUCAAGUUUACAAAAGAACAUAAGUUAAGUAGCAUAAUAAAAUAAAGUAAUAUGAUGACAUGUUUGGAACAUUAUGCAAUUAAAACAGAAACUCAUGCCUUAAUGUCACAUCCUAUCAGAGCAUUAUGUCUUGACGUCCUCCAACACGAGGUUCCUUAAAGCAAUCCACCUUGUCAUAUGCUCCAACGAACACAAGUUUCGAGAUCAUCACAAGAUCCAAAUACAAACAACACACAUGGAGCGAGAAGUGAAUUGUCACAUUUCUAAACAGGUAGAGAUAAACGAAUAUAUAUAUAUAUAUAUAUAUAUAUAUAUAUAUAUAUAUAUAUAUAUAUAUAUAUAACAAGCUCAACUUAGAACAAUUCACAUCAUUUUACCACUCAUUGUGUAUCAUCACUUUUCCCAAGGAUUUAAUCACAUUUCACACCUUCACAUUAAUCGCGUGUUCAAAACAACAAAUCUCAAGUAUAACACAACAUCUCACACUCACACAAUUCAUUACCCACCAUCAUGUAGUAAGUCACAAGGAUCAUUACACAUGCGUUAUACAACAGAUACACUAAGACUCAAUCCUAUAUGCAAUAUGGUAUCAUGUCAGUGAAAAACCUCGUUAGACAUCUAAGAGUACAUGACAAGACAGAUGACACACUGGUAAGUCAGAUCACUCUCACUAGGUAAAAUAAUAGGGAGACCAGUCAGGGUCACGCUGUUUUGCGAGAAUGCUUCAAUCAUGUGGGAUCGACACAUGCUUAAAAGAGCACUCAAACUGAGUGCAUUUACCUCCAAGGCUUAGACUCCGAAGAGUCUGUCAGGUCCUCUCCCUCCUAAUUCAAGUCCAACCCAAAAAAUAUUUUAACACACAGACUCUAUCUAUGAACUAUACAAAACACACGACUCCUCAGUUGUUCUCAAAAUAAUUUUAACUCCUCGUGCCUCAAAGUGAUUCAACUCUUCAGGUUCCCACAGUGGACUCCAUCACAAUACUCGUCGCACAUUAACUUGUUGCCCUUAAAGGCUCUUACACUCGUGUGAUUUUAAGAUUCAUAGCUCACAACUCAAUGCACACAACAUCUCAAUACAUGUGUGAUCUCUCAAUUUAAUACAUACUCAACUUAUCACAUACACCNNNNNNNNNNNNNNNNNNNNNNNNNNNNNNNNNNNNNNNNNNNNNNNNNNNNNNNNNNNNNNNNNNNNNNNNNNNNNNNNNNNNNNNNNNNNNNNNNNNNAACCCAAUCUCAAUCACAAUGUUAUAAUCUCAAAGCAACAUGUUAUCACACCUCACAAAUCAUAUACACAUCACACAAUAUUAUUAUAUACAUGACACAAACACAAACUUUACCUAUAAACUAUGCAAUAUACAUAACUACUCAAUUGUUUUCAUAAUCAUUUUAACUCGUCUUGUCUCAAAGUGAUUCAACUCGUUGGGUUCUCACACGGAUCCCAUCACAAUACUCGUUGCGAAAAAACUCGUUACCCUUAAAGGGUCUUACAAUUGUGUGAUUGCACAACUCAUAUCACAACUCAAUACAUACAAUAUCUCAAUAGACAUGUAUCUCACAAUUCAUCACAUAUUCAAUUUAUCACUUACACGCAAUUUCAUGAUCCCAAUAUAACAAUUUAUCAUGCUAAUCUAGUAAAUCUUGUCCGAAACACAAACAAAUUAUACAAAAAAAUGUUUCUCACAACAUAGGGAGUAAAACCCCUUAAACAAUUUCACAUAAUCAUAUCAAAAUAAAAUAAUCAAAAUCAUAGGUCAAAAACACACGAACACUAAGAGCACUCAAUUUCAUCAACCAAUUCGCAUCAGGGCAUCAAUUGGUCUGUCAAACAAAACAAUCUCAUAAUUAUAAUCGUAAAGGAAGAAUUACAAUACAAUAAACAUCUCAAAAUAAACUAUAAUUUGAUCCUCUAAGGAUCCCUACACAUGUUCAUUCUAACCCCAAUUGCGAUAAACUCAUCUCUUACCUCUAAACGGGCUCACAUGUGUAGUUCGACAAUGAUAGUGGCAUCUCUAUUGGUUCCAUAAGAUUUCUAAAGCUUUUCUUCUGGUUGCUCUGCUAGGGUUUCCAAGCAUUAGAGAGAAGGAGAAGGGAUUGGAACCUCAAUUUUACUGUCUCCAUGUGAGGGGAAUUUCUCUCUCUACAAACAUUAUUUCACAAAACCCAAUGGUGAGAAUGUGUAAAAAUGUGUUUCAAAGGUGGUCUCCAUAUUUUACAAUGAUUCAAUGGUUAAUGAGUCUGAAAUUGUAGUUGUACGAGGACAUGUUUGAAUGUAUGUAGGAAAAAGAGAGGAUUUUGAGAGAGGAAGAAGGGAAAACGAACUUGAGAAGAGAAGGCAUAGAGACGUAAAUGUAAGAAAUGACCUAACAUGUUUUUAUUUAUAACUAGGGUACUCUCAACCUAUUAUUUACUCUAUUUUUAUUUAUUUUAUAAAAAAAACUUUAUUUCACUCUUUCAUUGAAUAGAUAACCAAUUAAAAUAUCCAUUUAUUUUCUAAAACAUCAUUUUACUCUAUUUAUUUUCUAAUACUAUGAAACCCUUAUUUUAAUUAACAAAAACUUUUUUCUCUCAUUUAUUUAAUUUUUAAAAACUCUAUUAAUUUUUAAAUAAAACUCUUUUUAUUUAUUUGACGAAAAUCUGGUGUUACGCCUAAUAUAAUAUUUAUGCCUAUUUGGUACUUACCAAAACAACGUCGAAUGGAUCAUGGAAAUAACCUUGACCUCGCUGAUGAGGAAAAGGAAAUAAUAGAGUUGUCAAAACCGAAGGAAACAAGUCAACUGGGUAAGGUGGAUGUGGAAGGCAAUUAGACGGUCUUCAUCUUACAAGAGAUUUUAUGGAGUUGAAUUAGGUUAAAAAGCCCAAAUUCUAGAAAAUUUCCAUAAAAAUCAUGUUUUCGAUAUCAAAUAUUGUAAAAAAAUAGUUAAAACAACUAUGUAUGCAUUUUGUUCUCUUCUGAACAUACAUAAACAACAUUUUCCAGUUUAAAACAAGAUGUUGUCAUGUGAUAUGUGAGGAAGGAGAAAUUACAAAUAGUUUAAACAACUGUGCAUUUUGUUCUCUUCUGAAUACACAUAACCACCAUGAUUUUAAAUUGCAAUUGCGGUUGUAGUUGAAGUUCAGUUGCAAUUGUGGUGUGUCACAAAAUUUUUAUAUUAUGGGAAAGUGUGACUUAUGCAGUCACAAUAUGAUUAUGGAAAGUCAAAAUAUCUUGACGUUGCGACCACAAUUGUGGUUGUGGACCACUAUUUAAAAUCAUAAUAAACACCAUCUUAAGGCUCAAAAACAAGGAGGAAUUAUUAAGUAGUCGUGUAUUCAAGUUUUUCAAUUUACAAAAAAAAAAAAAAGAUUAAUAACAGUCAACUACACGUUACAUGAUGAGGCUAACCAGGGAGGCAGUGUUGCACUGGUGAGGAGAGUUGCGUUAGGGUUUCAAAUGAGAGACAAAAGGGGUUCUGCACUUGCAAACACGUAGUAAAUGAAUGACCAGAGAACGCAUAGUAAAUGUUCUAUCCUUUGUAACGAUAAUAGUCCAUUUAGUGUUUGUUAAUACAUUUUACAAGUAGAUAUAAAAUAUAAAAAAAAUUAACACUAUCUUGUGCAUUAUAAAAAUAUUUAUAGAAACAUAUAAAGUAUAUAUAAAAAAAUAAUAUUAUAAUAAUGUUAAAGAAAAUAUAUUUUAUUCAUAAAAAAUAAAAUGUAAAAAAUGCAGAAUUUGAAACUUCAUCUUCUUUAAAUUUCAAUCUCAUAUUUAUAUAAACUUUUUUUUCUUCUUCUAAAAACAAGAUAUUCCCAUGAUGAGAAGUUACUACAUUAAUUCUAUAAAUUAGUUAAGAGAUAAUUUCUCUUUUCACACAUAUCAUUUUAUUUAUAAAGAAAUCAAACCACUCGUAUAUUUAAAAGAGUAAAAAUUACUAGUGGCUACAUCCCAUGAGUAAACUAAAAUUAGCUUAGCUAUAAGUUAAGUAAACUUUUACAGGAACUAAUAUAAAAGAAAUUUUAUGAAUUGACUUAAAAAUAAUUAAAAUUUAAAAAAAAAUAUUUUAUUUUAUUUUUCUAAUUUUUAAUAUUAUUUUUAUUUUUAUUUAUAAGUCUCGAAAAUUAAAUUUAUUAUUUUUAUUAAGAUUCAAUUUAUUAUAUUUAUUGUAUUAAUUAUUUUUAAAUUAAAAUAUUCCUAAUUAAAUAAGAGAAAUAUUACAGUGAUAAAUACUUUAUUUAGAAGAGAAAAAAAAUUAUCGUAAUACAUAUGCCUUUUAAAUAACUUUUUACAUUUUAAGAAACGAAUCUCUAAUUUUCAGUCAAAGUUACCUAAAAAAAAAGAAAAGAGAAGAAAAUCCCUUAUUAAAUUAAUUAACAUUGACAAUGGCAUUUCAUUGUGGUAGAAAAAGUUCCCUUAAAUAAUAAAUGAGUACUUGAUCUACAUUUUCUCUCUCUUCAUUCUCCAACAUCUACGUUAUCUCCUCCAAUUCUUUAAAAUAUUUAUAGAAACAUAUAAAGUAUAUAUAAAAAAAUAAUAUUAUAAUAAUGUUAAAGAAAAUAUAUUUUAUUCAUAAAAAAUAAAAUGUAAAAAAUGCAGAAUUUGAAACUCUUCUUUAAAUUUCAAUCUCACAUUGUAAAAAAUGCUGAAUUUGAAACUCUUCUUUAAAAAAGUUUACAUAUAAAGUUUUUAUUUUAUUUUCAAAUGAACUAAUAUGCAAUAAUUUAUAUAAAUAUGUGUUAUAUUUAAAUGAUAAUCAUGAAAUAAUAAAAUUAAAAUUACAGAAUUUCUUUUAAAAAUUUAGUUUAAUUUUUAAAUGUUUACCUUUUGAAUUUGUUAUUGUUUAUUAAUUAUUACAUUUUUUAAAUUAAAACAUAAUUAAUAACUCAAUAUAUUAUUUUUAAAUAUAUAUAUAUAUAUAUAUAUAUAUAUAUAUAUAUAAUUAAAGAAAAAGAGUUGAUAUUAACCUCGGUUCUUUGAAAAUCGAUGUCGUUAAGCACUUUUUAACAUUGGUUAUUUGAAAACCGAUGUUGUAAGUGUUUAACGACAUCGGUUUUCAAAUAACCGAUGUUCAUGGGACGAUGUUAAAACUCAUUUUUUUAGUAGUGAGGGAUUGUAAUGAUCUCAUACCUUCUAAUAAUUUCUUUGCUACAAAGUUGUUUGGAGUUUGGAUGUUUAUGGCAAAGUAUGUGAAAAGGCACCUAAUGGCCUUUUAAGUUGGCAUUUUCACUUUAAAUUAUUGGUUGAGAGACAAACCCACUAACUAAAUAUUUGCAAGCAAUGAAGAAAAAGAAUAACAAUAUCCUCCGACCUUAUGUGUUUAAUAGAGGUUAAUAACUAACAUAGGCAUAAUAACAUUAUCAAUCAAUGUAGAAAAAGCAUUAAUACAUGCAGCAAUAAUUCUCACUGAUAAAUGAGAAUGCAAAUGUUACAGUGAAAGAUUUAAAAGAACAAUUAGCAACCUUGCUAUGAUACUAAGUGCAGGUUUGAAUUAAAGAAGAGUACAAAAGCCUAUUGAGAGAGGAAUGAUCUCUGAGUUGUCGCUGUUUUCGGGUUAAGCAUGGGAAUGAGUAUGUUGGAGUUGAAGUUGGCUUCGGUGGAUUUUCAAACAAGAGCCUUCGAUAUUUCGGUGUGACAAAUGGUAGAUGAGGUUGUUGCUCGAGACUCAAGAGGGGACAGAUAGGAAGAUGAGGUUCUUGCUUUCAUUUCAGUCUCUGUUGCAAUACUCUAAUUAUAGUCCCUAAUGAUUUGGCAUCUUAGUUGCCAGCCGCAUGUGUCAUGGGUAUGCCAAAUAGGCACUUAGCGUGUCACAUAACACAAAUGUUAUUGUAUGUUGUGCAGUCAAAGGGGAAUAAACAUCGAGAAAAUUUACACUAAUGGAUCAUCAAAUAAACACAUAAGUGAAUCUACACCACAUUUUAAUCCAAUGUGUGACUUCACCUUACACUUAAUUGUUGGAUUGAGGAGCGAGAUGGUUUGCACUUCCAAGGAUUAUUUUUUUAAUUUUAAAGUGUUACACACUUUUAGGGACCAAAAUGAUAUUUAACCCUAUAUUUUGAGUAAUACUUGUAUCUGAAUCUGUAUAACUAAAUAUGUCUUGUCAUAUAAGAUUCUUAAAUUUACUUUAGUAGGCAAACUGGAUAAGAUUAUUGCUAAAAUAAAAGCAACAAAAAUGGUGAAACCUAAUUGUUCAGCAUUUUCAGAGGAACCUGUGAAGGCACUCAUCUUGUUGACAUAGGCUUUGUACUCUGGACUCAUCUUUUGAAACGUUAUUAUGUCACAUGCUACUAAUUAAGUUGAAAAAACAAAGUACAUUGUUUUAGAAGCUAAAGAAGAGUUAUUUAAAAUUUGUAGUGAAAAUGUAGUGUGAAAAGCUAUUUGCAAUUUGCUUCAUUAAUAAAGUGGACAACUCAAUUGUUGAUUUCGUUACUAAAUUUCAAUGGUUUUGGUUGAAUAAGGAAUUCAGUGGACUGAGAAGUUGUGCUUAAGAGGAAGAGAGUGUUUGGAUACAUGUUUUGAAAUGGGAAAGAAUGAUUAAAAGAGAUAGAAAUUAGCUUGUCCAACAAUGCUAUUCUAUUGAUAUUUUCUUCAUACCAUUUAUCUUAGAAGACAAAUGAUUCCUUUUUAUAUUUUUUUCUAUUGCCUUCCUUUCCAUGAUCUUUUUUGUUUUAACCAUUAACUGAGUUGGAAUAGUAGUAAAAUCAUGUAGAUAUUUGUUUUCAUUUGGUGGGGGCGAUAUGAAUGAGAAAAAUCCAUACAACCAAACAAAGUUGGGGCUCAGAAGAAAGAGAAACAUCCCUCCCUUAAAGAAUAACUAAGUUAGAUUUCUUAGGAAAAUUUGUUGAUACUAACAUCUUGUAUACAAAUUUCUAUACCACUUUCAUUUUAAACACUAUUAGUUCCUCAGUCAUGAACUUUCUAUAUUGAAAAUUUGUCGUCUAUUUCUUUUACAGGCAGUGGCUUAGCUUUUCAUAUUUUGCCAGAUUAAAUUAUGAGUUACUCUUUGAACUUUUUAUGCAAUACUUGACUAUUGAUUUUUUCUUAUAGUUGUCAUCUCAUGCAAUGCACUUUUAAGAUAAGGUUACAUUGUUUGGUCGAGAGCAACAAUUUACUUAUGACCAUUAUAUAUUCAAAAUGUAUGCUUGGCCAUUAAUCAACCAACCAUGAUAAGCCCCAUCAUCCACCACCCCUUCUAUACCAUAGGCACAUUUUGCUUAUCUACUUUGCUACUGUUACUUUUAAACAAGUCAAACAAAUAAUAUGGUUUUAAAUCGUAGUUGUGAUUACAGAUGUGAUGAGUCAGAAAAGCUUUACAUUGUGCAAAAAUACGACUGAUGCGAUCAUAAUUACGAUUGCGGUGAUAUGAAAAACCUUAACAUUCUGGUCACAAUUAUGAUUAUAGACUGCAAUUUAAUAUGUAUUACUUAAGCUAAUGAACAUGUUGAGUGUUAGUUGAUAUGGUUCUCUAUAUCUUUUUUCCAAUACAAAUUCACCUUUAAAAUAUAAAACAUUACUGUAACAAAGGGACAAAGACAAAGGGUGCCACUUAACCCAUACAUGGGAAAUGAUGGUCAUAAAAUAUGUUAGGCCAAAAUGCAAACUACACAAAAAUAACAUCAACUCCACCAUAGUCACACAUUUAUGUUCUUCCAAGAAAGAGAUAACAUAAUGAAGCCUCCUCCAAGUGUCACCUCUACAUGGUACCUAACGAUAAGGUUACCAUUCAAUUUUUUCCCUUACUCGUGUGGCCAAUAUGUUGAAAUGUCAUCACUUAUACAAUCAAUGGUUGUAACUUCACAGCAACCGAUCCUCUUCAUUUCACACCAUUGGAUGAGUACUACAAAAAUGACACCCUUAAAUAUAGCAAGUUUGAGUAGAAUCUAGCAGCUGAAGCAAAAGUAAUUUAGAGAAAAGAAGGAAAUGGCUUCCUCACCGAUCUCCUCCCCAGUAGUUACCAUCAUUAACCGUGUCGGUGUCAGCAUGGUUGCCCCUUUCACUGGCCUCAAAUCCAUGGCUGGCAUCCCUACCAGGAAGACCAACAGUGACAUUACCUCCAUUGCUACCAAUGGUGGAAGAGUAUAAUGCAUGCAGGUAAGACAAUUCCAAACAUACAAACACAAAAGGCACCAAAAUGAUUAUAAUUGAUGUUACAUAUUUAUGUAUGCUACAAAAUGUUACUUAAAUUAACAUGAUAGUUAUAGGAAAAUAUGCUCAUGUGCAAGUUUGUUAACUCAAUUUUCAUGUAAAUUAAUUACUAGGUGUGGCCUCCAGUUGGCAAGAAGAAGUUUGGGACUUUUUCCUACCUGCCAGACCUUGAUGAUGCCCAAUUGGCUAAGGAAGUAUAAUACCUUCUUAGGAAUAGAUGAAUUCCUUGCUUGGAAUUUGAGUUGGAG
rnacentral:lncRNA from 1 species